GGGGUCUGCUUAUAUAGUCCAGGAAGAGUAGCCCCCAAGAAAUCUAGGAAGAGUAGCUCCCAAGAAAUCUAGGAAGAGUAGCUCCCAAGGAAUUUCCACGUUAUUCUCCACCAUCCGAUCAAACCGACCUUAAUCGUGUGAUUUUCCUUGAUCCUUAGAGUCGGUGGAGCACGAUCCGCGAAGUUGACCCUGAUUGGGCACUGUAGCAGGGCGGGCGCCCAGGUCAACUAGGCGGGCGCCCAGUGCCUGGCCCCGUUCGGUCUCCGCUUCCUUCCCGUGGCUUCUGGAGUCUUCUAGAUGGUAGAAAAUUGUGCGGCACAUUAAUAUCUCUAUGUAAACCCGACGUGUGGGCCUUUCCUCCGUAUUUCCUGAUAACCCCCUGUAGAAAUAGACAAACACCAAAACUCUUGGAAUUCUAUCAGAUAAAACCCUAAGUCUAGGUGUUGGUUGCAUUUGGAUCCUUUUCUAUGAUUAGUUGAUCGUUAAAUGUGAGCAUUAAGGACCAUCAACAAGCUCCCCCAAGCUUAACCUCUGCUCGUCCCUGAGCAAAGAUGGACUCAAGAGUUUCUGCAGUGGUUUUAUGCCUUAAAGAUACAAAUGCGUUCAAACAAGAUAUCAUCUCUGGGUUAGAGUAAACUGUUAAGACUUAAAACUUACUCAUAUUACCUUUCACCAUGGGGUUUGUAACCGUCACUUCUGUCUUGAGUAGUUAAAAGAUAGAACGGUCUAAUCAAGCGCUAUGUCUCUUGUUCUUCGAUUAACUAUAGCUCUAGAGUUUUUGCAGAUUUUCAAAUAAAACUCAGAGAUUCCUUGUAUGACUCUCUCUAGUCUCUCUUUUGUGGUAUUUCUGGAUCCUUACCAAGGCAGUGAUGGUAUAUGCCUUCUCUCAAAGUAUGUGGUAUUUGUAGUAUGAAGCAUAGUGGCAUUGCCUUCUCUCUCACCCUACUCUAAUAAGGUUUUGAUAUCUGGAGCUCAUAGGUGGGAGACAACUAAUACAUACUUACAAGACAUUUAUUGCAUAGUCAAACCAUGGAUCCAGAAGAACAAGUCAAUAAGACAAAUCAAGAUGUGCAUGUGUGGCGAAUGAAUAGUGUAUGGUGAUGAUGGUGAUAACAAUGGUGAAAGUCUAAUUCUACUUGUGCUCUUUCGAGGGGAUACAUACCUUUCUUGCUCUUUUGAAACUUUUUGAGGAGAAUGAGUUGCUCUAUAUUUUCUUUUUCUUUUCUCUCAGGUGGGUAUUUUGUACCCCUAAUUCUACUGUCGGACACUUGUCCAUUUUUACCUCUCGUCUCACUUUUUCUUUUCUUUCGAGGUUCCGGGCACUUGCCCAUUUUUAUUUCCUCGUAUCUCUUUUUUUUUCUUUCUUUUUUUAGAGCACUCAUCUCCUGAAAUAAUAUAGCAAGUGGUAGUAACCAAGAUAACUUGAGCAUUUAUUUCACAGGGGAAAACAGAAAUAGGAGAAUGUUUUUAGCUAUUCUCUCCCAGAUUAGGAGUAGAAUAUUUUUAGGUGAUUCUGGAGAUGGAAAUGGAUGGAUAUAUGUGGAUGCGUACUUCCGGAGUAGAAGUAGCAUGUAUGAGUGAACGUGCAAGUGAAUCUUGAUUUAACCACAUGACAAGCUCCUAAGGGUCUACACAGCUUGACCACACUCAAAGCUCAUAAGCAGUAAAAAGUAAAUGUGUGGCUCAAAGUCUAGCAAGCAUGUAUAUAUGGCUGUGGUAGGAAUUUAAACUCUCAUCAUACAGGAACUCAUCAUGCAAAAUUUUAAAGAUUUUCAAAGAUAAAAUUCUCUAGAAUUCUAGCAUCUCUAGAAACAGAUAAACAGCAGCUCAACCUUCCCAUAUCGUAUCCGUUAACGACUUAGACUUUAGAUCAAGUACUCUCCCCACAAGUUCAGGUUUAGAGCAAAUCUUAAUUAAUACUAGUCAUGCCUAAACUUGAGAGAGAUUUCAAUUUUGAGAACUAGUCAUGGCAGAGCAACUAUUCAUCAUUUCCAUGUGAGAGCUUAUCAUGAGGGUUCAUAGCAAAAUUUAUUUAUUUAUUUAUUUGGCAAACUAAGCAAAGAUAUAUAUAAGCACAAAAUCUUUAUUUGGGUUUUUAUGAUUAUGCAUCUUUUUAUUAUUUGAGUAAAGUAUAAACGUGAGUAGAAUACUUAGCUGGAUAAAUCGGGGUGCUCUCCCCUAGGCUGGAUUUUGACACAAUUUCUUCUAAUGUAGCUAGCAGCCGGCGGAGGUGUAUUUGAAUGUCGGCAGCACUCUGUCAGCGAUUAGGAUGUCCUCCGUCUGCUAGUCUUCUUUGAUCCUUGAAUUCUGUGGAGCUCAAAUAGACAACAAAGCUUUAUGGAACUGGUUAAGUGUUAGCAUAAAUAUCUAGCCUUUAUCAUGUUGAGCCUCCUCAAUAAAUAUUACUCUCUUUAGUAGGAUCAUAAAUUUAUUUUUAUAAUUUUAUUUUUUAUAGGACAGGAAUAUAUUUAUUUCAUUUUUAUGCCACCACAGUGAAUGUACUUAUGGGUUUUAUGCCAUGAGCAUACUCACAUGGGGCUUACUAUUUUAAACAUUUUUAUUUUCUUUUCAAGAUGAUAUGAACGUGAUUAACUAAGCAAACUAUUUUAAAAUAAUUGAAAGGAAAAGGAUAACUACCAAGUUUACCUCUUGGCAAGGCGUUCGGUGUUUUUAAGUCCUCCGAACGGGACUCUCCGUUUUCUCAUUCGUCCUGGGAUUCGCUGGAUGGCGUAGUCGGUGGUUCCGGUGGAGCCUGCUCUUCAUGUAUAACUAUCUUUUUUCUCCACACCAGACUCAAUGCUACAGUCUCCUCAGGACAGUUCUGUUCAAGUUAUAUGUCUUCAGACCUUACAACUUCUCCAUCAUAGUCUACCCAUCUGUCCUUGAUGAUUUUGCCUUCUCUGGUUGCGGUUGCGCCGUCUCCUUCUUGUCCCGACCUGCUUAGAGUCUUCAACUAUAUAGUUAGGGUCAGUAAAAUAGUGGCGUACCUUCUCAGAGGUGAAGUGCAUGUAGACUUCUCGGGUUCCAAUGUAGAUGAUUGCUUUAACGGUGCUGAGGAACGGUCUCCUAAGGAUGAUGGAGGAUCAUACUUGUCUUCUCCCAUGUCAAUAACCUUUCGGAAUGUCUGAUCUGCCGUCUGGAGCUGAAUGUAUAUCGGUUUUAGAGGCAUGGUUCCAUACAGGAGCUGAUAAGUGACUGCGGCCAUUAUGUUGACGUCAGAUCCGGUGUCAUAGAGUGUCUUCUGAAAAGAAUAUCUGUUGAUUGUGCACUUGAUGCUUGGAACACCAGGGUCAUCCUUCUUGAUCAAGAAAGGCGACUUGAGUUGACGAUCAUGACCUUCUUGAGCUGCAGUGACCAUCUUAGCUGACUCAGUCCACAUUUGCUUGUUUCUGUUCCUCCUGUUGGUCCUCUUCCUUGGUUCAUGUCGGGAUUGCUCUGAGAUUUGUGUAGUCUUGUUCUUGAAGGAAAACGUCUCCUUCCUCCCCUUGAUGUAGAAAUGGAUUUUAGCAGCACUAGCGUAGAUGACAGCUCCCGAGGUGUUCAGGAAUGGCCUCCCCUGGGCAUAAUAUUGACGCUGGAACCGAAGUGGUAGAGUGCUUCUGCGAAGUCCACCAUGCCGAUGGAGAUCGGGAUGACGGGGCGUCCUGGAUCGCGUCUCUUGACUGAGUGUCCAGUAUCUCCAGUGUGUUUGUGCUCGUAGAUCUAGGUUCUUCACUUGGUGGAGUCUGGAAGUUGUAAAAGUCCUUCAUAUUUUGCUCGAAGUGUACCUGCUCAUAGAGACAAGGCAGAGAUCAAGUGCAUGGGUCCUGUUGGUGGAAAACACCAAUAGAACCGAAAGUGUAUUUGUUCUCUCUAACCUUAAGCAUAGUGAGCAAGACAAAGUUGAUGGAUAAUAAGAUCAUGAGUGUAGCAUUUAAAGCAUUUGUCAUAUCUGACCGCUCAACCUAAUGGAAAGAUAAUCUAUCUAUAUAAAUGUUUUUUUCUUUACAUGACUAUCAUUUUCCAAAGAUUGAGUGUGCAACAUUUUAGUUCAUAUGAUUAGGAGUGUGGGAUCACAAAGGUGGAAGGACUAAACAUAUUGAAUUGACUGGGUUGGUUAAUCAAGAGUUGUAAAUCAUACAUGUUUGUCUCUUUUAUUUAUGUGAACGCCAGAACCAAUGAGAAGCUUAUAAAAGUGAUAGUCAAGUACCUUAAGAUGUUACCUUACUUGAAGAGUGAUGGUACAGUAUCACCUUGUGGAAGCUUUCCUUUCUUAGCGGUUGUGCAUCGUGUUUGUGGCAUCCUCCAUGGAUCAUCUCUUGUGAUCUAUGCCUUCCUUGUGUAAAUUGUUAAACUUCAUGUGUCUCUCUCUGUCUCCAAUGUUGGUGUAUCUCAGGACUUCCCAGGUCAAUAUUAAAAGUUCUCCUGCAGGGGUUAGUCCAACAAAAUAUCCAAUAUCUACUAUAGCAUACUAUCGGCUCAAAGAUCAACCUAGACAGCAUGUCUAAUUUGAUUUAGGAGGGCAUUUUAACCUAAGCAUCAUGCUUAAUUUAAACUCCCUUGGAAGUAAGAUCAUCAGCCCUAAACUAAGCACCAUGCUUAAUUAAGAGAUAAAUGAAUCUACUCCAAACCUAGACAUAUACUAAAGCAAAUAAAGGUAGCAUGAAAGCAUUUAUAGAGAUCUACUCAAGUGGAGAUGAAGUAGUGUGAUUAGUAUUUAACAGAUUGAGCAUGUCUCAAAGGUAGGGACAACCAACAUAGCAACAUGGCAAAGGAUGUUUUUAUGUAAAGUACUCCCCCAAGCUUGAAUUUUGCAAAAUUCAAGUUUGGAUGAAUUUAAUUCAAUGUUGUAUGAUGAUUGGUUGGACAUACCUUGUGCUUGUCAUUCAUCCGAUCUUCUUGCUCCAAUCCUGGAAAGGUUAGUGACAAGAAUACCCAAAGGAAUUUUUUUUACAAUUAUCCUUAUAUGCUCAAUACACAAGGUAAUGUUGCAAAUAAUUAAAAGCUCAUGUUACAAUCUGAUCAGUGCUUGUUUUAGGACACUAAGCUUGUCCUUGGGAAAUGUUGACGGUCCUUAAUGAUCACAAUUAACCAUCAACUAAUCAUAGAAAAGGAUCCAAAUGCAACCAACACCUAGACUUAGGGUUUUAUCUGAUAGAAUUCCACAAGUUUUGGUGUUUGUCUAUUUCUGUAGGGGGUUAUCAGGAAAUACGAAAGAAAGGCCCACACGUCGGGUUUACAUAGAGAUAUUAACGUACCGCACAAUUUUCUACCAUCUAGAAGACUCCAGAAGCCACGGGAACGAACGGGAGGCCGAUCGGGCUCGGAGGCAGGGCGCCCACCCAACUCUCCUGGGCGCCCGCCCAGCUACUGUGUCCAAUUCGGACCCGUUUCACGUAUUAUGCUCCACCGACCUAAAGGAUCAAGGAAAACCGUGCGAUCAAUGUCGGUUUGAUCUGACGGCCCAGAUUCACUUGAAGGGACUAUAAAACCAGACCCCCCUAGCCCCUGGAGAUCAUACCUCUUCUACAGAAUCAAAGUUAGGGUUUCAAUUCUUCAUCCAAGUAGAGAGGAUCCCUCUAGUUCUUCUAGUUCUACCUCUAGUUCAUCUAGAUCUAGUUCUAGUUCAUCUAGUUCUAGUUCUAGUUCCUCUAGUUCUAGUUCUAGUUAGUUCUAGUUGUAAUCUAGAAAAUAGGGAGAGAGAAGAGGAGAGCGGAGGAGGAGCCGGAUCUGUCGGAUCUUCCUCAACAUUGUACUCUUGCAGCAACUGGUUCGUUCUUCAUCGUUCUCCAGGUUCUUCAAUUCAUAACUCCUGAGUUCUCUAAUUACUUUUAUUUACAUUCAAGUUAUUUAUUGGAUUCCCGCUUGCAUCAAGUGCUCUAAUCUUUGAAACAUUAGAGUAGUAAUUAAUAGAUUAGACGUGGUGUUUAGUCUUGCAAUUACCUGGAAUUGCACCCAAUCCUUCGGAUUGUUGUGGUAGCCUUAGGGUAGUGACAGCCCUAACGGUCGACGUAUUCCACCUCGUUCGGAUCGGUGUUUGUAGGACCGUAGUCGGAGCUUCCUAGCCCCCUUCUCAUCUCUUUCUGUGGUUAGUGUUCUGAUGUCCCGAAAUAGAUAAUCUUGAAGUAAUUCUUGAUUCUUAGAUCAACUAGAGAACUCUCAGGAAACUUCCUCUCUUCUCACCAAAAAUAAUUAUAUAGUUAUCCUUGGGCGAUCUUGAUUCUUAAUUAGUACACUCACGUUCCCUGUGGAAAAUCGAUACUCUGGAAUACUCCCGGGUGAAGGCUACAUCGGUAUCCGUGCGCUUGCGGAUUUUUCUGUUUGCGUUUAAAAUACCCAACAAGCUUUCUGGCGCCGUUGCCGGGGAACGGUAGCUGUGCUAGUUUCGAACCAAGUCGUCCGUGUAUCCUUUUUCUUUUCCUUUUUUACCACACUCACCUUAUCAUUUUCACCAUACCACAUGGAUUUCACUCUAAGCAUUAGUGAGCAUGGAAUUUAUUUCAUAGCCACUUCAUUUACUCCAUGCUCAUAUGCACCAUCUUCACAAUCCAUUGGUCUCUCCAGCAUCACCACAUUCGAGAUCUCCAACCCCCUCUUCCUUUCUAUUUAUAAAAACUUUAAAAGGGCGGUUGUCGAUGCAUAUGUUUAUAAUAAAUAUUGCAGAUCUCGUUGAGUUGAUCUUGAUAUAGGUUAGCGUUGGAGGGGAAACCACUUCGCCGACAUAAAUUGAUGGUUUCCCAAGGACAAGCUUAGUGUCCUAAAACAAGCACUGAUCAGAUCGUAACAUGAGCUGUUAAUUAUUUGCAACAUUACCUUGUGUAUUGAGUAUAUAAGGAUAAUUGUAAAAAUAUUCCUUCGGGUAUUCUUGUCACUAACCUUUCUAGGAUUGGAGCAAGAAGAUCGGAUGAAUGACAAGCACAAGGUAUGUCCAACCAAUCAUCGUACAACAUUGAAUUAAAUUCAUCCAAACUUGAAUUUUGCAAAAUUCAAGCUUGGGGGAGUACUUUCCAAAAAAAACAUCCUUUGCCAUGUUGCUAUGUUAGUUGUCCCUACCUUUGAGACAUGCUCAAGUUGUUAAAUACUAAUCACACUACUUCAUCUCCACUUGAGUAGAUCUCUAUAAAUGCUCUCAUGCUACCUUUAUUUGCUUUAGUAUAUGUCUAGGUUUGGAGUAGUUUCAUUUAUCUCUUAAUUAAGCAUGGUGCUUAGUUUAGGGCUGAUGAUCUUACUUCCAAGGGAGUUUAAAUUAAGCAUGAUGCUUAGGUUAAAUUGCCCUCCUAAAUCAAAUUAGACAUGGUGUUUAUGUUGAUCUUUGAGCCGAUAGUAUGCUAUAGUAGAUAUUGGAUAUUUUGUUGGACUAACCCCUGCAGGAAAACUUUCAAUAUAGACUUGGGAAGUCCUGAGAUAAACUCACAUUGGAGACAAAGAGAGAGACGCAUGAAGGUUAACAAUUUACACAAGGAAGGCAUAGCUCACAAGAGAUGAUCCAUAGAGGGUGCCACAAACACGAUGCAUAACCGCUAAGAAAGGGAAGCUUCCAUAAGGUGAUACGGUACCAUCACUCUUCAAGUAAGGUAACAUCUUAAGGUACUUGACUUUCACUUCUAUAAGCUUCUCCUUUGUUCUGGCGUUCACAUGAAUAAAAGAGACAAACAUGUAUGAUUUACAACUCUAGAUUAACCAACCCAGUCGAUUCAAUAUGUUUAGUCCUUCCACCUUUGUGACCCCAUACUCCUAAUCAUAUGAACUAAAAUGUUGCACACUCAAUCUUUGGAAGAUAUAUUUUAUAAAAAACAACAUAAAUAUAGAAAGAUUAUCUUUCCAUUAGGUUGAGCGAUUUGAUCUAACAAAUGUUUUAAAUGUUAUACUCAUGAUCUUAUUAUCCAUCAACUUUGUCUUGCUCACUAUGCUUAAGGUUAGAGAAGAACAAAUACACUUUUGGUUCUGUUGGUGUUUUCCACCAACAGGGCCCAUGCACUUGAUCUCUGCCUUGUCUCUAUGAGUAGGUACACUUUGAGCAAAAUAUGAAGGAGUUUUACAACUCCCAGACUCCACCAAUGUGAAGAACCUAGAUCUAUGAGCACAAACACGCUGGAGAUACUGGACACUCAUGCAAACACUGCCCUGAGAUGCUUGAGGACGUAACUACUGGAGUAACCGCUUUGUGGAAGUAAUUACUGAUCUUCUGCCGGUUAAGAGAAACAAUCCAGGACGCCCCGUCAUCCCGAUCUCCAUCGGCAUGGUGGACUUCCUAGAAGCACUUUCUUGCAGAUUAGACACUAAGUUUCCCAAAGGGAAUAUUGAAGAGCCUCUGCGUCCGAGUUGGUACCUUGUACGCCCCAGCAGACUUCUUGGUAAUAGAGACUGGUACUGAUGAGAGGGCACCCAUCAUUCUAGAGAGGCCAUUCCUGAACACCUCGAGAGCUGUCAUCUACGCUAGUGCUGCCAAGAUCAGUUUCUUCAUCAAGGGGACGAAGGAGACGUUUUCCUACAAGAACAAAACUACACAAAUCUCAGAGCAAUCCUGACAUGAACCAAGGAAAGGACCAACAGGAGGAACAGGAACAAGCAAGUGUGGACCAAGUCAGCUAAGAUGGUCACUGCAGUUCAAGGAGGUCAAGAUCAUCUAUUUUAGUCACCGUUUCUGACCAAAAAGGACGACUCAGUCACCUAUCAGCUUCUGUUCGGAACCAUGCCCUUAAAACCGACAUACACCCAGCUCCAGAUGGCAGAUCAAACAUUUCGGGAAGUUGAAGUUAUUGACAUAGGAGAAGACGAGUACGAUCCACCCAUCAUCCUUGGAAGACCGUUCCUCAACACCGUUAAAGCAAUCAUCUACAUUGGAACCGGCGGAGUCCACAUGCACUUCCCCUCUGAAAAGGUCAGGACAAGAAGAAGAUGACGCAACCGCAACCAGAGGAGGCAAAUCAUCAAGGACGGAUGGGUAGACUAUGAAGAAGAAGUUGUAAGGUCUGAAGACAUACAGCUUGAACAGAACUGUCCUGAGGAGACCGUAGCAACGAGUCAGGUGUGGAGAGAGAAGAUAGUUAUACACGAAGAGGAGACGCCGUCAGAACCACCGACUACGCCAUCCAGCGAAUCCAGGACAACAGAGAAAAUGGAGAGUCCCGUUCGGAGGACUUAAAAACACCGCACGCCUUGCCAAGAGGUAAACUUGGUAGUUAUCUUUUCCCUUUCAACUAUUUAAAAUAGUUUGCUUAGUUAAUCAGGUUCAUAUCAUCACGAAAAGAAAAUAAAAAUGUUUAAAAUAGUAAGCCCCAUGUGAGUAUGCUCAUGGCAUAAAACCCAUAAGUACAUUCACUGUGGUGGUGUAAAAAUGAAAUAAAUAUAUUCCUGUCCUAUAAAAAUAAAAUUAUAAAAAUAAAUUUAUGAUCCUACUAAAGAGUGUAACAUUUAUUGAGGAGGCUCAACAUGAUAAAGGCUAGGUAUUAUGCUAACACUUAACCAGUUCCACAAAGCUUUGUUGUCUAUUUGAGCUCCACAGAAUUCAAGGAUCAAAGAAGACUAGCAGACGGAGGACAUCCUAAUCGUUGACACAGUGCUGCCGACAUUCAAAUACACCUCCGCCAGCUGCUAGCUACAUUAGAAGAAAUUGUGUCAAAAUCCAGCUUGGGGGAGAGCACCCCCAUUUAUCCAGCUAAGUGUUCUACUCACGUUUAUAUUUUACUCAAAUAAUAAAAAGAUGCAUAAUCAUAAAAACCCAAAUAAAUAUUUUGUGCUUAUAUAUAUCUUUGCUUAGUUUGCUAAAUAAAUAAAUAAAUAAAGUUUGCUAUGAACCCUCAUGAUAAGCUCUCACAUGGAAAUGAUGAAUAAUUGCUCUACCAUGACUAGUUCUUAAAUUGAAAUCUCUCUCAAGUUAGGCAUGACUGGUAUUAAUUAAGAUUUGCUCUAAACCUAAACUUGUGGGCAGAGUACUUGAUCUAAAGUCUAAGUUGUUAACAGAUAUGAUAUGGGAAGGUUGAGCUGCUGUUUAUCUGUUCCUAGAGAUGCUAGAAUUCUGGAGAAUUUUAUCUUUGAAAAUCUUUAAAAUGUUGCAUGAUGAGUUCCUAUAUGAUUAGAGUUUAAAUUCCUACCACAGCCAUAUAUACAUGCUUGCUAGACUUUGAGCCACACAUUUACUUUUUACUGCUUAUGAGCAUUGAGUGUGGUCAAGCUGUGUAGACCCUUAGAAGCUUGUCAUGUGGUUAAGUCAAGAUUCACUUGCACGUUCACUCACACAUGUUGCUUCUACUCCGGAAGUACGCAUCCACAUAUAUCCAUCCAUUUCCAUCUCCAGAACCACCCAAAAAUAUUCUACUCUUAAUCUGGGAGAGAAUAGCCAAAAAUAUUUCUGUUUUUCCCCUGUGAAAUAAAUGCUCAAGUUAUCUUGUUACUACCACUUGCUAUAUUAUUUCAAGAGAUGAGUGCUCUAAAAAAAAGAGAGAAAAAAAAGAAAGAAUAUGAGGAAAUAAAAAGGGGCAAGUGCCCGGAACCUCGAAAGAAAAAAAAAAGUGAGACGAGAGGUAAAAAUGGACAAGUGUCCGACAGUAGAAUUAGGGGUACAAGAUACCCACCCGAGAGAAAAGAAAAAGAAAAUAUAGAGCAUCUCAUUCUCCUCAAAAAGAUUUAAAAGAGUAAGAAAGGUAUGUAUCCCCUCAAAAGAGCACAAGUAGAAUUAGACUUUCACCAUUGUUAUCACCAUCAUCACCAUACACCAUUCAUUCGCCACACAUGCACAUCUUGAUUUGACUUAUUGACUUGUUCUUCUGGAUCCAUAGCUUGACUAUGCAAUAAAUGUCUUGUAAGUAUGUAUUAGCUGUCUCCCACCUAUGAGCUCUAGAUAUUAAAGCCUUAUUAGAGUAGGAUGAGAGAGAAGGCAAUGUCACUAUGCCUUAUGCCACAAAUACCACAUACUUUGAGAGAAGGCAUAUACCAUUACUACCUUGGUAAGGAUCCAGAAAUACCACAAAAGAGAGACUAGAGAGAGUCAUACAAGGAAUCUCUGAGUUUUAUUUGAAAAUCUACAAAAACUCCAGAGCUGUAGUUAAUCGAAGAACAAGAGACAUGGUGCUUGACUAGACUGUUCUGUCUUUUAACUACUCAAGACAGAAGUGACGGUUACAAGUCCCAUGGUGAAAGGUAAAUGAGUAAGUUUUAAGUCUUAACAGUUUACUCUAACCAGAGAUGAGAUCUUGUUUAAACGCAUGUGUAUCUUUAAGUUAUGAAACCACUGCAGAAACUCUUGAGUUCAUCUUUGCUCAGGGACGAGCAAAGAUUAAGCUUGGGGGAGCUUGUUGACGGUCCUUAAUGCUCACAAUUAACCAUCAACUAAUCAUAGAAAAGGAUCCAAAUGCAACCAACACCUAGACUUAGGGUUUUAUCUGAUAGAAUUCCACAAGUUUUGGUGUUUGUCUAUUUCUGCAGGGGGUUAUCAGGAAAUACGAAAGAAAGGCCCACACGUCGGGUUUACAUAGAGAUAUUAACGUACCGCACAAUUUUCUACCAUCUAGAAGACUACAGAAGCCACGGGAACGAACGGGAGGCCGAUCGGGCUCGGAGGCAGGGCGCCCGCCCAACUCUCCUGGGCGCCCGCCCAGCUACAGUGUCCAAUUCGGACCCGUUUCACGUAUUAUGCUCCACCGACCUAAAGGAUCAAGGAAAACCGUGCGAUCAAUGUCGGUUUGAUCCGACGGCCCAGAUUCACUUGAAGGGACUAUAAAACCAGACCCCCCUGGCCCCUGGAGAUCAUACCUCGUCUACAGAAUCAAAGUUAGGGUUUCAAUUCUUCAUCCAAGUAGAGAGGAUCCCUCUAGUUCUUCUAGUUCUACCUCUAGUUCAUCUAGAUCUAGUUCUAGUUCAUCUAGUUCUAGUUCUAGUUCCUCUAGUUCUAGUUCUAGUUAAUUCUAGUUGUAAUCUAGAAAAUAGGGAGAGAGAAGAGGAGAGCGGAGGAGGAGCCGGAUCUGUCGGAUCUUCCUCAACAUUAUACUCUUGCAGCAACUGGUUCGUUCUUCGUCGUUCUCCAGGUUCUUCAAUUCAUAACUCCUGAGUUCUCUAAUUACUUUUAUUUACAUUCAAGUUAUUUAUUGGAUUCCGACUUGCAUCAAGUGCUCUAAUCUUUGAAACAUUAGAGUAGUAAUUAAUAAAUUAGACGUGGUGUUUAGUCUUGCAAUUACCUGGAAUUGCACCCAAUCCUGCGGAUUGUUGUGGUAGCCUUAGGGUAGUGACAGCCCUAACGGUCGACGUAUUCCACCUCGUUCGGAUCGGUGUUUGUAGGACCGUAGUCGGAGCUUCCUAGCCCCCUUCUCAUCUCUUUCUGUGGUUAGUGUUCUGAUGUCCCGAAAUAGAUAAUCUUGAAGUAAUUCUUGAUUCUUAGAUCAACUAGAGAACUCUCAGGAAACUUCCUCUCUUCUCACCAAAAAUAAUUAUAUAGUUAUCCUUGGGCGAUCUUGAUUCUUAAUUAGUACACUCACGUUCCCUGUGGAAAAUCGAUACUCUGGAAUACUCCUGGGUGAAGGCUACAUCGGUAUCCGUGCGCUUGCGGAUUUUUCUGUUUGCGUUUAAAAUACCCAACAGGAAACCAUCAAUUUUUGUCAGUGAAGUGGUUUCCCCUCCAACGCUGACCUAUAUCGAGAUCAACUCAACGAGAUCUGCAAAAUUUAUUAUAGACAUAUGCAUCUACAACCGCCCUUUUAAAAUUUUUAUAAAUAGAAAGGAAGAGGGGGUUGGAGAUCUCGAAUGUGGUGAUGUUGGAGAGACCAAUGGACUGUGAAGAUGUUGCAUAUGAGCAUGGAGUAAAUAAAGUGGCUAUGAAAUAAAUUUCAUGCUCAUUAAUGCUUAGAGUGAAAUCCAUGUGGUAUGGUGAAAAUGAUAAGGUGAGUGUGGUAAAAAAGGAAAAGAAAAAGGAUACACGGACGACUUGGUUCAAAACUAGCACAGCUACCGUUCCCCGGCAACGGCGCCAGAAAGCUUGUUGGGUAUUUUAAACGCAAACAGAAAAAUCCGCAAGCGCACGGAUACCGAUGUAGCUUUCACUCGGGAGUAUUCCAGAGUAUCGAUUUUCCACAGAGAACGUGAGUGUACUAAUUAAGAUCCAAGAUCGCCCAAGGAUAACUAUAUAAUUAUUUUUUGGUGGGAAGAGAGGAAGUUUCCUGAGAGUUCUCUAGUUGAUCUAAGAAUCAAGAAUUACUUCAAGAUUAUCUAUAUCGGGACAUCAGAGCACUAACCACAGAAAGAGAUGAGAAGGGGGCUUGGAAGGUCUGACUACGGUCCUACAAACACCGAUCCGAACAUGGUGGAAUACGUCGACCGUUAGGGCUGUCACUACCCUAAGGCUACCACAACAAUCCGCAGGACUGGGUGCAAUUCCAGGUAAUUGCAAGACUAAACACCACGUCUAAUCUAUUAAUUACUACUCUAGCGUUAUAAAGACUAGAGCACUUGAUGGAAGCGGGAAUCCAAUAAAUAACUUGAAUGUAAAUAAAAGUAAUUAAAGAACUCAAGAAUUAUGAAUUGAUGAACCUGGAGAACGAUGAAGAACGAACCAGUUGCUGCAAAAGUACAAUGUUGAGGAAGAUCCGACAGAUCCGGCUCCUCCUCCUCCGCUCUCCUCUUCUCUCUACCUAUUUUCUAGAUUACAACUAGAACUAACUAGAACUAGAACUAGAGGAACUAGAACUAGAACUAGAUGAACUAGAACUAGAUCUAGAUGAACUAGAGGUAGAACUAGAAGAACUAGAGGGAUCCUCUCUACUUGGAUGAAGAAUUGAAACCCUAGCUUUGAUUCUAUAGAAGAGGUAUGCCUCUAGGGGCUGGUGGGGGUCUGCUUAUAUAGUCCAGGAAGAGUAGCCCCCAAGAAAUCUAGGAAGAGUAGAUCCCAAGAAAUCUAGGAAGAGUAGCUCCCAAGGAAUUUCCACGUUAUUCUCCACCAUCCGAUGAAACCGACCUUAAUCGUGUGAUUUUCCUUGAUCCUUAGAGUCGGUGGAGCACGAUCCGCGAAGUUGACCCUGAUUGGGCACUGUAGCAGGGCGGGCGCCUAGGUCAACUGGGCGGGCGCCCAGUGCCUGGCCCCGUUCGGCCUCCGCUUCCUUCCCGUGGCUUCUGGAGUCUUCUAGAUGGUAGAAAAUUGCGCGGCAUGUUAAUAUCUCUAUGUAAACCCGACCUGUGGGCCUUUCCUCCGUAUUUCCUGAUAACCCCUUGCAGAAAUAGACAAACACCAAAACUCGUGGAAUUCUAUCAGAUAAAACCCUAGGUCUAGGUGUUGGUUGCAUUUGGAUCCUUUUCUAUGAUUAGUUGAUGGUUAAAUGUGAGCAUUAAGGACCGUCAACAAAUAGGUGCAAAUCUAGCUAUGGUAGCUUAAUUGAACUUGAUGCUAAAAUAUUGACUAAAAGGUUGAAAGUAAGGACUCAUGAUAGUAAUGCUCUUUUGGCAAAGUUAUGCUAUCCAACCAACUCCACCAAAAAGCCUUGCAUAUCCUUGAGAGUCUUUUAUUUUCUCUCCUGUCGGGUAAGUCUAGCUGAGUACAUUCGAGUACUCAGGGUUUAUCCCACCCUGUUGCAGGUGAAGUCUUCAGUCUGCUAAAGAUGGUGGCUAACUGCCGGUGGGCUCGGUGAUUCUAUAUAGUGUUCUCAUCUAUAUGCUUUUGUUGGAGGAUGUCACUUAUGCUAGCAAUGUAUUUGAAACUUAUGUUAUUGUAAUCAUUUGAAAGCUAUGUUGUUUUCUAAUCAAUUUGGAAAAUCUAAACUUGUAUUAUUAUUUGUGAACUCUUUUGUAAUAUUAUUUCCGCUGCAAAUCUCCGUGUAUGUGAUGUGUAUUUGCUUAAUCAUGCGAUCUUGGUGUAAAGUUGAUUUACCGAGGUCCUUCGUGACACUCGGCAGACUACCGAGUUUAUAUAAGUGAGAGUAUGCGCGUGUCAACUUGUUAAACGUGGACAGUCAUGCUUAAACUUGUAUAAAUUGGGCGGUUCUGUCACAGCUGGCAUCAGAGCAAGAUUAAGUAUAAUACUAUCAGGUACAUUGUUUUAAAAACAAAGUUUUGGUUUUAAAAAUCCUAUUUUGACUAAAACUUUAGCUACAGGCAAAACUUGUCAAAACUAAUUUAUAAAAACUACGCUAGCGACAACCUCUAAUUAUGCCCAAUUAAGGACUACUAGGUGGCUUUAUGUAAACUGAUGCUAACUAUGGGGGUUUAUUUUAUCGCAACUUUUACUUUCGUCGUCCAUACGGCGUGCAAUAGUAUGGAUGCCACUUAAGUGGUAAUGAACUACGCCACGGUAAGUAAUAAUUUUCCUUUCGUUGUCCAUACAGCGUGAAAUUGUAUGGAUGCCACUUGCUUGAGUGGUAAUGUAUGGAUCUAUAUGCCUCUACGCUAUGGUAAGUGUGAGUUGUGAGAGCAUGACCGUCCAACCGUCGGUCUAGGGGAGAGUUAGAUGUGGUUACUGGAAUAUUUACAUGUUACACACAUGUCUAUAUGAAGGUACUUAAUUGUGGGUUAGUUGGUAUGACCGUGUAUACAUGUCUCUGUGUAUACAUGGGCGUGCUUCACAUGGGUAGUAUGCUGCAAUAUAUAUUCAGAAAUAUAUAUUGGAGUACUUAGCUUUCAAUCUAGAGACCAGACUUUCAUUUCUGCACAUAUAUUAUUGUUGGGAUGGGCUGAAAUGAAAUUCUUAUGCAGGUACACUAACCACGAAUGCAUAGAUUGAACGUAGUUGACGACUAGCUAUAUGUCGAGAGAGUACGUGUUAUGCCACCGACAUAGAACGUGAUUGCCACCAUAGGCUGGCAAUUUUGUGAGGACGAAUAAGACGAAGCAUGCAUCCUUAUGAUUGUUGCAUUAUGCGUGACUAUGCUUCUCCCACCUUGUUCCAAAAUAAGUAACUUGUGAGUGAUAUGAUGUUACUCCUUUCCUUGUGUGAAGCUAUAUACAAAUUUGUCUUAGUCCAUGCUACUUGAAUAGUUUUGCUUGAAAGUAGUGUGCGAUGUGUCUAGCCUUGAAAUGUUGCUUCUAUAGGAGUGCUAAGUAAGCAGUAGUAGAAACUAUAAUCCUUUCAAAACUAAAGCUUGUCGGUGAACAUGUAUGUGGAUGUUUUCUGUGAUGUCUCUAAUUUUAAUUAACUAAGUAAAAAUUUGGCGUACCUAUAAUAGAAAUAGUUGAGGCUAUAUGCUUGAAUUUGUAGGUGUCCACUUGUUUAGCCAAGUGGCGAAUACGUUGCUCAUGAAAGUGUUUGCAAAUGUUUUAACCUCACUUAAACAAUUGUGAUUCUUCUGUUAAUCCCUCAUUGUCACCAAACUACAUUAUUGUUUAUCUAGGUAAUAAUGUUUGUAGCUACUGGGGUUAUACAUGUGUGUGCUCUCUUGUUAAUAGAACAAGGGAAAACAUUGCUUGAUAUGUGUGUUGAAUUUGGCUGCUAGAGCAGUUUGUAUUCUAGUGGUGUUUUUAUAACAAUAAUGGUGUUUCCUGUAAUUAUAGUGAAUACCAAAGUUGUAGCCAACUUCAAUAUCUAGUCUAUCCUAAAAUUUCAUGACCAUAGGCCUGAUGGUUUAGGAGUUAUGAACUUUUGAAGUUUGUUGUCAGAUCCUGAUUGUGUUAUGAACAGAUCUGAAUGUUUAGUUUGUUUGACUAGUAUCCAUAUAAAAUCAUAGAAAAAUCAGUUAGAAGAUUAAUCACUACCUUGGAAAUGACUCCAUGAUAUCCCUGAAGGCUACGUCUCAUAAAAUAGUGUCAUGCGAAGAAAACAAUAAGUUGAUCAACGAUGCAAAUACUAUUUCCUUUUCUAGGCCUUGAGUUGUCAAGUCAAUUCAAUCUUGGACAAACACAUAGAUGGUACCAAAUGCUAUAUCUAAGUCACAAGCUAGAGAAAAGCACAUCCCUAGUCUCGGUUAGCAUCAUUAUAUGUGUGGUGCUAUCAAAGGUUUUGUUUUGUUUGGUUAGCCAUAUGGUGUUUGCUUGAGCUGAAUUUUGGUUAAUGAUCAUAAGACUCUUGGAUCUCUAUACACACUAACAAUUCAUGCAUAAUGAAGCUAGUUUGUGCGGUGUGAACUGAACCUUAGGAUGACCUAUAAAAGACUCCUUUCACCCUUGGACACCUAGUUGUUACCCUAUCACAUCAACCGAUAGUUGAGCAAUCUAGGAGUUCUACAAGUCAAAAAUAAUUGGAAAGGUGUUAAACAACAAAUCCUAGAUUUAUUAUCUUAGAGCUGUUGUUUGAUCCUAGAAAGGAAGCCGCAAUGUCCAAAGUAGUUUCACCAAGCUAUUUUGCUACUGUACGAACUGACCCAACUUACUAAGCCACUACUUAGUGAUGGGAAAUUUCAUAGUUGACUUGCUUGGUAGUAGCUUGUUUCCCUAGUUCAGUGAAUACUUGCAACUGUUGUUGUCCUCUAUACCUUGCUAUCAUCUGUCUUUAGCAAUGCUUAUCUAAUGCUAACAUGUCUUGGGUAUCUUCUAUGUUCCUUUUACCCAAGAGGUUGUGUUUGAUACGACCUAGGUAAUUGUUACCACUUGGAGUCAAGAAAUUCCUUGAAUGGUGAGCAUUGACUUGGUAGACUCAGAUAAUACAGUGCUGUUAGCAGAGAAAGAGAACUGCACACAUGGAACCUUAGGUAGCUUUCCAUCAAUUGGCAUCUAAAUGAUUAGACCUUAUGACCAAAAUAGACAUUGUUUGUUGGUUAGUUUGAUUCUCAAAACCUCAAAGGAUGUUUCUCUAGUUCAUGAUCUCAUCUCCUACAGAAGGUUGUACUCAAGCCAUUUUGGUAGAGCACUGCCUUUCAAGCUUUGUGAACAUAGACGGAAACAUUGCAAUGAGUAGUUUACUUUGCUCCGAACCAUCCAUCAUACAUUGGGAAUGAAGUACAUGUGAUAGUGUUGUCUUAAAUUCCUCCCAAAGUAACAAUACUUCACGGAAGUCAAUAAAGGAAAUUCUUUAGACAAAGAUUCACUAUGAAGAACUAGUAUCAGAAAGUGUCCUGACCAAAUUACCCUCUCUGAUGCUCGGUGAUAAGUAGUUGACUGCUAUCGCCAAUGUUAGAAGUGAAUAACAUGCUUCUCUACCCUUGGAAGUCUUUUGUCCUGAAUCUCGGGACGAGAUUAUUUUAAGGGGGGAGGGUUGUAACACCCCAGGUGUUUGCCAUGAGUUAGACUUUAGGUUUUGAGCUCAAACAUGUCAUGAUGAGUGGUGAUGAUCAUGUUAAGGUUAAUCCAUGAAAGUGAGCCUGAAGAUAAACUUAGAGAAUGCACCCUUGCUUACAUAUAGUACCUUUUCAAAGUGCAUGCUUAGGUGAUGUUUAUGAAAUCUCUUUCAUGUGUCCGACAUCCAUCACGACCUAUAGUGAUCACUCAAAAAGUUUCAUGGAGUUUGGAAUCAAAAGGUCACAUGAAAUGUUAAGUUACAUGCUUGUUGGAAUGACCUCAUUAAGUGAAAAAAACCAUAGGUCAUCAACCAUUCUUUGCAACCUUGCCCAAAUGACUCUAGAUGAACUCUACAACAAAAGUCAUGAAGGGUUCAUGUUGAGCUUGUGCCCAGAAAGUGCUUCAAUUUCCCUAAAACCUUAAUUCAAGCUUUAUCAAGUUGCUGCUUUGACCAAAGUGAAAGUUUGAUUUCUGUACUAGUUCUGAGGUUUGACCUUAAAUCAAAGUUGUAGUUUAGAUUCGGUAGAACAAACUUUGUUUAAUGGUCAAGAACUAGUUUGGUCCCUAACCUUGUCAAAUUGAGCUGACAAGAUUCAAUGCAGUGCUGUUUUGGAACUCCAGAAAUUGGCUAAGUCAUCAAGGUGCUCAGUUUCGGGUACCCUAGUUGGGAUCCCUGUAUCUUACUAACCAGGCCAAAACAGUAUAAGAUCCUUUAAGCAAAGUUGUAGUACAGAUUGUAUACUACAAUCUUUGUUAAAGUUUCCAAGUCUGAAUCUUCAUCUAAGCAUGUCAAAUAUGAGCCACAAAAUUGAAUCUGAUAUAGUUUCCAGCACUUAGAGUUUUUAAGUCUAGGUUUGCAGUUCAUCACGUUGGCAUUCCGCGUUCUCCAAAUUUUACUAAACAACUUGCUUGUGUCACAAAAUAAAAGUUGGAGCACAUAUUGUGGGCUACAGCAUGCCAAAAGAUAACACCAGUUUGACUUCGUUUUGGUCAUCAAUUUUGAGUUUCGCUAAUCACUAUCAAUUCGUUGACACUCAUAGAUUGGCAUCAAAUUAUCUAUUAAUCUGUAAUCCUAAUGACCAUGACACAUAAAUGAAAAAUGUAGAGCAGCACGAGUUUGACAAACAUCAUUUUUGGCCCAUGUCCAAAUUCGGCCCGUAUGUAUGGAUCCCACGUUGACCACUCUGUUGCCCGCCACCUGUUCGGCAUAAUGCCUCAAAGGCCAGCACGUGUUCUAGACGUGGCAUCCAUGCCCGGAUGCGCCCCCUCCUCCUCUGCUACUCGCCCAGGCGCCCCCCCCACGCCCGGUUGUCGAAGUGGAGAAGCACCCCAGUGCCUUCCUCAUCCAUUUCCACCCCCGGCUCGCUCUCUCCCUCGCCCUAUGGCCACUCCGGAGCAGGGCCACCAUGGCCGGCCGCCAUGCCUCAGGGGUGAGCGUGGCCAAGCCACCACGAGUCUCCUCGGGCCGAGCUGAGUGGUCUUAUGGAUGCAGGGAAGUCUCCUGGUGCUCCCCCACCCCUCCCUCACCGUCGGCGUGGCCAUCUUUGGCCAGAAAGCGCAAAGCCGGCGAUCCUCCUCCGUUCUCUGUUCGAGCAGAGAAAGAAAAAGGGCCUCGUGUUGGAAUAAGAAACAAUCCAGGGUUCCAAAUGCGAAGCCAAGACUCAUAUAAAUAGUAUUUGUGGGAUGUUGCGUGAUUCGUGGAAAGUCCAGGGUCCCCGGUUAAAGAUCUGUUUUCCUUUUCCUUUGUUUUUGCAGAUUUCUGGGUGAAGUUUGAAAAUCCAUAGUAAUUCAUUGAAAAGUCAUAAAAUAGCAAAGGUGGACUUUUUGGAAUCCUUGUGAAAUUCUCUAUGCAGUAGAUCUAUAAUAUGGCAUGGUUUAGUUUUCAGUUUUAGCAGUAAAAAUAGAUUUAUGCAGUUCGGUUUUAAUUGCUUGUUAUAUUUGUCUUUUUAAUAACCACUGUACUAUUGCUCAAAUAAAUGUGAAAAUAUUGUGGCAUGCUUUAUAUAUACUAUUUGAUGUCUGGUAAAAGUUUCAUGAAUUUAGGCAUAACAGAUUAAGAGUUAUAAAAAUAACAAAUGCUCUGUGUUGCCUUGCUCCUAUUCUGAGUAUGUCUGCAUGUUUAUAUUGUUUGGUUCAGUUAGGUUGUGAAUCAUUCCUGGAUGAAAAUAUAUGAGUUGUAGUACUUUUCAUAAGCUUUCCAUCAAGCUAAAUAGCAUAAUUUUUGGUCAAGCAUAUGUUUAGUUAUAGUAGUUUAAAUUACUAUUUCAGUUUCUGUCUAAAUCCAGACAGCAAUGCAUUGGUUGUUAUGUAAGACCUUGUUAGUUGUAGAUUUAGCUCUAGAUGUUUAUAAAAAAGUUGUUCACAAUUUAGUAAGCGUUCUAGAAAGCACAUAACCAUAAUUUAUGGGCAUAUGAAACUCAAGUUAUGGCUGUUUAAUGUGACAUGAUAGAUUCUGUCCAUGUUUUGGACAGAGAUGUCUUUAUGGAUAUUGAUAAAUGGUUUAUAAUUAUAAAUAAAAAUGUAGAAAUAGAAAAUGUUGUUCCAAUACAAUCCUAUGAUAUUAUUGUAUCAUGUUUAUGUAUGUUAUGGCCAUGUGUUUGAAGAAAAUAUGAUUUGUGCAUUUAUCUUGCUCUCACAUGGUUAAUUGCAAUAGCAAUUUGUCUUUUUCAUAGAUGUUGCUAUGCUUAUUCAAAUACUGUGAAAUUUAUACAGCAGUCUAUUCAUGGUAUUUAGAGGCUACUAUAAUUUUUGUAGAAUUUACUGUGCAUGUUUGAUAUAUGUUCCUUAAUACACCUUAUUAUCCAAAUAAAUUAAGAAAUGCAUUAAAUAACUUUAUUUGGAAAUGACCACUAUGUUUUCUGGUGUUCUUUAGAUAUAUGCAAACUGUUGGUAAUAAUGGUUUUGCUCAAAUGCAUGUUUGAAAUAUAAGUUAAUAAUUAAUUGUUUGCAAUUGUUAUUUCUGGACAGUUUCGGGAACUGUUUGGAUUACAAUGUGUAAAUGAUGUUUUCUGGGAAUCUUGUUUAUAGUAAAGUUGUAGAUAAUUCAUUUAUCUAGCUGCUGUCAAAAUUUGGUGGCAUUUGGUUAUGUGGUUUGUAUGUUAUGGCUGUUCACAGUUGAGUUUCAGAAAUGGUUGCUCUCUGUCUUGUUAGGACCUGAUUCUGUAAUUCUAAUAUUUCGACCUGCCAAACUUAUGAAUCAUGCUUUGAUAUAUAAAUAUGAAAUGUAGAUAAUUUCCUAAGCUUUUCAGAAUGUCUUCUUUCAUGUCUUUUCGAAUUGUGUAACUCCAGUUAUGAUUUAUUAUCUCAGCUACUGUUAACAGUCCUAAAAAUAACAGAUUCCUUGUAUUGCUGUUGCUUGGUAUAUUGCUAGGUGUGACUCAUGUCUUUGAUAAUGGCCAUGUUAUUACACCUGAAAUCUUGUGAAACAUGUAUGCCAUGCCUGAUAUACUUGGUUGCAUUCUUUUCUAUUUUAGUAUGUAGGUUUGUGUGAUGUUUAAGUAAUCAAUGAGAAGUGCUUAUGUAUGUUUAGUGUAACCAUGCUCUUGACAUACUUCUUGUGUGUGAUGCUUUAUCUAUUGCACUUCUAUGUGUUCAUACACUUGCAUCUUGCAUCUCAUUUAGGUACGCUAGAUGAACUACGUGAAGGACUUUAUGGUGGACCUAACCGGAUGAUGGAAGGACUACACAAGUGUUGUCACCUUAGAUGUCGUUCAGACGGUGUAAGCUGACAUAACUGACUUGUGUCGGAUUCCAGGCAAGCCCCGGAGCAUUUUAAGUCUCCUACCCUCUGUUUUUAUAAAAGCACAAGAGUAUAACUUUAUAUGAUGCAUUAGGUGAUAGGAGUUGAAUGAAACCGUUGGUGCAUAUAUUCCUACCUUGUCCACUAUAUGAAACUACCUGAACCCUUAACGUUCUAUGCUUAGCUAUGCUUAGCUCGGUAGAAGCCGGGUGAUUUCCUGUCACCUGCGAGAGAUAGGUGGAUACCUGAUCACGGUUGGCUAUAUUUGCUAUCGUGGAAAUAACCAUGUGCUAAUAAUGAAUUUGAGACCGGGCGGGAUGACGAUAGUGAAGCAACAAGGCAUGGAGGUCUUGGGUGUGAAUCUAUCCCCGUUUGUGUCGUUUAAGGACCGAUACGCUGUACGUCCUCGUGUCAUGUUGAACGCAUGCCUACCACUUAGCUGGCCGGAUAAGUCGUUCCGACCGCGAAGCCUACGAGUGCAACUCCGGCCGGAUACCCCGAUCUGGUUAAAGUGCGCACCCCGGUUGGUAGUAAGGAUGUGCGGGGAGUCAAUGGCGUAAGACCGAGGAGUCAGGUUAGAGUCCUGACCCUGGCAGAUUGGCGGUCCCUGGGGGUGCGGCGCCGUACGGACCCGCGAAUUGGUCCGGAGUUGUGCUAAAGGUGAUCCAAGCUACUCUAGCUAAGUACGCCUGGGUGAGUGCUAGGAAUACCCCUCCAGCUGGAUAGGAAUCGAUUCGAAUCGCCGUCUCUCCCGGAUAGUGAGAACUUGACUCGAGCAGCGGCAACGUAGAUACACUAAAUGAAACUUAAUGGUUAUGAUGAUGAUGAUGAUGGCUACAUGAUAAACCUGAUACGGUUAUUAAUGUGAUGCUUAAUAAUCAAGUGGUUGCUAUAGAAUAGGUGCAAAUCUAGCUAUGGUAGCUUAAUUGAACUUGAUGCUAAAAUAUUGACUGAAAGGUUGAAAGUAAGGACUCAUGAUAGUAAUGCUCUUUUGGCAAAGUUAUGCUAUCCAACCAACUCCACCAAAAAGCCUUGCAUAUCCUUGAGAGUAUUUUAUUUUCUCUCCUGUCGGGUAAGUCUAGCUAAGUACAUUCGAGUACUCAGGGUUUAUCCCACCCUGUUGCAAGUGAAGUCUUCAGUUUGCUAAAGAUGGUGGCUAACUGCCGGUGGGCUCGGUGAUUCUAUAUAGUGUUCUCAUCUAUAUGCUUUUGUCGGAGGAUGUCACUUAUGCUAGCAAUGUAUUUGAAACUUAUGUUAUUGUAAUCAUUUGAAAGCUAUGUUGUUUUCUAAUCAAUUUGGAAAAUCUAAACUUGUAUUAUUAUUUGUGAACUCUUUUGUAAUAUUAUUUCCGCAGCAAAUCUCCGUGUAUGUGAUAUGUAUUUGCUUAAUCAUGCGAUCUUGGUGUAAAGUUGAUUUACCGAGGUCCUUCGUGACACUCGGCAGACUACCGGGUUUAUAUAAGUGAGAGUAUGCGCGUGUCAACUUGUUAAACGUGGACAGUCAUGCUUAAACUAGUAUAAAUUGGGCGGUUCUGUCACAUCGAGUGCGUCGAGUACGGGGAGGCGGUCGAAAACUCCACCGAGCUCGUCGCAAAGCUCGAGGCCCUAGCCGCUGAGGCUCCAGAGCCCAAGCGCCACGCGGGUAGCUUCGAGCCAGCAGAAGGAACCAAGAAGAUCCCGCUCGACCCUAACAACUCCAACGGCAAGGUGCUGAUGAUCAGUGCCGACCUCGACCCCAAAUUGGAAGCUGUGCUGGUCGACUUUCUCCGUGCAAACGCCGACAUGUUUGCAUGGAGUCCCUCGGACAUGCCAGGCAUACCGAGGGAAGUCGCCGAGCACUCCUUGGAAAUUCGUGCCGCAACGGUUGCGCCGAUUCAACGAGGACAAGCGCAAGAUCAUUGGCGAGGAGAUCCACAAGCUUUUGACGGCCGGAUUCAUCAAGGAGGUUCAUCAUCCCGACUGGUUAGCAAACCCUGUACUAGUUAAGAAAAAGAAUGGGAAAAUGAGGAUGUGUGUCGACUAUACGAGUUUAAAUAAAGCAUGUCCGAAAGUUCCUUUUCCUUUACCACGUAUUGAUCAAAUUGUUGAUUCUACUGUGGGAUGUGAAACCCUUUCUUUCCUUGAUGCAUAUUCUGGUUACCACCAAAUAAAAAUGAAAGAGUCCGACCAGCUCGCGACGUCUUUUAUCACACCUUUUGGGAUGUAUUGUUAUGUAACCAUGUCGUUUGGGCUUCGAAACGCGGGAGCUACGUAUCAACGCUGCAUGCUCCACGUGUUUGGCAAGCACAUAGGGUCGACGGUCGAGGCCUAUGUCGACAACAUCGUAGUCAAAUCAAAGCGGCGAGGAGACCUGAUCCAGGAUCUCGAGAUUGCUUUUAGCUGCUUACGCGCCAACCAGAUUAAGCUCAAUCCUGAGAAAUGCGUUUUCGGCAUGCCUCGAGGCAUGCUCCUGGGUUACAUUGUUUCCCAGCAUGGCAUCGAGGCCAACCCCGAGAAAGUCUCGGCCAUCACAAGAAUGGGGCCGAUCCGAGACAUCAAGGGUGUGAAGAGAGUCACGGGAUGCCUAGCGGCGCUGAGCCGUUUCUUCUCGAGGUUAGGAGAAAAGGCGUUACUAUUAUAUCGGCUCCUGAAGAAAGUCGAGCGUUUCUCUUGGACUCCCGAGGCCGAGGAAGCCCUCGAAAACUUGAAGAAAACGCUGACUUCAGCACCGGUCCUGGUCCCGCCUCAACCUGCAGAACCACUGCUCCUUUACGUUGCCUCAAUGACUCAGGUCGUCAGUGCAGCUGUGGUUGUCGAGAGGCAGGAGGAGGGGCAUAUGUUGCCAGUCCAGAGACCGGUCUAUUUCAUCAGGGAGGUGCUCUCAGAAACCAAGACGCGUUACCCUCAAAUCCAGAAGCUAAUAUACGCCGUAAUCCUCGCCCGACGCAAGCUGCAACACUAUUUCCUCGGCCACCCCAUCACGGUGGUCUCGUCCUUCCCCUUGGGCGAGAUAAUCCAAAAUAGGGAGGCCACGCGAAGAAUAGCUAAAUGGUCGGUCGAGCUCAUGAGUGAGACUCUCACUUAUGCGCCCUGUAAGGCUAUCAAGUCACAAGCCCUGGUGGAUUUCGUUGCGGAAUGGACAGACUCCCAGCUCCCCCAACUCAGGUUCAGUCGGAGCUGUGGACGAUGUAUUUCGAUGGGUCUCUCAUGAAGAUGGGGGCUGGGGCCGGCCUGCUGUUCAUCUCGCCCCUGGGCGUUCAUAUGAGGUACAUCAUCAGAAUUCACUUUGCCGCAUCCAACAACGUCGCAGAAUACGAGGCCCUCGUCAACGGUCUCAAGAUCGCCAUCGAGCUAGGAGUCCGAUGCCUUGACGUCUGAGGCGACUCCCAACUCGUCAUCGACCAAGUGAUGAAGACCCCAAACUGCCACGACCCGAAAAUGGAGGCGUACUGCAAGGAAGACCGUCGACUUGAGGACAUAUUCCAUGGCCUCGAGCUCAUCCACAUCGCCCGACGCUACAACGAGGUGGCCGACGAACUCGCCAAGAUCGCGUCAACCCGAGGCACGGUACCACCUGACGCGUUCUCAAGAGAUCUUCACGAGCCAUCCGUCGACUUGGGCUCGGGGGCUGGCAUCGAUGCCACUCCUGCCCAGCAAACCGACACCGUCGACGCACUACUGACGGCAGCUGAGGUAAUGGAGGUGGAACAACGGCCCGGUCGACCGUUCGACUGGCGCACACCGUUCCUCGACUACCUAAUCCGCUGCGAGCUGCCAGAAGAUCGAUCCGAGGCCCGCCGUAUCGCUCGACGGGCCAAGUCAUAUGUGAUCUACGGCGAGGGCAACGAGCUAUAUUGACGGAGCCCGACGGGGGUCUUGCAGCGUUGCAUCACCGUGGAAGAAGGCCGGAAACUCCUCGAGGACCUACACUCGGGGGCUUGUGGCCACCAUGCUGCUCCACGGACCCUCGUAGGGAACGCCUUCCGACAAGGCUUCUACUCGCCAACGGCCGUAGCUGAUGCCAUCGAGCUCGUACGCUCACGCCACGGGUGCCAGUUCUAUGACAAACAGACUCAUUUGCCCGCCCACGCUCUUCAGAUGAUCCCCAUCACAUGGCCAUUUGCGGUGUGGGGGCUCGACUUAGUAGGGCCUCUACAAAAGGCAAAAGGAGGGUACACCCACUUGCUGGUGGCUAUCGACAAGUUCUCCAAAUGGAUCGAAGCUCGACCCAUCACCAACAUCCGCUCCGAACAGGCCGUCCUUUUCUUCACCGACAUCAUCCACCGAUUUGGGAUCCCCAACGUCAUCAUCACCGACAAUGGCACUCAGUUCACGGGCAAGAAGUUCUUGGACUUCUGCGAUCAGCAUCACAUCCGUGUGAACUGGUCUGCAGUAGCCCAUCCUCGAACUAACGGCCAGGUCGAGUGUGCCAACGGCAUGAUUUUGCAGGGGCUCAAACCAAGGAUCUACAAUCGCUUGAAGAAAUUCGGCAAGAAGUGGGUCGAGGAGCUUUCCUCGGUCUUAUGGAGCCUAAGGACGACGCCAAGCAGGGCCACAAAAUACACCCCAUUCUUCAUGGUCUACGGCUCUGAGGUUGUCCUCCCCACAGACCUCGAGUAUGGGUCCCCUCGACUUACAGCGUACAACGAACAAUCAAAUAAAGAAUCUCAAGAGAACGCGGUCGACCAACUCGACGAAGCUCGAGAUAUGGCCCUCAUCAACUCUGCUAGGUACCAACAGAAGCUUCGACGCUACCACGACAAGCACGUGCGCAGGAGGGACUUGAACGUGGGAGACCUCAUUCUACGUCGGCGACAAAGCAACCAAGGACGCCACAAGCUGACCCCACCAUGGGAGGGCCCAUAUAUGGUGGCCGAGGUCUUGAAGCCAGGGACAUACAAGCUUGCGGACGAAAAGGGGGCGGUCUUCACCAACGCAUGGAACAUCAAACAGCUACGUCGAUUCUACCCCUAGAAUUUCAAAGCUUUAUGCUCCUACGUAUGCUUUGUACCAAGGCCUUGUAAAUGAAUGUACGAAUAAAUGAAGUCUUUCCCUCGAGCGAUUUACUUUUGCACAAGUCUCAAUGAUAGAAGGGAGUAUCGACUACGACCUAUCAUAGUCGACACUCCCUCGGGGGCUAGCAAGGGGGGCGACCCCCCCAAGUGUCGAAAAAAUCUAGCAAUCCUUUCAUUCCUAUCGGUAAUCUCACACGGUUGAGUAGUAAAGGUACCUCGAGACCCUUAAGGGAUGAGAAACGACAAGCCUGAGAACUCCUACGCCCCUGGGCUAUGGAAACUCUACUCGCCUCCUCACCCUUGAGGCAAUCAAGACCGCCUCGAACAAAAGACCAAGUGAGAAAAAACAAACAUAGGCACAAAAAGGAAAAAAAAGAAGCCUUGAGAGAAAAGGUAGACAAACAUAUAACAAACACUUAAAGAUACUGUAUCACUUGAAAACAGGAUUAACAAAGUACUAUACAAGGGGCCCCAUGCACCCUGAGCAGGCUCGCAGGCCUUAGCCCACAGCACGGUCCUCACCACCCUCGCCUGCGCCCGAGCUAGUCUCAUGGGGAAGCACCUCAGGCUCAAAUAGCUUGGCCAGCCUCUCUCCAGGAGCCUCCACGUCGUCAAUCAAGGCAUGGAGCCUCUCUUUGUUCUCCGCGUCGGUCUUGGAGAUGUCGGUGACGAAGCCGUGGGACACCACCUCCAUGACGUAGGAGAAGCCUGAGCAGACGACCGCCAUUGCUCGCCUCACCCCGAUGUGGAGGGCAUCCCGCACCCGAUCUCUCAGCGUCGCGCCUAAGUAGCAUAGCUGGUCGACCAGUGCGUUGCCUCGAGCGUCCUCCUUCGACUCGUCCAUGGGCUUGAUCUCCCAAGUGGUCGAGAGAUCGCUUAUCGCCGUCCGCACUCGACGGUUCAAAGCAACCUCCGCCUCGAGCUGGGCUUUAGCAUGGCGGGCCUCGACUUGGGCGGCCAAAAGUUCGUCCUUAAGCCCUGUGAAUGCCAACGCAAAAAACUUUAGGAAAAACCAAGCACACCUCGAAAAGGAAAUCCGACAAUAGAAACGUACCACGAAUGCUCUCCUCCAGGGCCGUGUUCUCGCCAACCAAUUUAGUGUUGGCCAUCUCGAUCUCUUUAUUGGAGCGUGCCAGCUCAGUAUUGGCGACUCAAAGAUCCUCGAUCGCCUUGCCAGCCUGAGCAAUGGCUCCACUCUUCUCCAACAGUUCUCCCUUCAGACGGUCGACGUCGUCAGAGAGGCUGCGGGAUCGAGCCCGCUCCGCCUCGAGGUCUUCGAGGGCCUUCUUCUUCGCUUCCUCCAUGGCCCCCCUGGCGACCUCGCUGUCCACGUACGCCACCUUCAUCCUUUGAAAGGAGUCUCGGAGGGAGUCCAGGUCGGCCUUGAGAACGCCCUUCUCCCUGUCCAAGUCAGCAAUGACGUUCUUGUAGGACAGGGCCUCCUCCCGGGCUUUGGACGCGGCCUCCUAGACCGUCAGAGCCCACUCCCGCAGCAGCAUCGUCUCCUCCACCGCCUUCCUUGAGGCCUCCCGAGCCUCGACCAAGGCAGCCUCUCUCGCCUUCUUCUCCUCCUCGAGCGCUAUGAGGUCUUUAUAAGCCUUAAGGAGUUUUUCCUGUGACUCGAGGAGUUGGUCCUUCAGGACGGGGAGCUGCUCCCAGCUGCCUCUUGUGGCGUGAAUGAAGCUCGACUUGAUACGGGAGGUCUCUUUCAUAUCCUGUGAGUCGGUGGUCGAACGGUUAGAACACGAAACCAAAGGAUCUAUAAGAAUCAAGGACCGAAAAAUACUUACGAAGUAGGCCGGCCCGAGCCCGUUGUUGAUGACGUCCGAUAGGAGCCCCACCAUGUGCUUCAUCCAAAGGCGGAGCUCCUCGACAUGUUCCCAUUUCUCCGCCUCCUUCCUAUCGUCCACGAAGAUGUUGGGCUCAGACGGGUCGGUGGAAGCCCGGAUGCGGAUCCGAUCGGGGCACCAGUUCUCCAUCUCCCAGUCGGCCCGCGCCUUGACGCCACGAAUAAGGUCCUCGACGGCCUCGAGGGAUCCCACAUGGCGCAGGAACAAGUCGACGAUGGAAGGGAACCGCCCGUCGUCGUCCACCGUCUUCCAGGUACCGUCUUGGCUACCCGACGUCCCGGCCUCAUCCUCCUCGGCAGGGAUGUGGUCCUCCCACGCCCGGCGCUCCCGGAGGAACCCUGGGGCGAUCCCGUCCAUGCCGUAGAUCGUCCUCCUGAUCUCGGACUCGGGGUCGGCGGGGGUACGCAUCAUGCAGGCAAGCGCUACCACACCGUCCGCUCGCCCCCGCUCUGCUGGGAUCGCGGCGGGCGCCCCAGGGCGGAGCCACGCCGGGGUCGGAGGACCAAAAACCGGCAAAUCCUCCUCCUGGCCUCCGGGUUCUUGCGGCGCUGGUGGUACAGGUUGGGGCGGACUGUGAGGAGGGGGCUCGAGCAGUUGCUGCUGCUGCUGCUGUUGCUCCUGCAGCAGCUGCUGCGACUCCUGCUGUUGCUGCUGUUGCUCCUCCUGCUGCUACUACUGUUGCUCCUCGAGCUCCUGCGACUCUUGUCGGUAGCCCUGCUCCUGCGGCUGCUGCCUUGCCUCGCGCUCCCGCUCCUCCUCCUCCUCCUUUUUAUUCUGCUCCUCGAGGGCGCGAAGACCAGCAGGCCAGGGAGUCCGUCCCGCGACGAGGGAGCUCGACGCGUCCUCCUCCAUAGGGCGGGCAUCCCUCGACGUCUCGUUGCCACCAGACGUGUCACUGAUGGUAAUAGGAUCCUCCUCGACCCCCGAUCGGGGAGGCUCGGGGACUCCCCCUUGCCCUUGGGUUUUGGGCGCCUCGGUCCGUGUCGGCGGCGACGGGGCAGACUCGGGACGAGGCGGGGCACUCUCAAGACCGGUCGGAGGAUGGGAGUCGGAGGAGCGUGUAAAACAGAGAAUAAAGGCCGGUCACUAUGAUGACUAGCGGAAGAACAACUCAAGUCCCAAAAGUAAGCUACCAACCUGAUUCCUUGGAGGCCACUCCCACCUUGAGCUUCAUCGCCAUCGAAGGCUGGGCCUGCUCGAGCGUCCGUUUCAACCUAAGGAAGGAAGAACAGGCGUAAAGGAGACUGCUACAUGAGAAAACGCAGAGGAACAGGAGAACAAAAAUCACAACAUCGAAGAACUUACCCUACAGGGAGAACAGCUCGCCUGCCGGUGCCCCGACCGGUGGGCCUCGAGCCACCCCGCGUCAAGGUCCCGGGCCCCUCGAGGACAGGCGCUGGCCUUGGCCCAGCAACUUCCGCUUGGCGGGCACCGGGACUGGUGCUCCUGCGGCCAGUCUCUCCUUUCUCGGAGGCCGCGGCGCGACCGCGAGUCAGUGGCCCCAUCGCCUGGGGCCUAGCAUGGCUACCCAUCUUGGGCGCAGGGGGAGGGCGUGGGGCGACCUGACCAGUCGCGGGCACAGGGGGGUGUCGCCACGAGGGCGGUGAGAUCCACCUGGUCCCUCCUUUGGUGUUUCCAUCCGUGGGGCGUCGACGUCGCCUCGAGGCGGACCCUCAAGGAUCCGGUCGAGGCGACAUGCCAUCCCCUCGGAGUCGUCGCUGUCCUCAUCACCAUCUCCACCAUCAUCGUCGCUGGGGGAUUCUUCCUCGGGUUCCCCCCUCUGCCUGGAUUUAGCUCGACGCGCCUCUAAUGCUUGGCGGUUGAGGUUCUUCUUUUUCUCUCCUUUCUUUGCAGAAUCCUUGGCGGACUUUUGCUUCUCGGCGGACCGGCGCCGCGCGUCACGGUCGACCUCGUCCUCCUUUGCCGGAUGCCGCGAGGACCGGACAUCAAUCCGCCCCUGCCAGAACAAAGGCAGACUCAGAAAAGGGGUAGAAAGAAAUCCAGAAUCAAAGCUAUACACGAAAAGACAACAUACCAGAUCAAUCGAGCCCGCAUCAGGCCUCAUGGGGAAGCCGUUAACAUGCUCCGGCUUAAAGUCACCAGCAAUGGCGGCCCUGACCCUUGCCACGACUUCGUCGUUCGCCGGAGCCUCGCUCGACAUCCGGCACGCCUCGAGGUCCCGAGAUGAGGCGCCGGGGGCCAUCUCGUCCAUCCUCAGCGGUCGAGACAUCAAUGGGAGAACUCUCCGGUGAUGGACGGCCGAGAGGACGAGAGCGGCAGUCAAGCCUUCCGAGCGCAGCUUCUUCAUGACGUCGAGGAGGGGGUCGAGCCGAGAUUGAUGAACUUGGACGACGCCGUACGUCCAAUUCUCCGGACGCUCCGUGAUCAGACGCCCGGUGUAGGCGGGCAGGAGAUCGUCGUCAUUCCUCAAGUAGAACCACUGGGAAUCCCAGCCGGCGUGGUUAGUCGACAGUCCCACUGGGAUGUACUCACGUGGCCUCUUCGUCUUCCCCAUCUUCAGCACGACAUUGAGGCAGCCCGCCCGCACAGGCUUCCUCACGCCGGUGGUCCCAGUGGGGGCGUUGAAGAGCUCGCCCCUGUAGAGGUGGAGCCAUAGCUCCUAGUGGGGCAUCAUCCCCAAAUAGCUCUCACACACCGCGGCGAAGACCGCCGCGAUGGUGAUGGCGUUUGGGGACAAGUGCUGGAGCUCCACCCCAUAAUGGUGGUAGAGCUCCCGCGUGAAGCGGCUCGGGGGAGCGCCCAGGCGGUGGCGGUGGAACUUGGCGAACGAAACCACAUAGCCCUUGGGCGGCCUGGGCUCCCUGUGGUCCGCCGGCGGCACGAUCCACUUCGGCGACGACAGCGAGGUGCGGUGGCGCAGGAGUCCCUCCCUCUCAAGCUCUAGCAGCCGGCGCUCCGUCAUCGACGACGGACGCCAGUCGUCGGCGACGACAAGUCUCACAGGCAUCCUAGCCGAAGGGAUGGCGAAUUCGCUACUACUCGAGGGGGACACGCGCGCGUGAGAUGGCAAGAGCAGUAAGGCAAUGAGAGGGCUAAGGCGAGAGUGAAGACGAGAGGCAGAAGGGAGAACGGUGGCGGCGCCAAGGCACAUUUAUAGGCAGUUGUCCACCAAUGGGCAGAUCCGAUAAAUGAGGUAACUCCCCCCAUAAAUGCACCGUCUAAUGGUCCUUUCCCUCCUCACAGGUGGGGCGCUCCGAAUUCCACGCCGACGCAGUGUCGUAACGUCUCCCACCUAAAAAGGCGCGCCCAACGGGCAAGAAGGCAAACCGCCCACGGUCUUUUCCUUCCCUUGUAAGCCAAGGAGUGUACCCGUGAAAGCCUCGAGAGGUCGCAGGCUGGCCCACCGAAAGGGUUCGACAGCCGAUCUCGAGCACCAGAGUCAGGGAUCCCCAGCGAGUGGUCGAAGAUCGAGGCCCGUCUCGAAGACUUGCUGGGGAUGUCCAAGGUAGGGUCGAGAAAGUCGAGAGGAAUCCCCCCAACGGGAGGCAUCGAGCCGCUGGACUCUAUCGAAUGAGACCAGUAUCCCCGACCACAUCGACCCUGCUUUAUGAGAACGCCUCCGGACUACAGCUGACCCCCUCGAAAAGGGGCACAGGUUCUCACUUGGACUAUCUGCUAGAAACUCGACUUGGGGUGGAAGACGCUCGCUCUAUCGAGAGUACGUCGAAACCCCCGCACAAAACAAGCCAAUCAGGACCUUCCACCACCGGUGUCGAUAGCGAUUCUGAGAGUUAGGCAAUAUAACCCUCGAAGGAGUCAAAAACUCCUCCAAGGGUUCGGGGGCUACCCCCGUGGGGUCGCUCGCGCGCCCCCACGGAAAUUCGACCGCAAAAUAAAGCCUCCACUCGAGCACCAGCGCUCGAAUGGAGACUCGGGGGCUACUGUCGAGGGUAUCAGUAAGGGGUACCCUAACUGACGCACAUAACGAGAUUACCCGUGCACAGAUCGAGGCCCUCAACUCGACGUACUAAUAAGCCGUGCGGUCAUCGACGGCCGCAGCCUCGAAGACGUAAAUGACGUCGAGCGAACCACUCAAGGGUCCAGCGCUAACUACCGUCGAAUACGGAAAUGGGCUCGAGCGAAUCGGGAGGCGUCGAGCGCAAGGACACUGUCCGCCGCUUGACGCGCGCCCGAGAGCCAGGGCAUUUAAUGCGCCUAUCACUUUCCCACCUAACACGUUGGUCACGGGAAGCGUGAUAGGGAACAGGCACCCGUCCCAUCAUUCUUUUUGCAGCUUUCCCCACCAAACGGCUCAGAGCGUACCAGGACGCGGGAAGCAGGGAUGGAGCGUCUAAUCUGGACCUCCUCGAGACACCCAAGGUCAACGCUUUGGACAACAAGGCAGUGCACGGCGUCUAACCCUCGACCAGGCAUGAUUCCUGCCUGGGGAAGAGUUGGGCAUCGACUGACAACACCGCAGCCACUCCGCCAGAUCUGCCGCUAUACCGUACAGGCGUGCGACCGGUGAACCAGCCCGAGACGGCGCGCAGAGCAGGAUACUGUUGACGGUCCUUAAUGCUCAUAUUUAACCAUCAACUAAUCAUAGAAAAGGAUCCAAAUGCAACCAACACCUAGACUUAGGGUUUUAUCUGACAGAAUUCCACGAGUUUUGGUGUUUGUCUAUUUCUGCAGGGGGUUAUCAGGAAAUACGGAAGAAAGGCCCACACGUCGGGAUUACAUAGAGAUAUUAACGUGCCGUGCAAUUUUCUAUCAUCUAGAAGACUCCAGAAGCCACAGGAACGAACGGGAGGCCUAGCGGGCCCGGAGGCAGGGCGCCCGCCCUACCCCCCUGGGCGCCCGCCCUCCUCUGCUGGCCAAUCAGCACGAGUCUCGGGGAUUAUGCCCCAUCGACUCUAAGGAUCGAGGAAAAUCACACGAUGAAGGUCGGUUUGAUCGGAUGGUGGAGAAUAACGUGGAAAUUCCUUGGGAGCUACUCUUCCUAGAUUUCUUGGGGGCUACUCUUCCUAGAUUUCUUGGGGGCUACUCUUCCUGGACUAUAUAAGCAGACCCCCACCAGCCCCUGGAGGCAUACCUCUUCUACGGAAUCAAAGCUAGGGUUUCAAUUCUUCAUCCAAUUAGAGAGGAUCCCUCUAGUUAUUCUAGUUCUACCUCUAGUUCAUCUAGAUCUAGUUCUAGUUCAUCUAGUUCUAGUUCUAGUUCCUCUAGUUCUAGUUCUAGUUAGUUCUAGUUGUAAUCUAGAAAAUAGGGAGAGAGAAGAGGAGAGCGGAGGAGGAGCCGGAUCUGUCGGAUCUUCCUCAACAUUGUACUUUUGCAGCAUCUGGUUCGUUCUUCAUCGUUCUCCAGGUUCUUCAACUCAUAACUCCUGAGUUCUCUAAUUAUUUUUAUUUACAUUCAAGUUAUUUAUUGGAUUCCCGCUUGCAUCAAGUGCUCUAGUCUUUGAAACAUUAGAGUAGUAAUUAAUAGAUUAGACGUGGUGUUUAGUCUUGCGAUUACCUGGAAUUGCACCCAAUCCUACGGAUUGUUGUGGUAGCCCUAGGGUAGUGACAGCCCUAACGGUCGACGUAUUCCACCACGUUCGGAUCGGUGUUUGUAGGACCGUAGUCAGACCUUCCUAGCCCCCUUCUCAUCUCUUUCUGUGGUUAGUGCUCUAAUGUCCCGAUAUAGAUAAUCUUGAAGUAAUCCUUGAUUCUUAGAUCAACUAGAGAACUCUCAGGAAACUUCCUCUCUUCCCACCAAAAAUAAUUAUAUAGUUAUCCUUGGGCGAUCUUGAAUCUUAAUUAGUACACUCACGUUCUCUGUGGAAAAUCGAUACUCUGGAAUACUCCCGGGUGAAAGCUACAUCGGUAUCCGUGCGCUUGCGGAUUUUUUCUGUUUGCGUUUAAAAUACCCAACAAGCUUUCUGGCGCCGUUGCCGGGGAACGGUAGCUGUGCUAGUUUCGAACCAAGUCGUCCGUGUAUCCUUUUUCUUUUCCUUUUAUACCACACUCACCUUACCAUUUUCACCACACCACAUGGAUUUCACUCCUAUCUAUAAAUUCUUUGCUCCAAAGGGCGAGUUGUUAGAACCACCACCAUCAUCACAUCCAAUUCUUACAGAUGGCUACGACCUCGGCCCUGAUCUAAUUGCCAUGAUUCAGGAGCAAUCCUUCUCUGGGCAAGUAGAUGAAGAUCCAUACACCCACCUUAGAGAAUUUGAGCAGUUGUGCUCUUGCUGAUCUAUUUUCGGCAUGACACAAGAAACCCUUAAAUGGAAAUUAUUUCCGUUCUCCCUUUUGGGAAGAGCAAAAAAGUGGUAUGCUCAUUCUGUAGGAGGCGUUAAUGGAAGUUGGGAAGAACUUCGAGACAACUUUUGUCUCGCUUUCUUCCCACUUUUUCGAAUUGCUGACCUUAGAAUUGAAAUUCUUACAUUCAAACAAAGAGAGAAGGAAACUUUAGGAGCAGCUUGGGCUAGGUUCACAAGCCUUACCAAUUCCGGUCCAAACCUUUCCCUGCCUGACCAUGUACUGUACUACCACUUUUAUCGUGGUCUAAGCAAGGAGGCUGCUCUUCACCUCGACAUUGCUUCAGGAGGCUCAUUCACACACAAGCUCACAGAUGAGGGGAGAGCUAUCCUAGAGAGAAUCCUUGAAAAUACCCCUUACACAGGCAUUUAUGAUGAGUUUCCUGAAGAAGAAAAAGAAGUUGAGCCUAAUCCUAAACCAAAAGAAGAGGAACUUGCAACCGAGUUAGAAAUUCCACCUGACCCACCUAUUAAUUUGGUUGUAGAGAAACCUCCUGAUAAGGGAAUGCAAAACCAACUAAAGGAUGAUGAACCACCACCUUUACAGCAUCCCUUUGAAUUCGAGGAAGAUCUUUUUGAAGAUUAUGGAAACACCUCAAAUUUUCCUAUCCAAACACGACCUCUAGCAAGGACCACUCAAUCCAUUCUAAGAGUAGAAUCUGUUGACAUAGAACACAUCAAAAGCCUUUCGGCUAUUCUGAGUUAUGAAUGGCUAACAGAAGCAGAGCUGUCUCCUGAGGUAGCUCGAAUCAUCACUCCUUCAACCAUUCUUCUGUGCCAAAUUAGAAGGUCCGCUAGGAAGGUCCACUACAAUCCAUAUGUUGGGAUAAAUGUUAUUUCCAAGGAGUUAGCUGACACUCUUUAUCCCAACGAGUCCAUAACCCCAUCUCAAAAACUUUUACAAAGUCCAUCUAGAUUAAUUCUAGAAAUCCAUGGGGUAUUAAGGGCAGUUCCUGUUAGAAUCAAGGACUCUGGAAUAUGUCUAGAUUUUCACAUUUUUGACAUACAUGAGAUUCCUCUCUUGAUUGGUAGACCAAUCAUAAAACUUCUACAUGAACAACCACAACGAGGUCAUUUAGACUUCAAGGUUGGGAAUUCCACUAUUGUUGUUCCUCUUGCUAGAUCAAUUAACACGAUAGUGGAACCCAAACUUGACCCAGAUCCUAUUGAGGAGAUCUUAAUGGUGACUCAAGAGGAGAUGACCCAACCAUUCUUUAAUCAUGAACACUUUGUUCAAGAAGAAGAAGAGUUGGUAGAACCCGUUGAGCUAGAUAAAAAUGAACAACCUUCACCUCCUUCGAUAGAGUUAAAACCUCUUCCUUCUGGCCUUAGAUAUAUCUUCUUGCACAACAACCCAAACACUCUAGUAAUUAUCAGUGACAAGCUUUCCGAUUAUGAAACACAACAACUUGUCACUGUUCUUGAAAGACAUAGAUCAGCAUUUGGCUACUCUCUCGAGGAUCUCACGGGCAUUAGUCCCAUUCUCUGCACUCAUCGUAUCCCUAUUGAUCCCAAUUUUACACCUUCCAGGGAACCACAACGGAGACUUAACAAUGCUAUGCGAGAGGUUGUUAAGAAAGAGGUCCUGAAACUCUAUCAUGCUGGGAUUAUUUAUCCUGUGCCACAUAGUGAGUGGGUUAGCCCUGUCCAAGUAGUGCCAAAGAAAGGAGGAAUGACGGUCGUUAGGAAUGAGAAGAAUGAACUCAUCCCUCAACGAAUUGUCACUGGGUGGCGUAUGUGUAUUGACUAUCGAAAACUCAAUAAGGCUACAAAGAAAGAUCACUUUCCGUUACCCUUCAUUGAUGAAAUGUUGGAACGGCUUGCAAACCACUCUUUCUUUUGUUUCCUUGAUGGUUAUUCUGGAUAUCACCAAAUCCCAAUCCACCCAGAUGACCAAGAAAAGACUACCUUUACAUGCCCAUAUGGAACUUGUGCAUACCGACGAAUGUCGUUCGGAUUGUGCAAUGCUCCAGCUUCUUUCCAACGGUGCAUGAUGUCUAUUUUCUCGGACAUGAUUGAGAAGAUCAUGGAGGUUUUCAUGGAUGAUUUUACCGUCUAUGGCAAAACCUUCGAUCAUUGUUUGGAGAAUUUAGAUAGAGUCUUGCAGCGAUGUGAAGAAAAGCAUUUAAUCCUGAACUGGGAGAAAUGCCAUUUUAUGGUUCAGGAAGGAAUAGUGCUAGGACAUAAAGUGUCCGAACGUGGUAUAGAGGUGGACAAAGCAAAGAUUGAAGUUAUUGAAAAACUUCCACCUCCCACGAAUGUGAAAGGAAUCCGUAACUUUUUGGGACAUGCAGGGUUCUAUAGACGCUUUAUCAAAAAUUUCUCUCAAAUUGCUAGACCCCUAACUAAUCUCCUAGCUAAGGAUGCACCUUUCAUCUUUAGUGAUGAGUGUCAUGGAUCUUUUCAAACUCUUAAGAAAGCACUCAUCUCAGCCCCGAUUAUCCAACCACCUGAUUGGAAUCUUCCUUUUGAGAUCAUGUGUGAUGCUAGCGAUUUUGCGGUUGGGGCCGUUUUAGGACAAACCAAGGAUAGAAAGCAUUAUGCCAUAUCCUACGCUAGCAAAACCUUGUCUGGACCACAGCUCAAUUACACUACAACUGAAAAAGAGCUUUUGGUUGUUGUCUUUGCUAUAGACAAGUUUAGAUCUUACUUAGUGGGGGCGAAGAUAAUCAUCUAUUCAGACCAUGCUGCUCUCAAGUACCUCCUCACUAAGAAAGAUGCUAAGCCUCGUCUAAUUCGGUGGAUUCUUCUACUCCAAGACUUUGACAUAGAAAUCCGAGAUAGGAAGGGACUUGAGAAUUCUGUAGCCAACCACUUGUCUAGGCUUCAAUAUAAGGAAACACAUGAUGAGCUUCCCAUAAAUGACUACCUAAGGGAUGACACCCUACUUAAGAUAACACAUGCAGAUCCAUGGUACGCAGACAUCGUAAACUUUAUAGUAAAAGGCUAUGUCCCACCUGGUGCAAACAAAAGGAAGUUACUUCACAAUAGUCGUUUCCACCUUUGGGAUGAGCCAUAUCUUUUCCGAGUCUGCGCUGAUGGACUCUUGAGAAGGUGUGUUCCUAUGGCUGAGGCUACUCAAAUUAUGGAAAGAUGCCAUGCCUCGCCAUAUGGAGGACACUAUGGAGCAUUUCGGACACAUGCUAAAAUUUGGCAAAGUGGUUUUUUCUGGCCAACGAUGUAUGAAGAUACAAAGGACUUUGUCAGGAGAUGCCACCGGUGUCAAAAACAUGGGAAUAUUAACUCACGAAAUGAAAUGCCUCUCACAAAUAAUCUUCAAGUAGAACUUUUCGAUGUUUGGGGCAUUGAUUUCAUGGGGCCAUUCCCUAUGUCCGGGAAUUGCGAGUAUAUCUUAGUAGCUGUGGACUACGUGUCCAAAUGGGUAGAAGCCCUACCUUGUCGAUCAGCUGAUUCAAAACAUGCCAAGAGAAUGUUCCAUGAAGUAAUCUUUCCUCGCUUUGGUAUACCCCGGAUAGUUAUAAGCGAUGGAGGUUCUCACUUCAUCGACAAAAUCUUCCGAAAGUACUUAGCUGAUCAUGGAGUUCGACACAACGUUGCAACACCAUACCAUCCUCAGACUAGCGGUCAAGCCGAAACAUCUAAUAAACAAAUCAAAAAUAUUUUACAAAAGACCGUAGAUGAGAUGGGUAAGGGGUGGAAGGACAAACUUCCUGAUGCACGUUGGGCAUAUAGAACUGCAUUCAAAACACCCAUAGGCAUGUCACCUUAUCAACUUGUAUAUGGAAAAACUUGUCAUUUGCCUUUGGAAGUAGAGUUUAAGGCUCAUUGGGCACUCAAGAAAUGGAACAUGGAUCACCACCUUGCUAGCGAUAAUCGUCUGAUGCAACUAUCUGAGCUAGAAGAAUGGAGAGAGAAAGCCUACCACAAUUCAAGGAUCUAUAAAGAAAGAACAAAACGAUGGCAUGAUAAGAGAAUCAAGCACAAGGAGUUUAAGCCUGGAGAUAAGGUUCUACUAUUCAAUUCUAGAGUUAAGCUCUUUGGGCAUGGUAAGCUACGAAGUAAGUGGGAUGGACCAUACAAGGUUAUUGACACUUCAACUCAUGGAGCCAUUACCAUCCAAGACGACCUAGGUAACACCUUUAAGGUAAAUGAUCAACGCUUGAAAAUCUAUCUUGAGCCACAAAACAACCUGGCAGAGGAGCUUGAUGUGAUUGAGUUUAUAGAAUUCUCAUAUUAAGCUCUCAUAAGCUCUAGACAAUUACCUAACCCUUAACAUGUUCCACAAGUUUUGUUGUCUAUUUGGGUUGUGCAGGAUUUUGAGGCUUAAGAAGAGUGAGACCGAACAUGCAGGCCACCAGAGUGAACGACUAUGUCAACAUCCAGCUUGGGCGAGGCACCCCAACAUGUAUCUAGAUAAGUAUUACUUUUCUUUCUUGGUUUUAUUUAUUAGUAUUCGGAAAAAAAAAUGCAUAACCAUGAAACCAAACAAAGUUUUUCUUUUGAGUAAUAUACAAUAGUUUUGUGUAAUCCUAAGUUUUAAAUAAAAUAAAAAGAAAGUUUGAUUCAAGUCUAGGUAAUUGACAAACAUGAUAUUUGCAGGUCUGAGCUACUAUUUAACUUGUUCCAAGUUUUGCUAGAGUUCUGGAGAUUUUUUCUUUUGAAAAUCUAAAAAUUCAUAAAAUAUAUAUAUAUAUAUAGAUCAUAAUACCUAGAGUCUUAUAUAAAUAUUAAAACUGUGGGCACUUGCUUUGUUGAAGCCAUUGUUAAUUCUUGUAGUUUUGGUUGAGAGAAUUAUCAUGCUCCAAAGAUCAAGAUCUUUUUGUUUUAAUAAAAAUAUAAAAGAUUCACUCUUCCGAAGUAUUAUUGCGUUAGAGGCAUGGGAAUAUGUAAAAAUUUGAUUCAAAAGAAAAAAAAGUGAGACGAGAGGUAAAAAUGGACAAGUGUCCGAAGUAGAAUUAGGGGUACAAAGAUACCCACCUGAGUGGAAAAACUGGACAUGUGUCCGACAGUAGAAUUAGGGGUACUUGCUGCCCACUCAAAAAAAAGAGACUGAAAAAAAAAGAGAAAAAAAAUGAUAGCCCAUGGUCCCUCUAAUAAGCAAUAUGCCAUUAAGAGAUGACAAACUUCUCAAAAAGGUCAAAGGUCUUGAUCUAGGAGUAUGACAUUCCUCUCCCUUACUCCGAGCGUUGACAUAGCAAAAUGCAAAGUAAGUAUGCUAAAACUUUUAAAGCUCUACUUAUAUAUCUUUCGAGAAGAAGGCAAAUACCUCAGUUUUAUUUUACAGACUCAUAAAAAAAAACUCCAGAACAAAGGUAAGACAGAAGAACUUGAGACGUAGUGCUUGACUUGAUCAUUCUGUUUUUCAAUCACUUAAGACCUUAGUGAUAAAUUAAAAACCCUGUAGUAAGAGGCAUAAAAGUAACCCCUGUUUUCUUGUUGAUUUUAGCUUUGCUCAGGGAUGAGCAAAGGUUAAGCUUGGGGGAGCUUGCUAACGGUCCUUAAUGCUCAUAUUUUACCAUCAACUAAUCAUAGAAAAGGAUCCAAAUGCAACCAACACCUAGACUUAGGGUUUUAUCUGACAGAAUUCCACGAGUUUUGGUGUUUGUCUAUUUCUGCAGGGGGUUAUCAGGAAAUACGGAAGAAAGGCCCACACGUCAGGAUUACAUAGAGAUAUUAACGUGCCGUGCAAUUUUCUAUCAUCUAGAAGACUCCAGAAGCCACGGGAACGAACGGGAGGCCUAGCGGGCCCGGAGGCAGGGCGCCCGCCCUACCCCCCUGGGCGCCCGCCCUCCUCUGCUGGCCAAUCAGCACGAGUCUCGGGGAUUAUGCCCCACCGACUCUAAGGAUCGAGGAAAAUCACACAAUGAAGGUCGGUUUGAUCGGAUGGUGGAGAAUAACGUGGAAAUUCCUUGGGAGCUACUCUUCGUAGAUUUCUUGGGGGCUACUCUUCCUAGAUUUCUUGGGGGCUACUCUUCCUGGACUAUAUAAGGAGACCCCCACCAGCCCCUGGAGGCAUACCUCUUCUACGGAAUCAAAGCUAGGGUUUCAAUUCUUCAUCCAAGUAGAGAGGAUCCCUCUAGUUCUUCUAGUUCUACCUCUAGUUCAUCUAGAUCUAGUUCUAGUUCUAGUUCCUCUAGUUCUAGUUCUAGUUAGUUAUAGUUGUAAUCUAGAAAAUAGGGAGAGAGAAGAGGAGAGCGGAGGAGGAGCCGGAUCUGUCGGAUCUUCGUCAACAUUGUACUUUUGCAGCAUCUGGUUUGUUCUUCAUCGUUCUCCAGGUUCUUCAACUCAUAACUCCUGAGUUCUCUAAUUACUUUUAUUUACAUUCAAGUUAUUUAUUGGAUUCCCGCUUGCAUCAAGUGCUCUAGUCUUUGAAACAUUAGAGUAGUAAUUAAUAGAUUAGACGUGGUGUUUAGUCUUGCGAUUACCUGGAAUUGCACCCAAUCUUACGGAUUGUUGUGGUAGCCCUAGGGUAGUGACAGCCCUAACGGUCGACGUAUUCCACCACGUUCGGAUCGGUGUUUGUAGGACCGUAGUCAGACCUUCCUAGCCCCCUUCUCAUCUCUUUCUGUGGUUAGUGCUCUGAUGUCCCGAUAUAGAUAAUCUUGAAGUAAUUCUUGAUUCUUAGAUCAACUAGAGAACUCUCAGGAAACUUCCUCUGUUCCCACCAAAAAUAAUUAUAUAGUUAUCCUUGGGCGAUCUUGAAUCUUAAUUAGUACACUCACGUUCUCUGUGGAAAAUCGAUACUCUGGAAUACUCCCGGGUGAAAGCUACAUCGGUAUCCGUGCGCUUGCGGAUUUUUUCUGUUUGCGUUUAAAAUACCCAACAGAUACGAGGGCACGCGUAAUCAUCAUCAAGCUACCAAGACGGGACGGCUUGAGACCACGCCGGUACGGAGGCCUCGAGUAGGUCAGCGCGCCAUGCCUCUAUCGACCCCUACACUGACACCUAUACGUGUACCCUAGGUCUCUCCUUGGAGCAGAAAAGGGGAGACCCGAGAAUAGACACACAUCACCACACAACGCUACACCCGCACGUAGUAGAGACUCCACACUCCAUUCUACCCGAGCUUGUAUUCACCCCUGUACAAGCACUUAGGUGCAAAAUAAUACAAACUCUCCCCCCCCCCCGCUGGACGUAGGGCCUUCUCUUGCCCGAACCAGGAUAAAUCUUUGUGUGUCUUUUUGCAUCACCAUUUGGGAAAGGGAGCACGCAUACAAAUUUACUCGUUGGUGUGACCCCCCGUGUGGAAAACACCGACAAUAUUUCUGUUUUCCCUUGUGAAAUAAAUGCUCAAGUUAUCUUGUUACUACCACUUGUACGAGGAAAUAAAAAGGGGCAAGUGCCCGGAACCUCGAAAGAAAAAAAAGAAAAGUGAGACGAGAGGUAAAAAUGGACAAGUGUCCGACAGUAGAAUUAGGGGUACAAGAUACCCACCUGAGAGAAAAGAAAAAAAAAGAAGAGCAUCUCAUUCUCCUCAUAAAGUUUCAAAAAGCAAGGAAGGUAUGUAUCCCCUCAAGGAGCAAAAGUAGAAUUAGACUUCCACCAUUGUUAUCACCAUCAUCACCAUACACCAUUCAUUCGCCACACAUGCACAUCUUGAUUUGACUUAUUGAUUUGUUUCUUUGGAUCCAUGGUUUGACUAUGCAAUAAAUGUCUUGUAAGUAUGUAUAUUUUAUCUCCCACCUAUGAGCUCCAGCUAUUAAAGCCUUAUUAGAGUAGGGUGAGAGAGAAGGCAAUGUCACUAUGCUUUAUACCACAAAUACUACAUAUCUUGAGAGAAGGCAUAUACCAUCACUGCCUUGAUAAGGAUCCAGAAAUACCACAAAAGAGAGAUAUGAGAGAAUCAUACAAGGAAUCUCUGAGUUUUAUUUCAAAAUCUGCAAAAAACCCCAGAGCUAUAGCUGAUCAAGAAUAAGAGACAUGGCACUUGACUAGACUGUUCUAUCUUUUAACUACUCAAGACAGAAGUGACAGUUACAAGUCCCAUGGUGUAGGUAAAGUAAGUAAGUUUUAAGUCUUGACAGUUUACUCUAACUCAGAGAUGAGAUCUUAUUUAAAAAGCAUGUGUACCGUCAAUUUUUAAAGAUAUUGCAACAACUUAUGAUCCAUAGCUGAAUCUAUCCUUGCUCAGGGACGAGCAAGAGGUAAGCUUGGGGGAGUUUGUUGACGAUCCUUAAGUAUCAAAUUUAAUUAUCAAAUAAACAAAGAAAAGGAUCCAAAUGAAAUCAACAUCUAGACUUAGGGUUUUAUCUGAUAGAAUUCCAUGAGUUUUGGUGUUUGUCUAUUUCUACAGGGGGUUAUCAGGAAAUACGGAAGAAAGGCCCACACGUCGGGAUUACAUAGAGAUAUUAACGUGCCGCGUAAUUAUCUUACAUCUAGAAGACUCCAGAAGCCACGAGACCGAAGCGGAGGCGAAACGGGGCCAGAGGCAGGGCGCCCGCCCUGUUCCCCUAGGCGCCCGCCCACCUCUAGAGUCCAAUCAGGACUCUGCUUCGUGGGAGAUCUCCACCGACCUAAAGGAUGAAUCUAAACCAUACAAUCUAUGUCGGUUUGAUCCAACGGCCCAUAUUCACUUGAAGGGACUAUAAAACCAGACCCCUUGGCCCCUAGAGGCGAGAGCCCCUCAACCCUAAUUCAUUGUUCUUCAAGGGAGAAGAAGCCUCUGAUCAAGAUUAGAGCCACCACAUCAAUUAGAUAUCUAGAUUAGCAUAGCUACAUAGGAUUAAAACUAGAAGUAGUCAAUCUUCGAUUGGUUUCCGGAUCUGUCAGGAGGAUUCUUGGUAAUUCUCUAAUUGUGCUUCUAAUUGUUCUUCUAAUUAUCUUUGUUCUUCAAUAUUAUGAAUAUGACUUUGUUCUACUUCAAUAUAUUGCUUAUGACUUUGCUCUACUUGCUUAUAUUUAAGAAUAUAUUGUUCUUAGUUUAUCAUAGGUAUGUACUUGGCUUAGUUAGAUUGGAUCUAUAUACAUGCUUAGGAUCGUAUAGCGUUUAUCCAUCGGAUCCAUGGGUAAAUGGUAGAUAUUGUGUAGACAUGGUGCUUAUACCGUAUUUAUCCGCGAUUGUACCUAAUAUGCCAGAACGUGGGGUAGUUCGUGAUAGUGACAGCUUCAUUGAUUCUUAUAUAGUCCCCCUCUCGUGUAUUGGGCUGGUAGAGCAAUAUUAUUACAGGGGAGUGAUUGCUAUGUUUCUCAUUUACCUUGCUAAUAUCACUAUGCAUGGGCGUAGUCUUGUCUCACAAUGAUUGCUAAGUAUGCUUGCACUAACUAUGAUAUGCUAGACUAUAUAGUUGAGAAUAACUUAGGGAAUAUUCUUGUAGUUCGUUCUAAUACCAAGCUAAUGACUUUCUAGAGUAUCUAAUUGAGGUGCUUAUCAUAUUUAUUAUGUGGCUAGAUCAGACUAAUUAUCUUUGUCACUAUUCAUUAUUUCAUAUAUCUUUUAUGUGACCUUUAUCCCUAUAUGAAAGUGUUAGAUAUAAUGUUCUCAAUUAUACAUGCAAUGAUAGAUGCUCAAUCUCAUAUUCUAUAUUGUAAUCAAUAGUGAUGAUUGUUAAUCCCUUCCCAGUGGUAAAAAUAUAAAUAACGAUACCUGGAAUACUUCCCGGUUAAAAUGCUGCAUCGGUAUUAAUCUGUGCGCUUGCAGAUCCCAUUCAUUAUUUAUUUAGAAGAGCAAUUGCAUAUUUCAAUACCGCGUCUCUUAUAUCAUGCUGGGGAUGACAACUUGGCUUAAGUGGUGUGAGGGAUAGGUUUGACAUUUUUGGCACCGUUACUAGAUUUAGAGAACUUAGUCUACUUUUGGUAAUGAUGUUAAGAAUACCCAACACUUAGUACCUGCACUUGAGUCUUAAGUAAUUGAAAGACAAAAUUAUUAAGUCAAGCACUAUUCCUCCUGUCUAUACUUCACUGUAACACCCUAAAAUUUACUCUUUUUGAAAUAUAGAUAAAAUUAUUUAAUUUUGUAUUUUUGUGCUCAUGAAAAUAUAGGAAAAAUAAUAUUUUUCAUUAAAUUAAAAUUUAUCAUAAGGCUUAGCAAUAUUAUUAUGCAUACAUGCUGGUGUAUAUAUUUUGAUGCGAUGCUUGUUGCUCCUUUAUGUGUUCAUAGUAACAAAAAUAUUUAAAAUACAUUUAGUAGAUCGAUCUUCCUUAUUCGGCACGUAUUUAUCUUUUAUCCAAGUUUAAAUGUCAUAUCUCAGGUUCUACUUGUCCAAUAAAGUUCCAGCUUAUACCGUUGGAAAGCUUAGCAAAUUGUCUAAUACUUUUCUAUAGAACACUUUUCCAAAUUCUACAGUUAUAUAUGUCUAAACAGUAAGCAACCGAAACUGGUCUAGAUUCUUGACAGCCCAUCUGUAUCAUCUUGUGAUUUUUGUAACUUCCAAAUCAUAAUAGCUAUGAGGGUGAUUCUUGCGGUCAGAGAAAGACCUUGAAGUCUAGUUGUUCCUAGAAAAAUUUGAUAAACUUUGCAUGAACAGAACUUGAGAUACACCAGCAUUAUGGCAGACUACUCGAGAAAUCAGUAUGGGAUAGAAACAAGAGAUACCCAAACCCAACUGCUUAUUUUAUUACUCCUUAUGCCUUAGGCCUAUAAACCAAAUGAUAUUAUGAAGAAAUCCCACAACAUCAUCGCACUCAUUACAAAGAUCCAAAUCAAGCAUAAGCAUAAUAACAAACCAAUUAAGCAUUGAAGGUUCACACUUCACUCAACUUGCGAUACUAUCGUUCUCUUCAUAAUAAGGGUAAGGAUCCUAAGAUUCUCUUUCAACUACGUAAAGCAGGUGGUAAGAAAAGAUUCUAAUAGCAUACCAAAUCAAGGAGUGAAGGUGGGAACAAGUACUUUUAAAAUAAGCAACAAGGUAAGGAUGAAUAGCGAUGGAAAGGAUAUAGUGUAGAGAAAAAUAUCAAGGCUUACAAAACAAGGAUUUUAUAACAAUUUCAAAACCUUAAGACGGCCAAUUUCUAACUAGGCUUGCAUCCUACAGCCAGCAUUGCUUUGAUACCACUUUGUAAUACCUGAUUUUAAAGACAAAACAAGAUAUGCACCAUAUGCGAGUUUUAAAAGCCAAGUCUCACAUAUAGCUACAAAUAAGGGGUAAUAUCAAAAGACAAUGCAUAAAUUAUAUAACAUACUUAGUAUAAAAGAGAUAACCUUUGAUAAAAAAUAGAGGUUAGACAACUCCAAACUUCGGGUAUUAACUUCACUCUACAGGAUCCAACUGACUGGUUGAUCACAAGCCCAAAACUUCUCCUGAGGUGUGGGGGAUAUUGCAAGAGUGAGCACAUAUCGUACUCAACAAGUAUAACCAGGGGUUCAUGAGCCUCAAAUAGCUGACACUGGUUUGACUACAUGUAGCUUUUAUAUGUAGAUAGCAUAUUUAUCAUUGGAUAGCAAAUGUCAAGGUAGCAUAACUAAAUCCCAUAACCACAUGAUCAAUGUAUACAAAAAUUAAGAAUAACACAUAUAAACAACAUAAUAAACCAUCCUUUAUUAUCAUUAAUCAUGUUCAUCAGUGUCCAUCUAUUCCGUCAGUUUGUAUCCGUGGGCACGGCUAGUAUACCAGAUUUAACACUCUGCAGAGAUUGUACAUCUUUACCCAUGAGUCAUGAUUUACCCUUUCGCCCGAGGCCCGUCGACCUCUUAGCUCACUUCCGAGGAAAGCCGGCAGGGUUCACUAUGAAGUCUUUCAAAGGUUCGUCUAACAAGUUAGGGCCGCAAGGUUUCCUUUGCACGCAGAUAUAGAUACCCCAUUCAAAAUGGCACAAUGACGCCCAGCCUAUACACAUAAGGACAGGGGCUCGCACUAUACCCAAAACGGUUCAGCCCCUCCGCCCUUUCGGGUAACCUCUAAUAAGCUAGAAAAGCUUACUCAUACUUGACUGAAGCCAGAGCCAUAUAGCCCUCAUGGUUGUACGAGUUGUCCCAGCUUUUGCCAAGGGGUAAGUCCUUAUGGAGGGUCAAGAUCAAUCCAACAAAAGCCAAAGUUCUUUCCACCCUUUAUAUUCAAGUUGCUAGAAAGCUUAUUUUAUUGUUUAUUGUAUAUUCAAAUAUUCAUGUUAAAAGAUCAUGGAUUAUAUUCAAGCACUAGCAAGAACUACCCAAAUGCAUAUCCAAAAUAGGCAACAAGGAAUUCAGGAUAACAAUCAUCUAUGAUUUUGCUAAGGUCAUCAAGGUGGACACAUGCAUAUGAUAAAUGUUAUAUUAAUUGUGUAUAGGAAACAAGGAUGAUCCCCAGUUAUACUUGCCUUGAUCAUAGCUCUCCUGAGCCUGCUGCUGGUCGUCAAAAGCUUGACCUUGAUCACCAAUGUAAAGCUCACCGACUAAACUCGAUCAUCAAUCAACAACACGCAAUCCAAUGUAGACAAUCAUACACGAAGCAAACAAGUUAUAAUUAGAACAAUACACCAAACAGCGAUAAAACAAAUAUAAAAGUUUAUCAAAAUAUUCUACGCAACGCUACGAUCACAUAAACGUAAAGUUCGCGAAAAUCGGAGCUAAAACCGAAAAGUUAUGAAUUUUCUAAGAUUUUAUGUAGAAAAGAAAUUAAUUAAUUAAAGUCACGAAAUUAAAAAGUUUGAAACUGACUAAUCAAUUUUACUAACAUGUAGAGCUCAUGAUUAUGAACCUAACGCAAUUUGAAUGGGUCAAAACGGAAUUAAAAUGAAUAUUUUAUGAUCAAUUUAAAUCCAGUGGCAAUUCUGUAAAUAGCGAAAACGUAAUUAGAACUGAGCCGAGAGAAAAUACGCUUUCAAAAUUGAGAAACGGCUUUCCCAGAUGACGCCAAGGGCCGCGGGUUGAGCAUUGAAUCUUCCAGGGGCUCUUUAAGAAAAACACCAGCGAAGGGGUAUCUUCUAAUCUGGAUCGUUGAUCCACGAUCCAACGACUGAGAUUCGAUCUAGGGGGAGGGAGAGGGGAUGGCUGGCCGGAACAGAAACAACGGCGAGGUGGCGCCAUUGACGAGAGUCCUGCUCCUCGCCGGCGUUUGUGGAGAAGGUGCUAGGGACCAUGGUUUUCGAUGGGAAAAGAACCAGGGCGUAGAGGACCUCUGUGCGAACUCACCUAGGGGCUUCACGGGUCGGGGAGGAGCUCGGAAAAGGAUGUUCGACGCGAGGUGGCGCUCGGGUGCUCUGCAGACAGUUCGGCGAAGGUUUAAGAGCAAUAGAUCGCGCUAGAGAGUAAAAGGAAGGGCUCAGCAUCUUCUUCACCUCAACCCGAAGCUCGGCAAGUGGUUUUCGGUGCUCUGGACGCAGCAGGUGGCGAAGCCCACGACGGCGGCGAAUUCGUUCAUCGGAGAGAUCUGAACCGAGGUGAGAGAGCUGUUGGGGCGGCUUCACGUCGCGUUAAAUGGAAGAGGGGGUCGAGAGGGAGGGCACCGGGCUUUAUUGGCCUGGAGAAGAUCUCCUAACGCGCGAAAUCCCGACCUGAGCGGGAUUCGGUUUCCACCGAGAGCCCGGGGUCGGUGUGGACUCGAGGGAGAAGAAAGGAAGGGUGGGAGGGGAGACUGACACACGGGCCCGCGAUGUCAGCGAACAGAGAGAGGAAGGGGAGGUAAGGGCGCGCGGGUGGGCUGUUGGGCCGAAGCAAGCUGGGCCGCGGGAAAAGAAGGAGGAGGCCUUCAGGCCGAUUUUCCAGGGAGAGGUGAGGGUUUCCUAUUAUUUUUUUUCUUUUCUUUUCUUUAUUUCAAAGCCAUUUUCAAAUUCGUUUUAAAAUCACUUUGAAUUAUUUUUUAACUUUAAUAAAACCACUCAGCACAAUAAUUAAAAUGCAUAAGCAUGAGUGCACAAAAAUGUUGCUACACCCUAUGAUUGAUUUUAAUUGACUAAAAAUAUUAUUUUUCCUAUAUUUUCAUGGGCACAAAAUACAAAAUUAUAUCAUUUUUCUCCUAUUUAAAAAGUUGUAAAUUUUUGGCUGUUACACUUAGCUUGUGUAAUGCAAUCUCUUAUUGCCUGAUCUCUGAAUCUUUUGCUUAAAAUCAUGUCACAACUCAAUCUCUGAUCGGUGUAGCGUUUUUACCUUUGGAGUUUGCUUAAUUCAUCUCCAACCUCCCCAAGUCUUGGGAUUCUUAUCGGCUUUGAUCUCAUGUUCCUACCCAACAUGACCGCAUCUCAUAAAUUCAUUGUUGGGUAAUGGCCUUUAUAGGCAUAAGGCGUAUCCAUUUCUGUCUUAUGCCGUGUUCUCAUCCUUUAACCUUCUACUUGUUACCUCCAAAUCUUGCUGUCAUCUUUGCUUGCUUUAAUUUUAUCUUGCACAUGAUUCUUGUCCAUGCAAGACCUACCUAUGUCAUGUGAGAUUUCACGUUGGUUGUAAGAUCAAUAAUAUUGUCAUUAUUAACGAUUGGCGAUGCCGUGACGAAACCAAGAGCAUCCUGUGGCUAUAGACACAAGGUCGUGCUGCUCGGCAUUCACUGGUAUCGUGGUUGCUAGUCAUGAUCUAUUAUAAAACUACACCACUGUGUUAUCUUCUCAUGGUCUUGUCCUUGGAUAUCUUUCCUUAUCUUCAAUCAAAGGAUCUAUAUCAGACUUAUGUAAUAUGACUUCCUUCUGAAGUUGCUAAGAAGAUAACCUUUGAAGAAUAGGUUACCGACAUAAAUCUUAAUAGACUGUAAGGGGUGGUGGACAAGAGACUCUAUUUGCUACCCAUGUAGCGAUAUCAGUCGUUUAGUGAGUAACUUGUGUCAUCCACUGUUGAAUCCAAAUGGUACACAACACUUAAAGUUGGACAAGUUAUCAGUCAGACAAGAAUUGAUCCAAAUCUUGAUCAUGGUGAUCACAUAGUCAUAAUCAACCAUCUCUAUUGUGAUCUCCUUUUUGGCUAACUUUGAUCUUGACUGCCUACAAAUGGAUCAACUACAAUUGUUGCCACCAAAGAAGAGAGUUUUGGAACUUUUUAGUGUUCAGAGACAACUGAUUUGUUAUCAGUUAGAAGGUUAAUCACUACCUUGGAAACGACUCCAUGAUAUCCCUGAAGGCUACGUCUCAUAAAAUAGUGUCAUGCAAAGAAAACAAUAAGUUGAGCAACGAUGCAAAUACUAUUUCCUUCUCUAGCCCCUAUGUUGUCAAGUCAAUUCAAUCUUGGACAAUCACAUAGAUGGUACCAAAUGCUAUAUCUAAGUCACAAGCUAGAGAAAAGCACAUCCCUAGUCUCGGUUAGCAUCAUUAUAUGUGUGGUGCUAUCAAAGGUUUUGCUUUGUUUGGUUAGCCAUAUGGUGUUUGUUUGUACUAAAUUUUGGUUAAUCAUCAGAAGACUCUUGGAUCUAUAUACGCACUAACAAUUCAUGCAUAAUGAGGCUAGUUUGUGUGGUAUGAACUGAACCAAGAUGAACCUUAGGAUAACCUAGAAAAUACUCCUUGCACCCUUGGACACCUAGCUGUUACCCUAUCACAUCAACCGACAGUUGAGCAAUCUAGGCGUUCUACAAGUCAAAAAUAACUGGAAAGGUGUUAAACAACAAAUCUUAGAUUUAUUAUCUUAGAGCUGUUGUUUGAUCCUAGUAAGGAAUCCUCAAUCUCAAAAGUAGUCUCACCAAGCUAUUCUACUACAAUGCAAGUCGACCCAGAACCUACUAAGUCGUUGCUUAAUGAAGGAAAAUUUUAGUUGACUUGCUUGAUAGUAGCUUGUUUCCCUAGUUCGGUGAAUACUUGCAACUUUUGUUGUCCUCUAGACCUUGCUAUCGCCCAUCUUUAACAAUGCCAAUUUAGUACUAACAUGCCUUGGGUAUCUUCUAUGUUCCUUUUACCCAAGAGGUUGUAUUUGAUACAACCUAGGUAACUGUUAACCCUUGGAGUCACGAAAUUCCUUGAAUGGUGAGCAUUGACUUGAUAGACUCAGAUAAUACAGUGUUGUUAUCAGAGAAAGAGAACUGCACACAUGGAACCUUAUGUAGCUUUCCAUUGACUGGUAUCUGAAUGAUUAGACCUUAUGACCAAAAUAAACAUUGUUUAUCGGUUAGCUGGUUUCUCAUAACCUCAAAGGAUGUUUAUCUAGUUCAUGAUCUCAUCCCCUACGAAAGGUUGUACUCAAGCCAUUCUGGUAGAGGACUACUUUUUGAGCCUUAUGAACAUAGAUGGAAACAUUGUAAUGAGUAGUUUACUGUGCUCCAAACCAUCCAUCAUACAUUGGGAAUGAAGUACAUGUGAUAGUGUUGUCUUGAAUUCCUCCCAAAGUAACAAUGCUUCAUGGAAGUCAAUGGAGGAAAUUCUUUAGACAAAAAUUCACUACGAAGAACAAGUAUCAGAAAGUGUCCUGACCAAAUUAGCCUCUCUGAUGCUCGAGGAUAAGUAGUUGACUGCUAUCGCCAAUGUUAGAAGUGAAUAACAUGCUUCUCUACCCUUGGAAGUCUUUCGCCCUGAAUCUUGGGACAAGAUUCUUUUAAGGGGGGAGGGUAGUAACACCCUAGGUGUUUGCCACUAGUUAGACCUUAGGUUUGAGCUCAAACAUGUCAUGAUAAGUGGUGAUGAUCAUGUUAAAGUCAAUCCAUGAAAGUGAGCCUCAAGUUUAACUUGGAGAAUGCACCCUUGCUUACAUAUAGGCCCUUUUCAAAGUGCAUGCUUGGGUGACAUUAAUGGAACCUCUUUCAUGUGUCCCACAUCUAUCACUGCCUAUAGUGAUCACUCAAAAAGUUUCAUAAAGUUCGAAAUCAAAAGGUCACAUGAAAUGAUAAGUUACAUGCUUGUUGGAAUGACCUCAUUAAGUGAAUGGAACCAUGGGUCAUCAACCAAUAUUUGCAACCUUUCCCAAAUGACUCUAGAUGAACUCUACAACAAAAGUCAUGAAGGGUUCAUGUUGAGCUUGUACCCAGAAAGUGCUUCAAGUGGCCUAAAACCUUAAUUCAUGCUUUAUCAAGUUGCUGCUAUGACCAAAGUGCAAGUUUGAUUUCUAUACUAGUUCUGAGAUUUGACCUUAAAUAAAAGUUGUAUUUUUAGCUUCUAUAGAACAAACUUUGUUUAAUGGUCAAGAGCUAGUUUGGUCCCUAACCUAGACAAAUUGAGCUUACAAGAUUCAAUGCAGUGCUGUUUUGGAACACCAGAAUUUUGGCAAAGUCCUCAAGGUGUUUAGUUUUGGGUAUCCAUGUUGGGAGCUUUGUAUCUUCCAGUCCAGGCCAAAAUGGUAUAAGGUUCUUUAAUAAAAGUUGUAGCAUAGUUUGUAUGCUACAAACUUUGUUAAAGUGCCUAAGUCCGAAUCAUCAUCUAAGCAUAUCAAUUAAUGGUCAUAAUAUUGAAUCUGCUAUAGUUUUCAGCACUUCGAAUUUCUAAGUCUAGGUUUGCAGUUCAUUUCGUAGGUAUCCCGCGUUCUCCUAAUUCUUUUAAACAACUUGCUUGGGUCCCAGAAUAAAAGUUGGAGUACAUAUUGUGGACAAGAGCAUACCGAAAGAUGACACUAGUUCGACUUUUUUUGGUCAUCAAUUUCGAGUUUCGCUAAUCACCAUCAAUAUGUUGACACUAGAGGUUUGGCAUCAUGUUAUCUCUUAAUCUGUUACUCUAAUGGCUUUAUACUCUGAAUCAAAGUUGCAGAACAGGCCGAGCUUGGCAUACUUAGUUUUUGGCCCAUGUCCAAAUUCAGCGUGGAAGAAGCCCAAAAUUGACUCCCACCGUGGCUACCCCGGCGCGCGCCACCUGCUCGACGAAAUGCUUCAAGAGGUGACACGCGUCCUGGACGUAGCAUUCAUGCAGAGUUCGCGUCCCCACCAUUGCUGCAGCGUGCCACUGCCUUCUACUCGCAAUGGGGACACACCAAGCCGUUCCCAGACGGUCCCCACUCCUCCUGCUCGCCCUCGCUCCCUUCUCCUCGCUCUCCGCCGCGGAAACGCCGCGGCGUCCGCCGUGGCCGACGGUAUGAGCUCGCACCUGCCGCAAUGCUCGCUGCUCCGCACCUCCUCAGCCCAAGCUAAGUACCUCAGUGCCUCUGCCGUCUCCUCCUGACUGCACUGAGCUCCAUUUCCGGCCCCAACCAUCGCCGGAGCACCGCCACCGUCGAGAGCAGACCGCCGCCGCCUCCUCCUGCCGUGGCUAGGCCGCCACGGGCCCUCUCCUGGCCAUCCAAGAACACCAGCAAGUGUGCGCUAGCCUACCGGUGCUCCCCCACCACUCCAUCGCCGCCGACGAGGCUCCGACUGGCCGGAACACGAAGCUCCAGCGAGUCCUGUGUUUUCGUGGCGACCAGGGACCUCGGGAUCGAAUUUGACUAAAGCCAGGGGUUUUUUUGCAGAACUCAUGACUCAGAUGAAUAGUGCUUUGAGGACCUAUUUGUUUUGGAGAAAUGCUGUAACUUUGAAAAUCCAUAUAAAAUCAUAGCAAAAUCGUAAAUUAACAAAUGUAGACUUUUUAGAAUCCAUAUGAAAUUCUCUAUGCAGUAGAUCUAUAAUAUACCAUGUUUUAGUUUAAAGUUUUAGCUGUAGAAAAUGAUUUAUGCAGCUAGGUUUUUAAUACUAGUUGAGUUUGUCUUUUUUAUAACUGCUUCUGUAGAGCUCCAAAUGAAGUGAAAUUUUUGUGGCCUGCUAUUCUUGUGAUGUUUGAUGCAUCCUGAAAGUUUCAUGAUCUUUGGUUGCAGUGUGGUUGAGUUAUUGAUUUAACUUGCAUAGGGCUUGAUAAAGGGUUUAUAAUUAUAAUUAAAAAUGUAAAAAUGGAAAAGGUUGUUCUAGUACAAUCCUAUGAUAUCAUUGUAUCAUAUUAAUAUAUAAUAUGGUCAAGUGUUUGAAGAAAAUAUGGUUUGUGCAUUUAUCUUGCUCUCACAUGGUUAAUUGUAAUAGCAAUUUGUCUUUUUCAUAGAUGUUGCUAUGUUUAUUCAAAUGUAAUGAAAUUUGGGCAGUAGACUAUGGAUAGUAUGUAGAAGCUACUGUAAGUUUGGUGGAAUUUACUGAGCACUUUUGUUAUAUGUUCUUUAAUUCAUCUUAUUAUCCAAAUAAAUUAAGAAAGGAAUUAAAUAAAUUUAUUUGGUAAUGACCACUAUGUUUUCUGGUGUUCUUUAGAUAUAUGCCAACUGUUGCUAACAAUGGUUUUGCUCAAAUCCAUGUUUGAAACAUAAGUUAAUAAUUAAUUGUGUGCAAUUGUUGUUUCUGAAUAGUUUCUGGAACUGUUUGGAUUACAAUAUGUAAAUGACUUUUUCUGGGAAUCUUGUUCAUAGCAAAGUUGUAGAUAAUUUAUUUAUCUAGCCGCUUUUAAAAUUUGGUAGUAUUUGGACUUGUGGUUUGUGAGUUAUGUCUGUUCAAGGUUUGAUUCCAGAAAUGGCUGCUCUCUGUUUGUCAGGGACAGAUUUUGGAACUUUAUAAUUUCGACCAGCUUCAGUUGAGAAUCAUGCUUUUAUGUAUAAAUAUCAAAUGUAGAUAAUAUCUUAAGAUUUCCAGAAUCUCUUCUUACAUGUCUUUUGGAGUUGUGUAACUCCAGUUAUGAUUUAUUUUCUCAGCUGCUGUUAACAGUCCUAAAAAUUACAGAUUCCUUGUAUUGUUGUUGCUUGGUAUAAUGCUAUGUAUGACUCAUGUUUAUGAUAAUGGCCAAGUUAAUACACCUGAGAUCUUAUGAAACAUGUAUGCCACGCCUGAUAUACUUGGUUGCAUCUAUUUCUAUCUUAGUAUGUUGAUUGUGUUAUGUUACUUAAGCAACAUGAAACACACAUGUAUGUGUAGAGUAACAUGAUACUUGUCUGCUUACUGUAUAUCAGGCAUUGUCUAUUGCACUUCUACGUGUUCAUACACUUGCAUCUUGCAUCUCAUUUAGGUACGCUAGAUGAACCACGUGAAGGACAUGAUGGUGGAUCUAUCGGAAUUGGAAGGACUACACAAGUGUUGCGAACUUGGAUGUCGUCAAGAUGAAGCAAGAUAACUUAACUGACUUGUGUCAGAUUCCAGGCAAGCCCUAGAGCAUUCUAAGUCUCCUACCCUCUUUUUUUAUAAAAGCACAAGAGUAUACCUUUAUAUGUUGCAUUAGGUGAUAGGAGUUGAAUGAAACCGUUGGUGCAUAUUUCCUACCUUGUCCACUAUAUGUAACUACCUGAACCCUUACUAGUAUAAGGAAGACGUUCUAUGCAUAGCUAUGCUUAGCUCGGUAGAAGCCAGGUGAUUUCCUGUCACCUGCGAGAGAUAGGUGGAUACCUGAUCACAGUUGGUUAUAUUUGCUAUCGUAGAAAUAACCAUGUGUAAUAAUGAAUGGAGACCGGGCGGGAUGACGAUAGUGAAACAACAAGGCAUGGAGGUCUUGGGUGUGGAUCUAUCCCCAUCUAUGUCGUUUAAGGACCGAUACGUUGUACGUCCUCUCAUCAUGUUGAACGCAUGCCUAACACUUAGUUGGCCAGAUAAGUCGUUCCGACCGUAAAGCCUACGAGUGCAACUCCGGCCGGGUACCCCGUUCGGUUUAUGUGCGCACCUGAAAGCCCAAGUUUGGUUUUGGUAAUUAAUGACACCAAGUUGCUAACGCCUUGUAUUUAAGUGAUUUGAGUUAGGCAUAGCAACACAUGUGAUGAAGGUGCAUGGUGGCAUGGAAAGGUGGCCACAUGAUUACAAAGAGAUGAAGCAUGAAGUGGGGAUCAUGGUGAUAUACAAGGAGUAAAGUGAACAAGGCAAAGGUAUAAACAUAGGAUUUUGCUUUUGCCGGUCUAAGUUGAGUAGAGAAGUGUUUGACCGGGUUUAGGAUAGAUAGCCGACUAUCAAGAGGGGAAAUCACAGUCAUCUCUUGAAUCAAGUGCUACUAGGUCCAUAUCUUGAGCAUAUGCAUUAGGAUCUAGUAAAGUGCUAACUUAACUCCUCUGGUGAAAAUGUUUGUGAAAAGCUAACACACAUGCACUUUGGUGGUGGACUCUAGUUGGUGUUAGCACUCAUUGUCGGUGCUUUUUGAGAAAAUUAAGUGUAUAUUUUCUAUUGCGCCGGUGGAAAAUUUGGAGAAGUCGCGGGAGUGUUUCUCGCACACUCACCGGACGCUGGCCUUGGAGGCACCGAACGCAGAGGCUGUGCAUCCGGUGUGUAGUAGUGCCUGGCUCUGCUAGGGUUAGGCAUCGGACGCUAGGCAUCGGACGCAGGAGAGAUCCUGUUGACGCGUCCAGUGUGACUUGACUUCAGCUGGUGUGAUUGAUUGGUAGCACCGGACGCAUAGAGCGCGUCCGGUGAGGAGUGUCCGGUGCUCUGCACUUCUGCAAUGCUCUCUAGGUUUUAUACUGGUGAGCACCAGACGGUCCAGUGCUCAACGUCCGGUGACCCUGCAAGUUUGCAGACUUCUCUAUGUUUAUGACCGGUGUGCACCAGACGCGUCCGGUGCCCACUUAGUCGCGUCCGGUGGUCCGCAGGUGACCGUUAGAGUUUGAUGCAUGAGUUUCAAAGGAGGACACGUGGCCAACCCCUGAGCACCGGACGCUGGAGGUCGAGCGUCCAGUGAUCACUUGGUAGCGUCCGGUGCCCCCGUUUUCAGCCCAAUCAAUGUAGCCAACGGCUAUUUCCUUGAGGGGGCUUAUAAAUAGGAGGUGGCCGGCUUCAGGAGGUCAACUCUUGCACAUUUGAAUACUUGAGGCAUACUUUGAGCAAGAGAACACUCCUUCCACUCAUCUCCUUGCUUGUUUGCUAAUCCUAUUGAGAUUGAGUGAGAUUCAAGUGCAUUGCUUUGAGAGUUGCAAUUAGUGGCACUUGAUUCUUGAGUUCACUGCGGUUUUCUUGUUACUCUUGGGUGUUUCCCGAUGCCCUAGAUGGCUUGGAGCAGCGGUGCUAUUGAGCUCAUGAUUGGAGAUUGUUUCGAGCCUCCCCAAGUGAUUUGUGAGGGGUUCUUGAGCCUUCCCCAUGGGAGAUCGCAAUUGGCUACUCUAGUGGAUUGCUCGUGGCUUGUAGGAUCCCCAUCUUGUGAGUGGAUGUGUGGCACCCGCUGAGGGUUUGGCUUUGGAUUUCCAAUUAGCUCGUGAUCCAUCAGGUGGGUGUAUCGCCACAACGAGGACUAGCUUGCCGAGAAGCAAAUGAACCUUGGUAAAAAAUAUUGUGUCAUCUCUUGCCGAGGAUUCUCUUGUAAUUGUGAUUAAUUGAUUGGUUGUAUUUCUACUCUACAACGUUGGUAUAACAAUCACUCCCCUCUCCUUUACUUAUGUGCAUACCUUGCUAGUUGUGUAGCUUGUUUAGCUUAGCUUUCUUAUUGUAACUAGUGUUUAGCUUUCUUUCUAGACUUGUCUAGGUAGCUUGCAUAGCUUAGUUGUGCUAGUGCUAGAAUAGCUUUGCCUUUUGUUUUACUAAUCAACUUUUCUAGUUGAAGUUUGUAGAAGAUUUAAAUAGGCUAUUCACCCCCCCCUCUAGCCAUUUGGACCUUUAUGCACCCCGGUUGGUAGCAAGGAUGUGCGGGGAGUCAAUGGCGUAAGACCGAGGUGUCAGGUUAGAGUCCUGACCGUGGCAGAUUGGCAGUCUGAUAGAGCAUCUAGGCCCCUAGUGAUUUUGGUGAUUAAUGACAAUGUUGAUUACUAUGACUAACGUGUGUUUUGCAGAGGCAAAGUCAUAGGUAUAGUCAUGGUAAUAGGUACUCAAUGGACAGGGACGUACAUGCCUACUUCAUAGUGGAAAUUGUUUCGGUUUUCAAAGGAUGGAUAGACAUCGUCAAGACUAGACUAGGUCUAAGGUCCAUAUGGUGAAGAAGGGCACUUAGAGUAGUUUAGGACUUUGUUUUCCUUUGACCGUACUAUUAAGAGGGGUUUUGAUCUAGUAGCUUGACUUAGGCAAGGCUUUAGGUUUAGGUGUGGUGCACACUUGGUAAACCUAGCACUAGGCAGCUCAGAGAUAGUCCUUAGAUCGAGAGGAACCAACUUUGUUUUGGAGCGAUUGCGUUUCGAUGAAGUUAGGGUGCCCAAGGGGGCACCGGACGCUGCACCGGACGCUCUGUGAGUGCGUCCUGUGAGGUCCUUAGCCGUUGAGAGUUUGGGUGCCUUAGGGUUAGGCACCGGACGCUGGCACCGGACUCACCGGGCAGCGUCCGGUCCCACACCCAGGGAGGUUGCAAACUUCCCUUGAGCACCGGACGCACCGGGUAGCGUCCGGUCCCAUACUCAGGGAGUUUGUAAAUGUCCCCGGAGCACCGAACGGUGCCACCGGACGCUAAGAGGUAGCGUCCGGUGACCUGUCAGACGCAGGUAUGUUAGCCGUUGUGUGUGUUGACACUAGCUAACACCACUUAGAUACUAGGGUGUCAUCCCUAGCAUGGUGCCAGAGUGUACAAAGGUAUUUAUAAAUGUAAAGGCUCUCUAGAAAAUAAUCUAUUAUAUCCGCAAGCGCACAAAUAAAACACCGCAUUGUAGCAUUUUAGCAGGAUAAGUAUUCCAGGUAUCGUUAUUUAUAAUUUUGCUUAAGAGAACAAAAGGGAUGAAAUUAAAAUAAGGACAAAAUCUAUCAAGGCAUAGACUAGAGAUAAACUUGUAAGAACAUGAUUACUAACGAGAAACUCGUCACACAGUCACUUACUUUAGCAGGGGGUAAACCAUAAAGAUAAUGAUAAUGAAUUAUAAGUUCAAGGGUAAAUAACACAGCAAUUAGAAAAUGGACUACUCCUCAUAUAUGUAGGUGAUGUCGGAUUAGCUAGAGAAUGGAUUCUAAGUUAUCUACUAUCUAUUAAGUCAUAAUCUACUCUAGUUAUCUACAAGAUCAUGUAUAGCAUAUAAGACUCUUCAUUCAUGUAUAAGGAACAUUGCUAAAGUAAAUCAGAACAUCGCAAGAAUUACUCCGCAAUACAAAUUCUGCCUGUCCUAUCUGUAACAGAACCGACCAAAUUAUAAGAGGUUAAGCCCAACAGCGACCAUUUGCAUAGUCAAAACCAUCCGGCUUAAGCCCAUAUAAUCCCGGUAGUCCGUGAAAUCUCGAAGGAUUUCAACCCACACAUCGCAUAACAGCCAAGAUCGUAAUAAGUUUAGCGGUCUCCAUCCACAAGUACAUCCAGAUUACAACAUUCAUAAAAUACAUCGGAGUACUUAAGUUAUUACAAACCAAGUUCUUCAAGUAGCGAAAGCUUCAUAGUUCGAAAUUACAACACACACGAUAAGUCUGAUACAGUGCCAUAGUUCGGUCAUUCCCACAAAAGCAAGGGAAGAGACGGAGUGACCAUCGCCCUUGGUCUAGUCAUCACCCAUAGCUGGGUACAGACAGAGGAUGCAAUAACCAUAGUACAUUUGACCAUCUGCAAAACAACAUGGGAAUAGAACCCUGAGUACGAGAAGGUACUCAGCUAGACUUACCCGUCAUAAACUUAAAAUAAAGACUCAUCAAGGAUCAUGAAGGCUAUAUAGUGGGGGAGCUGACGACCAAUUUGCACAACCGCAGUAUUUCGCUAACAUAACCUACAUAAGUCUUUCUCCUUUUAAUUGGCUCAAGUUGAAAGUAUCAUUACCUAUCAUCUAGGUUUGCACCUGCACUAUUACAAGCAAGUAUGAGACUAUGAUAGUACCUCAUCAUAGCAUUUCUUAAAAACCAUUCAUCAUUAUAACCCAAGUGUUCCAUAGUCCUUACUACGAGGACGAAGCUCAUGUCAAGUGCUCACUAUCUAGGAGCGAUGGCGAUUCGAAUCGAUUUCUAACUAGCUGGCGAGUUUAUUCCCCACACAAACCACACUCACUGAUCAAGUGAGCUACAGGUCACCAUGUUGCACUAUCCAAGACCAAUUCGCGGGUUCGACAGGCACCGCCCGUACCCGAGGACCGUUCCGGCGACCGAGGUAUCCAAGGUAUACCAAGGUUGCGCGCCGCGCCCUCGUCGUUCUCCUCAACCAUCACCAAUACAGCGCGUACAUUGGGCCGAUUCCCGGCCCGGAUAGUGCUCAGGCUUCGCGGUCGGAACGACUUAUCCUUCCGGCUAAGUGUGGGGCAUGCGUUCAACAUGACAAGAGGGCCGUCAACGACCGGUCCUUAAUCGACACAGGCAGGGGCACUAUGGUCAACCCACCACCAGACCCUGCCCGGUCUCCAAAUUCAUUUCACACUUGGUCAUUAUUUUCCCGAGCAAAUAAUGCUUAAUCAAGCAGGUAUCCACCUAUAUCUCGCAGGUGACAGGGAAUCACCCGACUUCUACCGGACUAAGCAAGCUAAGCAUAGACUCCGCACCUAUCUACAUAGGACAAGGUAGAUAAACGAGUAGGGAUAACAAGGAGUACAUAUGCAUCAACGGUAUCAAGCAACUCCUACCACUUAGAUGCAACAUAGUAGAACCAAUAUAAUAUAUAUACUGUAAGUUAGUGAGAAUAGGGAGACUUAGAAUGCUCCGGGGCUUGCCUUUCUCAAACGUGCUGGGUCGGUGAUCCGGACACUCCUGCAGUUCCUCUCCGGGUUCCGGGGCUUCCGGAGGUUCCUGCUCCUGAAUCUGCUCUGGCUCCUCGGGUCCCACCUCGUUCUCCUGCGAGCCUGUAUGAUGCAUGUGUGCUCAUGAGUGGAGUGCGAGAUGCCCGAGUGGAUGCUUGUAUGAGAAAGUACCAAAGGAUCAGGACAUGAUGCAUGGAUGAUACACUUGGUCAUGCUCAUCACAAGGUAUGCAACAUCAUCCAAGAACGGGCACUUGGAUUAAACAUCUAUUACAUUCUCUUUUACAAUUAUUUUUCAAAUGCAAUCAGCAACCCACAUGAUGCUUCAAAGAUACACCAAACCCAACUUAUUCCAUUCAACCUAGAUAUGCAACCAUUCAUAAUUUUCUUUAUUCAUUUCUAGGCCCAUUAAAGUCACAUGCAAUUCUGUUCAUCAAUAAUUUCUACAAAAAUUACAGGAGACUACAAGCAAAACAUAAAGUCUACUGUAAAUUUUUCAUAAUUUUUGGUUACUUAUUUUGAGUCACAAAAAUCACAAGAUUAAUUAAUAGGGCAAGUAAAAUCACUCUACUGGGAUACAAGUGUCAAACAACAGAUUUCAUAUUUUUAUAAUUUGCAUAAUAUCAUAAGAAACACCCACGACAUUUUCCAGAUUUAUUGCACGACCCAAUUAAUUAUUAAAAAUCAUAAAUCACUGCCAUGCAAGCAUUUAAAUUACCAUAAAUUCAUUUAUACAUCAAAUAAUAUGUACCAAUAUUUUCCCAGUGAGCAAACACACAUGCAAAGCCAACAAAUCAAGUUUCACAUUUUUCUGAGCCAUAUUUUAUUUACUAUGCAUUUUCCAAGUUUAACAAAAUCAUGGAUAAAAUAUAUUCACACAGAAAAGUUACUCCAACAUGACAUGCAAUUACAUCAAACUGUAGAUCUGGAAAUAUAGAGCACACCAAAAUUUAUUUCAUUCAAUUUGGAGCUGUAGAACUUAAGAUAUAGAUUUUACAAACUUUAAAUCCAUUUCUGGAAAACACUUUUUCAAGAAAACCGACGAAAAAGGCUACGUACACCCAGAUCUACACCCACCAGGGUACCCCUGCGACUGACAGUGGGUCCCCGACCCCACCGGUCAGCGAGACCGAGAGGGAGCUCGCCUCCGACGAGCGGAUCUCGCCGGCGGUGAGGUCUCCGGCCACGGGGUGAGCACCAACGUGCUCCCCGCAGCAAGACGCACCCAGCGGUACCCUUGGAUCGACCAGAGGACGGCCGGAACACCUCCGGCGAGCAUGCAUGGCGGCACGGCGGCGCUGCUCGCCGUGGCCAGGCUGCUCCGGCGCGGUAGAGCGUGCGCAAACGCCUCUCCGAGCUUCCUCACCUUCCUACCGACCUAGCGCAACAAAGAACGAGCGAAAAGAAGCAGGGAAACGCUAGAUCCGUCGCGGCGGAGUACUCCGGCGAGCUCGGGGUAACUCCGGCGAGCGAUUCACGGCGCUCGACGGACUCUCACCUCGGUAGAACGUUCGCACGAGCUUACCCUAGCGACGGCGAGUGCCCUGGUGCUCUUGGCGUCGAGCUUGGGGCUCUGGUGUGGCCGGCGACGAGCGGCGGAGCUCUCUCCGGCAAUGGCGCGCGGAGGAGCGGCUGCUGCUGCGCGGUGCGAGCGGAGGAGGAAGGAGAAGGAGGGCGCGGGGGAGACAGGAUGGAGGGAGUGGCCUGGGAGCCAGCGCCGGCGUCCCGACCAGGGGGGUUGGAGGCCGGCCGCGGCGCGUCCAACGCCGGCGUACGGCCGCCACGUGGCCGGCGCCGGGUGGAGCGAGGCGGGCGCCGCGCGCGCGGGAGAGAGGGGAGGAGGAGCGGGCCGCGCUGUCCAGCUGGGCCAGAAGGGAGGCGGGUCGGCCCAGCAGCGCCUGCCCCCUUUCCUUUUUUUUGAAUUUCUUUUCUCAAAUUCUUUCUAAAUUCAUUUGGACCAAUUUAAAAUCAUUUUCACCUCUUGCUCCCAAAAACAAAGUUGUUCCAAAUUAAAAACUCUACAACUUUGCUUUGACAAGCAAGACCAAAUUUUAAACAAAAUUUGAAUUACAAGUUAAAACUCAGUUCUAGGUUUUAAAUAAAUUCAUUUUGGGAAAAUUUGUAUAAAUUCUAUUUCUCAAAUUCCAUAGCUCCAAAAAUUGCACAAAAAUAUUCUAAAUUCUUCUUACACAUAAAGCAACCUAAUUUGAAUAUUUCACAAUUUUAGAAGCAAGCAUCAUAUUUUUAACAUAUUUAAAACACAUGAAAUGAUGCACAUAAAAUCAUAUUCUUAAAAGAAUGAUAUGCUCAUGAUGCUUAUGAUUGAUGAGAAUGCUUAUGCAUGACUUUGAUAAGACUAAGUGCAUGCUUAACACCUAGGGUGUUACAGCCCUCCCCCCUUAGGGAAAUCUCGUCCCGAGAUUUUGGGUUACUAACCAUUUCUUAUGGAACUUUGGAUAAACUGUUUUUAAGUAAUCCUCUGUUUCCCAAGUAGCAUCCCUAUCGUCAUGAUGACUCCACACCACCUUGUAUGUUCGAACAACUCUGUUUCGGGUUACUCGCUCCUUGGUAUCCACAAUUCCCACUGGCUGCUCUUUGUAUUCCAAGUCCGCCUUUAUCUUGAUUCCUCGAGGUUCGAUUCUUUGCUCCGGCACCUUCAAACAUUUCCGUAGUUGCGACACAUGGAAAACCGGAAAGAUCGAGCUCAUCUCUUCAGGUAACUGAACCUUGUAGGCCACUGUGCCUUUCCUCUCUAGCACUUGGUAUGGUCCCACAUAUCUGGGUGCAAGUUUGCUUCGAACUCGGAAACGUUGAACUUUCUUCAUUGGCGUAACCUUGAGAUACACAUAGUCACCUUCUUUGAACUCAAGCGGCCUUCUCCUCUUGUCAGCAUAACUCUUCUGUCGUGAUUGCGCUGCUUGCAUAUGUUGCUGUAUAAUCUGCACCUUUUUCUCGGCAUCAUUCACAAAGUCGAUACCAUAGUAUCUUCUUUCACCAGGUUCCACCCAGUUUAACGGAGUUCGACAUCUCCGACCAUACAAAGCUUCGAACGGGGCCAUCUUGAUGCUCUCUUGAUAACUAUUAUUGUAUGAGAACUCAGCCAAUGGUAACCAUGAUUCCCAUGAUCCCUUGGAUGAUAACACACAGGCCCUCAGCAUAUCUUCUAACACUUGAUUUAGCCUCUCAGUUUGACCUGAAGUCUGGGGGUGGUAUGCCGUGCUUCUUAUCAGACUGGUCCCUAAACUCUUAUGCAUGCGCUCCCAGAAGUGAGCGGUGAACUGCGGUCCUCUAUCUGAUAUAAUGGUUUUGGGGAUACCAUGCAGCUUGACAAUCUCAGCCAUAUAUAUAUCAGCAUACUCAGGAGGUCUGUAUGUGUUCUUGACUGGAAUGAAAUGAGCUGACUUGGUUAAUCGAUCUAUGAUUACCCAAAUCGAGUCAUUCCCCUUCCUGGUUGUCGGUAAGCCGGUGAUAAAGUCCAUACUAACCUCUUCCCAUUUCCAUUCGGGAACGGAUAACGGUUGCAACAGACCUGCAGGUUUCAUAUGGAUGGCCUUAACUCUGCAACACGUGUCACAACGGGCCACGUAAGCGGCUAUUUCUUUCUUCAUCUUGGUCCACCAAAAGUGGGGUCUUAGAUCUUGAUACAUUUUGCUGCUGCCUGGAUGAAUAGAAAGCUUAGAGAGAUGGGCUUCAUCCAUGAUGCGAUUCUUCAACUCCCGAUCCUUCGGGACCACUAACCGCUGUUGAAACCACAGUACCCCCUUCUCAUCAACCCGAAACUGAGUCUUUGGGUCAUCUUUGAUCUUCUCUUUGAUGUGGAAAAUACCCUUGUCUGUUUUCUGACCUUCAAUGACUUGACUCUCGAGUGAACAACUGAGUUGUAUAUGGCAUAAGACCUCAGGAUGCAUAAGAUUGAACCCAUCUUCAAACAACGGUUGAACCACUUGAUAGUGCGGUUUGCGACUCAAAGCAUCCGCUACCACAUUAGCCUUGCCUGGAUGAUAAUGAACCUCCAGAUCAUAGUCCUUGAUUAACUCUAACCACCGUCGUUGCCUCAUAUUCAGCUCGGACUGCGUGAAGAUGUACUUCAAGCUCUUAUGAUCGGUAUAAAUGUGACACUUAUUUCCCAGCAGAUAAUGUCUCCAAAUCUUCAAGGCAUGCACCACUGCUGCUAACUCGAGGUCGUGCGUUGGGUAGUUGACUUCAUGCUUUCUCAACUGUCGGGAAGCAUAAGCUAUCACCCUGCCAUCUUGCAUCAACACACACCCCAGGCCACUCUUUGAUGCAUCACAAAACACAUCGAAAGGCUUCACCAUAUUGGGUUGUGCCACAACGGGAGCAGUGGUUAGCAACUUUCGCAAGGUGCGGAAGGCUAACUCACACCCUUCCGUCCAGAUGAACUUAUGAUCCUUUUGUAGCAAACUUGUUAUUGGCUUAGCAAUCUUGGAGAAGUCAGGUAUGAAACGACGAUAAUACCCGGCCAGACCAAGAAAACUCCUAACUUCCGAGACAGAAGUUGGUGCCUUCCAGUCCAUGACUUCCUGCACUUUUGAUGGAUCCACAGCAAUUCCUUCUUCAGACAAAAUGUGCCCUAGGAAAGGAACUUUCUUCAACCAGAACUCACACUUGCUGAACUUGGCAUAUAAGUGGUGCUCUCGUAAUCGUGUCAGCACGAUUCUUAGAUGCUCGGCGUGAUCUUGCUCAUCUUCUGAAUACACCAGGAUAUCAUCGAUAAACACCACAACAAACUUAUCCAAUUCUGGCAUAAAGACUGAAUUCAUCAGAUACAUAAAGUAUGUAGGAGCAUUUGUCAACCCAAAGGACAUGACAAGAUACUCAUACAACCCAUAUCUGGUGGAAAAAGCAGUCUUCGGGAUAUCUUGCGGACGAAUCUUGAUCUGAUGAUACCCAGACCUCAAAUCUAUCUUAGAAAACACUCUGGCCUUGGAUAACUGAUCAAACAGGAUAUCAAUCCUUGGCAAGGGAUACUUAUUUUUGAUUGUCACUGCAUUGAGUGGACGAUAGUCCACGCACAUGCGCAACGACUGAUCCUUCUUUUUCACAAACAACGCCGGACAACCCCAUUCCGACGAGCUUGGCCGGAUGAACCCUUUUUCUAGUAACUCCUUCAGUUGCUUCUUCAACUCUGCGAGUUCGUUUGGCGGCAUCCGGUACGGUCUUCUAGAUAUUGGUGUUGUACCUGGUAUCAACUCGAUUGCAAACUCUACCUCCCUAUCUGGGGGAAGUCCUGGUAACUCCUCGGGAAACACAUCAGGGAACUCACAUACCACGGGUAUGUGUUCUAGGGGAACUACCUGUACUGCACACGAAAGACUGGCGAAGUCCAACCGCCGGGGUAACUUGACCUGAAACACACCCUUCCCUUGCGGCUCUCUGAGGGAAAGGGUUCUAUUCCCAACAUCUAUAACCGUGCCCCAGUCAGUCAUCUUGUUCAUACCAAUGAUGACGUCCAAAACCAGUCCUGGCAUGACCACAAGGUUUACACGAAACCUCCGGCCACUGAUAUCCAAAGUAACUCCUGUUACCGUCUUAUUAGUCAACACAUCGGCUCCGGCUGAGCUGAUGCGAUAGCCAUAACCUAACUCAGUAACUGGCUGAUCAUGCUUUUGUGCAAAUGCUUGACUCAUGAAAGAAUGCGAUGAUCCAGAAUCAAACAAAACAACUGCAAGAUGUUGGUUGACAGAAAACAUACCCGCUGUCACCGGUUCUCCUUCCGGGAUCUCCUCAAUCGAGGUAUGGUGCACACGAGCUGGAUAGGUUGGCUGUAGCCUCUUGGGGUAGGGACAUUCCUUAGCAAAGUGCCCCAUCUUGUGGCAGUUAUAGCACGGACCCUUGGGCGCAUUGUGGGCGGCAGGUGCUGCGGCUUGAAUUCCCUUUGGCUUGGCAGGGGCUACCGCCACCUUGUACGGCUUCUGCUGUGUUGGAUGCCCGGUGUUCCUUCUCUGCGGCGGUCGGAACCUAGCACCCGGGGCAGGAGGACGAUACUGCUGUCACCCUGCCACUGGUGCCCUGGACUGGGAUGAUCCGGCUUCAAAGGCCCUCUUACGAGACUUGGAUGCACUGUAGUUGUUGUUAUUGUUCUCUUGGGUCAGACAGUCGCUGAUGUAGGCAUUGAAAGUAGCCCUGGCCCCUGUACCCAUGGUCUUCAGCAUCUUUGGAUUCAAGCCUCUCUGGAAACUGGCAAUCUUCUUAGCCUCCGUGUUCACAAACUCAGGGGCAUAGCGAGCGAGAUUGUUGAAAGCGUGUAGAUAUUCCUUCACAGACUUCGUCCCUUGGGACAGCCUCAUGAACUCCCCAACCUUCAUUUCAACCACACCCGGAGGAAUGUAAUUUCCCCGGAAAGCUGUGGUGAAGCGGUUCCAGGUGAUUGGGGUCCCCUCUGGGUAGGUGGUACGGUGAUGGGACCACCAAAUCCCAGCGGGUCCUUGCAACUGAUGUGCCGCGUACUCAGCCUUGAGUUCUUCUGUCAUUCGGAGAAGACAAAACUUCUGCUCCAUGGUGUUGAUCCACUCAUCUGCUUCGAGCGGUUCCAAAGCCUCUUUGAAGAUUGGUGGGUUGGUAUCCAUGAAGUCCUUGAACGAACUAUACUGGUUGACUUCACGACCGCCCUGGUUAUCCCCACGACGGGUGUUGUCAGCUAUGUUGCGCAGAGCUUCUUCCAUAUUGCGCUGCAUCUGUUCCAUGUUGCGUUGGCUUCCCAGAAACUGCACGAAAAACACAUCCGCAGUGUACGGGGGAGGCGGUGGUGGGGGCGGUGUUGGUGCUCUGUCCUCAUUCCGUUGAGCCCCACCUCCGGAUGUACCUGCUCCAAGGCCCGGAUUGCUGUUACCCCCGCCACGUGUUUGCACCAUCUGCAUACGCCAAUGAUAAGCAAUCGUUAGGAGUUGCCAUCAACCGGUAGAAAAUGUGUAAAAUCGUGCCAUACUGAAUUUACUGAGGGAAUAAAUUCACACAAUAAACAAAUGCACGACGACUCAUCAUCCACGCACAACAUCACUAACAGAUUACUUAACAUUCACGCAACGAGGUUCGCGUACAUCCAACUUGCCAGCACACAUACACUGGACUUUUCAACAUAACUCGUAAAGUCUUACAUAGCUCAGAUCCAAAAGUACACGACAUGCCAUGCAACAUACAACACAAAAGAGGAAAGACUAGCUCUAGAGCCCUAGCAUAUAGUCACUAUGGUCACUGUCCAUGCCGGAGCCAUCCUCAUCCUCAUCUCCACUAGCAGCUGCUCCUAUCUCGGGAUCCGCGUCCAUCUCGUCCUCAGAGUCUAGCUCGGUUGCUCCAGGCAGGUGGUGAGGGUGGAGCUGGUUAUGCAGCUGGUGGAUCUCCUCAUGCAAGUUCUCAUUGUACUCCUCAGCAUUAGCUAACUGCUGCUCUAGCUCCAGCUGUCGGACCCUCAAAGUGUCCUCCUCGUGCUAGGCUUCAUUCCUCUGUCCAAGCACAUGGACUAGCAUGCGCUCGCAGUUCCUGUGAGCAGUAGUCACCCUGUCCUUCUCCUCCCGCAUUGCAAGCAGGUCCUGACUCAGCUCACUGUUCUUCUGGACUGCCUGGUCUCUCUCUCUGGUCACACAGGCCAACUCUGCCUGUAGCCUCUCAACCUCAGAGUCAAACUCACGCUGCAACUGACGCUUCUCAUCCUGGACGGUGAGAAGAGACCCGGACAAGCGACCCAAGCAACGCUCCAGGCCUCCAUAGGUCUUCAUCAACGCGUACAUGGCACUCAUAGCUGCACUGUCACUGUGCUGGUCCUCAUCCGCACUCCUCUCUAGAGCAUUCACCUCGGACUGAUCCCACACUGAAGUGUAAGGGUCACCCCGGGGAAACACCCCAGCGAAGGCGUGGGCCAGCUCCUGUGGAAACCUCUCCAUGAGGUCCCUCAAAACUGCGAAAGCUGCCCUGCUGGCACCGUGGAAAGGCGUGACACCUCGGGACUCGUACACCCAACCGCCCCAAGCAGGGUCUCCUCCACUGGUAGGGAUAACUGCCUCAAUCCCCACCAGGGCCUCGUCACCAAGCGGCUCCUUAUCCCAAUAAUAGCGAGGCUCCCUUCCUUCGGGAUACCCCAUCGAACUGAGCACCCUCCAAAGCAAAGUGGGCAUCCCAAACUCCCCCAGGAACUUGCUCUUAUGUCGCGAGCUCCUAGCUGCCAACGGAUGGCGAGGGGCCCGCCCACCAGUGGACUUGCGAGCAGUGAGCCUAGUGUGUGCCAUCUGCUGCAAAUGGAAUACCGUGGGUAAGAGUGAGGAUUACCUUUAAUUAUUUUAUUUAGAAUUGGGACAGAUUAAAUUAAGGGGGAAAGUGAACAAUGAUAUGGAAUGCACAUGAUGCAUGCACGAACUUACGAUCUCACAAGCCUAGAAACAAAGGUUAACACUAAGCGGUAUAUGCGGUGGCAUACAACGUUCUCUCAUAACGUAACUAGCGUUCUAAGUGAGAACGUGGUUAGUGUACCUGCAGAAAACUCAUUUCAGCCCACCCACAGUAUGAUCGUGCAGAACAAAAUUUAAAACUAUGCACUUCACAUACACAGACACCCGUCCAUGCAUGUGGCGUGUCACUACCCACAUCAUCACCCUAAUGACGGCAUCGCCGCUCAGGACGGAAUUCCCAGCAUGCGGUACUGUUCCCAAGACACACCAAAAAUGUGUGCAUGACACAGUACCUAACAACACUCCCCUAGACCGGCAGUGUAUCCGAUCAUGCUCUCACAGCUCCCACUUACCGUGGCGUAGAGGAAAAACGGAUCCAUACAUUACCACUCAAAUGAAUGGUACUCAUACUAUUGCACGCCGUAUGAGCGACGAAAUAGAAAUAUGAUGCAUUAACCCCCAAGUCAGUACUUAACUAGCCACCUUAGAGUCCUUAACUGGGCAUAAAGGAUAUGACCAUGGCACACUAGAUAAUUUUUCCAAAACUUAGUUUAACACCUUGAUCAUUACUGAUUAUUUAAGAAAAAUCUUUCAUUAAUCCGGUUUAGCUUUUUGUUUAAAACGUACUUAUGAACAGUAACCCGCUAAACCUUGCUCCGAUGCCAGCUGUAACAGAACCGACCAAAUUAUAAGAGGUUAAGCCCAACAACGACCAUUUGCAUAGUCAAAACCAUCCGGCUUAAGCCCAUAUAAUCCCGGUAGUCUGUGAAAUCUCGAAGGAUUUCAACCCACACAUCGCAUAACAGCCAAGAUCGUAAUAAGUUUAGCGGUCUCCAUCCACAAGUACAUCCAGAUUACAACAUUCAUAAAAUACAUCGGAGUACUUAAGUUAUUACAAACCAAGUUCUUCAAGUAGCGGAAGCUUCAUAGUUCGAAAUUACAACACACACGAUAAGUCUGAUACAGUGCCAUAGUUCGGUCAUUCCCACAAAAGCAAGGGAAGAGACGGAGUGACCAUCGCCCUUGGUCUAGUCAUCACCCAUAGCUGGGUACAGACAGAGGAUGCAAUAACCAUAGUACAUUUGACCAUCUGCAAAACAAUAUGGGAAUAGAACCCUGAGUACGAGAAGGUACUCAGCUAGACUUACCCGUCAUAAACUUAAAAUAAAGACUCAUCAAGGAUCAUGAAGGCUAUAUAGUGGGGGAGCUGACGACCAAUUUGCACAACCGCAGUAUUUCGCUAACAUAACCUACAUAAGUCUUUCUCCUUUUAAUUGGCUCAAGUUGAAAGUAUCAUUACCUAUCAUCUAGGUUUGCACCUGCACUAUUACAAGCAAGUAUGAGACUAUGAUAGUACCUCAUCAUAGCAUUUCUUAAAAACCAUUCAUCAUUAUAACCCAAGUGUUCCAUAGUCCUUACUACGAGGACGAAGCUCAUGUCAAGUGCUCACUAUCCAGGAGCAAUGGCGAUUCGACUCGAUUUCUAACCAGCUGGCGAGUUUAUUCCCCACACAAACCACACUCACUGAUCAAGUCAGCUACAGGUCACCAUGUUGCACUAUCCAGGACCAAUUCGUGGGUUCGACAGGCACCGCCCGUACCCGAGGACCGUUCCGACGACCGAGGUAUCCAAGGUAUACCAAGGUUGCGCGCCGCGCCCUCGUCGUUCUCCUCAACCAUCACCAAUACAGCGCGUACAUCGGGCCGAUUCCCGGCCCGGAUAGUGCUCAGGCUUCGCGGUCGGAACGACUUAUCCUUCCAGCUAAGUGUGGGGCAUGCGUUCAACAUGACAAGAGGGCCGUCAACGACCGGUCCUUAAUCGACACAGGCAGGGGCACUAUGGUCAACCCACCACCAGACCCUGCCCGGUCUCCAAAUUCAUUUCACACUUGGUCAUUAUUUUCCCGAGCAAAUAAUUCUUAAUCAAGCAGGUAUCCACCUAUAUCUCGCAGGUGACAGGGAAUCACCCGACUUCUACCGGACUAAGCAAGCUAAGCAUAGACUCCGCACCUAUCGACAUAGGACAAGGUAGAUAAACGAGUAGGGAUAACAAGGAGUACAUAUGCAUCAACGGUAUCAAGCAACUCCUAUCACUUAGAUGCAACAUAGUAGAACCAAUAUAAUAUAUAUACUGUAAGUUAGCGAGAAUAGGGAGACUUAGAAUGCUCCGGGGCUUGCCUUUCUCAAACGUGCUGGGUCGGUGAUCCGGACACUCGUGCAGUUCCUCUUCGGGUUCCGGGGCUUCCGGAGGUUCCUGCUCCUGAAUCUGCUCUGGCUCCUCGGGUCCCACCUCGUUCUCCUGCGAGCCUGUAUGAUGCAUGUGUGCUCAUGAGUGGAGUGCGAGAUGCCCGAGUGGAUGCUUGUAUGAGAAAGUACCAAAGGAUCAGGACAUGAUGCAUGGAUGAUACACUUGGUCAUGCUCAUCACAAGGUAUGCAACAUCAUCCAAGAACAGGCACUUGGAUUAAACAUCUAUUACAUUCUCUUUUACAAUUAUUUUUCAAAUGCAAUCAGCAACCCACAUGAUGCUUCAAAGAUACACCAAACCCAACUUAUUCCAUUCAACCUAGAUAUGCAACCAUUCAUAAUUUUCUUUAUUCAUUUCUAGGCCCAUUAAAGUCACAUGCAAUUCUGUUCAUCAAUAAUUUCUACAAAAAUUACAGGAGACUACUAGCAAAACAUAAAGUCUACUGUAAAUUUUUCAUAAUUUUUGGUUACUUAUUUUGAGUCACAAAAAUCACAAGAUUAAUUAAUAAGGCAAGUAAAAUCACUCUACUGGGAUACAAGUGUCAAACAACAGAUUUCAUAUUUUUACAAUUUGCAUAAUAUCAUAAGAAACACCCACGAAAUUUUCCAGAUUUAUUGCACGACCCAAUUAAUUAUUAAAAAUCAUAAGUCACUGCCAUGCAAGCAUUUAAAUUACCAUAAAUUCAUUUAUACAUCAAAUAAUAUGUACCAAUAUUUUCGCAGUGAGCAAACACACAUGCAAAGCCAAGAAAUCAAGUUUCACAUUUUUCUGAGCCAUAUUUUAUUUACUAUGCAUUUUGCAAGUUUAACAAAAUCAUGGAUAAAAUAUAUUCACACAGAAAAGUUACUCCAACAUGACAUGCAAUUACAUCAAACUGUAGAUCUGGAUAUAUAGAGCACACCAAAAUUUAUUUCAUUCAAUUUGGAGCUGUAGAACUUAAGAUAUAGAUUUUACAAACUUUAAAUCCAUUUUUGUAAAACACUUUUUCAAGAAAACCGACGAAAAAGGCUACGUACACCCAGAUCUACACCCACCAGGGUACCCCUGCGACUGACAGUGGGUCCCCGACCCCACCGGUCAGCGAGACCGAGAGGGAGCUCACCUCCGACGAGCGGAUCUCGCCGGCGGUGAGGUCUCCGGCCACGGGGUGAGCACCAACGUGCUCCCCGCAGCAAGACGCAUCCAGCGGUACCCUUGGAUCGACCAGAGGACGGCCGGAACACCUCCGGCGAGCAUGCAUGGCGGCACGGCGGCGCUGCUCGCCGUGGCCAGGCUGCUCCGGCGCGGUAGAGCGUGCGCAAACGCCUCUCCGAGCUUCCUCACCUUCCUACCGACCUAGCGCAACAAAGAACGAGCGAAAACAAGCAGGGAAACGCUAGAUCCGUCGCGGCGGAGUACUCCGGCGAGCUCGGGGUAACUCCGGCGAGCGAUUCACGGCGCUCGACGGACUCUCACCUCGGUAGAACGUUCGCACGAGCUUACCCCAGCGACGGCGAGUGCCAUGGUGCUCUUGGCGUCGAGCUUGGGGCUCUGGUGUGGCCGGCGACGAGCGGCGAAGCUCUCUCUGGCAAUGGCGCGCGGAGGAGCGGCUGCUGCUGCGCGGUGCGAGCGGAGGAGGAAGGAGAAGGAGGGCAUGGGGGAGACAGGAUGGAGGGAGUGGCCUGGGAGCCUGCGCUGGCGUCCCGACCAGGGGGGGUUGGAGGCCGGCCGCGGCGCGGCCAACGCCGGCGUACGGCCGCCACGUGGCCGGCGCCGGGUGGAGCGAGGCGGGCGCCGCGCGCGCGGGAGAGAGGGGAGGAGGAGCGGGCCGCGCUGUCCAGCUGGGCCAGAAGGGAGGCGGGUCGGCCCAGCAGCGCCUGCCCCCUUUCCUUUUUUUUUGAAUUUCUUUUCUCAAAUUCUUUCUAAAUUCAUUUGGACCAAUUUAAAAUCAUUUUCACCUCUUGCUCCCAAAAACAAAGUUGUUCCAAAUUAAAAACUCUACAACUUUGCUUUGACAAGCAAGACCAAAUUCCAAACAAAAUUUGAAUUACAAGUUAAAACUCAGUUCUAGGUUUUAAAUAAAUUCAUUUUGGGAAAAUUUGUAUAAAUUCUAUUUCUCAAAUUCCGUAGCUCCAAAAAUUGCACAAAAAUAUUCUAAAUUCUUCUUACACAUAAAGCAACCUAAUUUGAAUAUUUCACAAUUUUAGAAGCAAGCAUCAUAUUUUUAACAUAUUUAAAACACAUGAAAUGAUGCACAUAAAAUCAUAUUCUUAAAAGAAUGAUAUGCUCAUGAUGCUUAUGAUUGAUGAGAAUGCUUAUGCAUGACUUUGAUAAGACUAAGUGCAUGCUUAACACCUAGGGUGUUACACUAUCAACGGAGGGUGGACUAUAUAAGAAUCAACGAAGCUGUCACUAUCGCGAACUACCACACGACCCGACCAAUAGGAUAUAUUUGCAGGUAAAUAACAUCUAAGCACCACGCCCAUAUGUGAUCUACCACUUAACUCCCUCGCGUCAAGAGGUAAGCGCUUUGCAAACUUAUACAUAAACUCAUUAUCAAUCAUAACUAUAUCAAAUAUAGAACUAGAGCAAACUAAGAACAAAAUAAAUAGAUACAUAAUGCAAUUAGAACAAAGUAUUAGAGAAAGAUAUGAAUAAUACCAAUCUUUAUUACCGAAGAUCCGAAUCCAGAGCGUAGUGCUCUACUUCUCUAAUUGCUAUCUAAUCAAACCUCUAAACUUGAAGGAUUAGGGAGUAGCUAAUUCUAAUUCUCUGUGGGAGAGAAGCUCUAAACCCUAACUUUGAUGGCUACCUCUGACUAAUGAUUUCUUCUCUUCUCUUCUCUCCCCCAGGAGUGGAGAGGCCUUGGUUAUAUAGUCCUUUCAAGUGAAUUUGGGCCGUUGGAUCAAACCGACAUUGAUUGUAUGGUUUAGAUUCAUCCUUUAGGUCGGUGGAGUUUAGUCCCGAAAGAGAGUCCUGAUUGGACUCUAACCCUGGGCGGGCGCCCAAGGGGGGUGGGCGGGCGCCCUGCCCCCGAGCCCGAUCGUCUUCUCGUUCGUUCCCGUGCCUUCUGCACUCUUCUAGAUUGAGGAAAAUUGCGCGGCACGUAAUUAUCUCGUUGUAAACAUGACAUGUGGGCCUUCUCUCCAUAUUCUCUGAUAAACCCCUGCAGAAAUAGAUAAACACCAAAGCUUGUGGAAUUCUGUCAGAUAAAACCCUAAUUCUAGAUGUUUGGUGCAUAUUGAUCCUUUUCUAUGUUUAUUUGAUUAUUAGUUUUAGUACUUAAGGACCGUCAACAAACUACCCUAAGCAUACCCUUUGCUCGUCCCUGAGCAAACAGCUAAACUCAGACGGAUCAGGAGUUGCUUCGAUGUUUUCUUUCCUGACAGGCACACAUGCUUUUACAUAAAAAUUCUUCCAGAUUAGAGUGAAGUGUUAUGGAGCUUAGUACCUGCACUUGAGUCUUAAGUAAUUGAAAGACAAAACUAUUAAGUCAAGCACUAUUCCUCCUGUCUAUACUUCAUUGUAACACCCUAAAAUUUAAUCCUUUUGAAAUAUAGAUAAAAUUAUUUAAUUUUGUAUUUUUGUGCUCAUGAAAAUAUAGGAAAAAUAAUAUUUUUCAUUAAAUUAAAAUUUAUCAUAAGGCUUAGCAAUAUUAUUAUGCAUACAUGCAGGUGUAUAUGUUUUGAUGGUAAGAAAAAUAUUUAAAAUACUUUUCGUAGAUCAAUCUUCCUUAUUCGGCACGUAUUUAUCUUUUAUCUACAACCAAAUUCCUUGUUUCUAAGCUCAAAUUUUUAUUAGGACCUUCCUAAAAUAUUUUUUUUGUCACUCAAAGCACUUCUUUUAGUUACUCGUCCAUCAAGCACUCUCUACAAAAUUUUCGGGAAUUUUUUCAGCUUCUGUCUCACUUUUCUGUGAGCAUGAUCUAAUUUUUAGAUGCUCCAUACAAUCUUCUCACGAGCUCCAAAAGCUUUAUUCGGGUUCCCCAUGUUUUAUAAUAUCUCUGAGAAUUUUUCCCGAAUUUUCGGAGCUUUCGGAGUACUUUUCGUGGCUUAAAUCAUAAUUCUGGACUUUUCUAGAAUUAUUUUAUCAGUGAAAAUAAUUAAUUUCGAAAAUAAUAAAUCUCUUAUUAUUUUUCUAACGUCAAAGCCCAUAAUAAAUCCUCACAACCAUAUAUUUAUUUACUAAGGGGCUUUAAUAAUUAAUUAGGCCUAUUAGUAAAGAUGAAGGUUGCAAAUCAAUUAGUAACAUAUCGCUAGUUGACGUGGAGGUGGGGAGUUUUUCUUCCUAUAUAUAUGUACCAACCCUUAGGCAAAGCACAUCAAAGACUAUUAUAUGGGAAGCCUCUAAUUUGAGAAUUCCUAAGGUAGUAAAAUAAAAUUUAUAUUUUCUUCUCUACAACGUGAUUGCCAUCGUCUCGCCUAUACACGACAUCUACGAACGGUCGGCUGCUCCGGCGUUACUGUAGCUCCAAGAAAGCGUCACUGCCGGUGAACCUACUCCCUGUCCACCAACGUAAGCCCCAAUCACUUUAUCUUUUAGUUUGGAAAAUACAAACAGCUCGGUUUUUAGAUUAAAAAUACGUUUUCACUAUUUACAGAAUUGCCACUGACUUUCUUUUGGCCAUAAAAUAUUCAUUUUAACUCUGAUUUGACCCAUUCAAAUUGCGUUAGGUUCGUUUUAAUGAGCUCUACAUGUUAGUAACAUUGUUUUCUCAGUUUAAAACUUUCUAUUUUCGCGACCCUAAUUAAUUAAUUACUUUUCUAUAUAAAAUCUUAGAAAAUUCAUAACUUCUCUGUUUUAGCUCCGAUUUUCGUGAUCUUUACGUCUAUAAAAUCGUAGCGAUGCGUAGAAUCAUUUUAUAAACUUUUCAUACUGUUUUUACAUGUUUGGUGUACUGUUCUAAUUAUAGUCUUGUUUCCUUCGAUUGUUUGUGUGAUCGAUGAUCGAGAUUAGACGAUGAGCAAUCCUUGGUGAACCAGAGUGCUUUAGUGAUCAAGAUCAGAGCCUUGGACAUCUAGUAAGACUAGCAAGAUCAACAAGAGCAAUUGGAUUAAGGCAAGUAUAGCAUUUAGAUUUUAUUUCUGUGACCAUGAUCCUCUGACUAGAUUAAUGUUAAGUAAUAGACGAUAAAAAUGACUUUUUAGCAACUUGAUGAGUUAUCUGUACGUGAUCACCCGAGACAACAGUGCAACCAUGAGGGCUAUAAUGGCUCUGGCUUUAGCUCAGUAUGAAGACCUUUUCUAGCUUGUUAGAGGCUACCCGAAAGGGCGGAGGGGCCGAACCGUUUUGGGUAUAGUGCGAGCCCCUGUCCUUAUGUGUAUAGGCUGCGCGUCAUUGUGCCAUUUGGAAGGGGGGCAUCUAUAUCUGCGUGCAAAGGAAACCUUGCGGCCCUAACAUGUUAGACGAACUUUUGAAAGGCUUCAUAGUGAUCCCUGCCGACCUUCCUUGGUAGUGGGUUAAGAGGUCGACGGGCCUCGGGCGAAAGGGUAAAUCAUGACUCAUGGGUAAAGAUGUACAACCUCUGCAGAGUGUUAAAACUAGUAUACUAGGCGAGCUCACGGUCAGGAGCGGCCUUUGGGACAUCUACAUUAAGGGUGAUGAUUCUUGUGUGUUAAAUAUACUCAUUGUUUAUUGUUUAAUGCUCUACAUUAUUUAUGUCACAUUGAUCAUGAGAUUGUGGGAUCUAUACAAUCUAGUUGCUAUACUUGUGGAGUUCGACAUGGACUCACUCUUGCUAUUUCCCCCAAACCUCAGGAGAAGUUUAGGCUUGUGAUCAAACAGUCAGUGGGAUCCUGUAGAGUGAAGUUAAUACCCGAAGUUUGGAGUUAUCUUUCCGCUGUUUGCUAUCAAAGGUUAUCUCUUUUAUACUAAGCAUGUUAUAUAUUUAUGCAUUGUCUUUUGAUAUUACCCCUUAUUUGUAGCUAUAUGUGGGAUUUGACUUCUAAAACUCACAUAUGGUGCAUAUCUGAUUUUAUCCUUAAAAUCGGGUAUUACAAAGUGGUUUCAGAGCAAUGCUGACUGUAGGACGCAAGCCUAGUUAGAAAUUUGUCGUCUUAAAGUUUUGGAAUUGUCAAAAAAUCCUUUCUCUAUAAACCUUGGUAUUUUCAUCCAUACUAUAUCCCUAUCCUUGCUAUUUGUCUCCACCUUGUUGCUUAUUUUAAAAGUACAUGUUCUCACCUUCACUUCUUGAUUCAGUAUGCUAUUAGAACCUUUUCUUACCUCCUUCUUGCGUCUUUGAAACAUAAGUUUUAGGAUCUUUGCCCUUAAUGAAGAUAACGAUAAUAUCACAAGUUGAGUGUAGUGUGCUUAGUUGGUUUGUUAUUAUGCUCAUGUUUGAUUUGGAUCUUUGUAAUGAUUGCCAUGAUCUUGUGGAAUUACUUCACAAUUUCAAGAGUUUAUAGACCUAAGGCAUCAGGAUUAAUGAAAUAAGUAGUUGGGUUUGGCUAUCUCUUGAUUCUAUCCCUUGCUGAUUUCUGGAGCAGUUUGCAAUAAUGCUGGUGUAUCUAAAGGUCCGAUCGUGCAAACUUUAUCAAAUUUUUCUGGGAACAACUAGAUUUCAAGAUAUUUCUCUGACCGCAAGAAUCACCCUCAUAGCUAUUAUGGUUUGGAAGUUACAGAAAUCAGUAGAUGAUACAGAUGUGCUGUCCAGAAUCUGGACCAGUUUCGGGAACUUGCUGUUUGAGACAAAUAUAACUAUAGAAUUUGGAAAAGUGUUCUAUAGAAACGUUAUAGACGACUUGCUAAGCUUUCCAACGGUAUAAUCUAAAACUUAUUUGGCUAAGUAGAACCUGAGAUAUGAUAUUUACAAUUGGAUGUUUCUGUUCUGUAUCAAAGUCUGGACAGUUUUGGUUUUCCCUAUUUUCGGCCAAGUUAAAGACAGAAAUCUGGGAAAACAUGGUAUACAAAAGUUGUAGAGGAUUUCCUAAGCUUUUCAAAAAUGUAAGGAUCAUCUCCAGAUGAGUUAAGUAGCUCGAGAUAUAAUUUCUGGAAGUUACUGCACCUUUGCUGAGACAUUAUCAGCAAGGAUAUUAUGUUUGGUUAUUUUACCUAUGCUUAAAGACAGAACCUAAGGAGGACUUCUACAUGAAAGUUGUAGAGAAUUUCAUAAGUUUUCUAACAAUAUAAUCUGCAACUCUAUUGGAUUAUCAGAAUAAUAGUUAUACCUAUUUUACUAUGCUGCUAUUUUUUUCAUAUCGCGAGGAAAUUUUAGCAUACCUGUUUGCUCCACUGCAUAUAAGUUCUUUGGGAUGUCAGAAGUUCUCAAUGUUAACUUGUCUGGAAAGUAUGCAAGCUACCUUUCUUGGUCCCCUAGUUGACUUUUCUUAAGGGGGGUAGCCCAAUUAAAGAACUACAAGGAGAAGAAGUGGUUAAUAACUGGAACAUCUACAAGGACAUCAAGUGCUUGGUAUGUUGGUUUGUUUCAAGAUAUCAUUCUAUUUGGAGUGUGCUAAUACCAAUGGAGGCUUAUGUCAUUACUGAUACUCAUGGAUUAAGAGUUGUGUAUGAGGAUCAGAUGACACCAAAGUCUACAGAGUUGUAUGUAUAGUGUGAGAGUGAACCAACUUAACUGUGAUAAAGGUACCGAUAAUUGGAACUUAGUGAUGAAACUAACCUUGGAUCAAGAGACUCAGUACAGCGAAUUUAAAAGACUAUAUGAUGUGUAGCGUCUAAAAAGAAUAGGAGAAAUAAGUUUAAAGAAGGAUCGUAUCUACUACACUAGGUGUCUCGUCAAUAUUUUAGGAAUACUUGAGAGGCUACUUAGAGUAAGAGAGUGGAAUCAUUGCUAUGAAGAUAUAGCUACUCAAGAAAGUGAACAAGAUUCAAAAUCUACGUCUCUUUGAUAACCGUCUUCCGAAUCUCGAGGACGAGAUUCAUCUUAGGGGGGUAGAAUUGUAACACCCUAAAAUUUACUCCUUUUGAAAUAUAGAUAAAAUUAUUUAAUUUUGUAUUUUUGUGCUCAUGAAAAUAUAGGAAAAAUAAUAUUUUUCAUUAAAUUAAAAUUUAUCAUAAGGCUUGGCAAUAUUAUUAUGCAUACAUGCUGGUGCAUAUGUUUUGAUGUGAUGCUUGUUGAUCCUUUAUGUGUUGAUAGUAAGAAAAAUAUUUAAAAUACGUUUAGUAGAUCGAUCUUCCUUAUUCGGCACGUAUUUAUCUUUUAUCUACAACCAAAUUCCUUGUUUCUAAGCUCAAAUUUUUAUUAGGACCUUCCUAAAAUAUUUUCUUUCUCACUCAAAGCACUUCUUUUAGUUCUUCGUCCAUCAAGCACUCUCUACAAAUUGUUCGGGAAUUUUUUCAGCUUCUGUUCUCACUUUUCUGUGAGCAUGAUCUAAUUUUUAGAUGCUCCAAACAAUCUUCUCAUGAGCUCCAAAAGCUUUAUUCGGGUUCCCCAUGUUCUAUAAUAUCUCUGAGAAUUUUUCCCGAAUUUUGGGAGCUUUCGGAGUACUUUUCGUGGCUUAAAUCAUAAUUCUAGACUUUUCUAGAAUUAUUUUAUCAAUGAAAAUAAUUAAUUUCGAAAAUAAUAAAUCUCUUAUUAUUUUUCUAACGUCAAAGCCCAUAAUAAAUCCUCAAAACCAUAUAUUUAUUUACUAAUGGGCUUUAAUAAUUAAUUAGGCCUAUUAGUAAAGAUGAAGGUUGCAAAUCAAUUAGUAUCAUAUCGCUAGUUGACGUGGAGGUGGGGAGUUUUUCUCCCUAUAUAUAUAUAUAUGUACCAACCCCUUAGGCAAAGCACAUCAAAGACUAUCAUAGAAUCACCCAAAAAUAUUCUACUCCUAAUCCGGGAGAGAAUAGCCAAAAAAAUAUUUCUGUUUUCCCUUGUGAAAUAAAUGCUCAAGUUAUCUUGUUACUACCACUUGCUAUAUUAUCUCAAGAGAUGAGUGCUCUAAAAAAACAAGGAAAUAAAAAGGAGCAAGUGCUCGGAACCUCGAAAGAAAAGAAAAAGUGAGACGAGAGGUAAAAAUGGACAAGUGUCCGACAGUAGAAUUAGGGGUACAAGAUACCCACCUGAGAGAAAAGAAAAAUGAAGAGCAUCUCAUUCUCCACAUAAAGUUUCAAAAAGCAAGGAAGGUAUGUAUCCCUCAAAGAGCAAAGUAGAAUUAGACUUCCACCAUUGUUAUCACCAUCAUCACCAUACACCAUUCAUUCGCCACACAUGCACAUCUUGAUUAAACUUAUUGGCUUGUUUCUUUGGAUCCAUGGUUUGACUAUGCAAUAAAUGUCUUAUGAGUAUGUAUACUUUAUCUCCCACCUAUGAGCUCCAGAUAUUAAAGCCUUAUUAGAGUAGGGUGAGAGAGGAGACAAUGUCACUAUGCUUUAUACCACAAAUACUACAUAUCUUGAGAGAAGGCAUAUACCAUCACUGCCUUGGUAAGGAUCCAGAAAUACCACAAAAGAGAGAUCUGAGAGAAUCAUACAAGGAAUUUUUGAGUUUUAUUUGAAAAUCUACAAAAACCCCAGAGCUAUAGCUGAUUAAGAAUAAGAGACAUGGCACUUGACUAGACUGUUCUGUCUUUUAACUACUCAAGAUAGAAGUGACGGUUACAAGUCCCAUGGUGAAGGUAAAGUAAGUAAGUUUUAAGUCUUGACAGUUUACUCUAACUCAGAGAUGAGAUCUUAUUUAAAAAGCAUGUGUACCGUCAAAAUUUUAAAAAUAUUGCAACAACUUAUGAUCCAUAGCUGAGUCUAUCCUUGCUCAGGGACGAGCAAGAGGUAAGCUUGGGGGAGUUUGUUGACGGUCCUUAAGUAUCAAAUUUAAUUAUCAAAUAAAUAAAGAAAAGGAUCCAAAUGAAAUCAACAUCUAAACUUAGGGUUUUAUCUGACAGAAUUCCACGAGUUUUGGUGUUUGUCUAUUUCUGUAGGGGGUUAUCAGGAAAUACGGAAGAAAAGCCCACACAUCGGGAUUACAUAGAGAUAUUAACGUGCCGCACAAUUAUCUUACAUCUAGAAGACUCCAGAAGCCGCGAGACCGAAGCGGAGGCGAAACGGGGCCAGAGGCAGGGCGCCCGCCCUGUUCCCCUGGGCGCCCGCCCUCUCCCUGAGUCCAAUCAAGACUCUGCUUCGCGGGAGAUCUCCACCGACCUAAAGGAUGAAUCUAAACCAUACAAUCUAUGUCGGUUUGAUCCAACGGCCCAUAUUCACAUGAAGGGACUAUAAAACCAGACCCCCUGGCCCCUGGAGGAGAGAGCCUCUCAACCCUAAUUCAUUGUUCCUCAAGGGAGAAGAAGCCUCUGAUCAAGAUUAGAGCCACCACAUCAAUUAGAUAUCUAGAUUAGCAUAGCUACAUAGGAUUAGAACUAGAAGGAGUCAAUCUUUGAUUGGUUUCUGGAUCUGUCAGGAGGAUUCUUGGUAAUUCUCUAAUUGUGCUUCUAAUUGCUUUCUAAUUAUCUUUGUUCUUCAAUAUUAUGAAUAUGACUUUGUUCUACUUCAAUAUAUUGCUUAUGACUUUGCUCUACUUGUUUAUAUUCAAGAUUAUAUUGUUCUUAGUUUAUCAUAGUUAUGUACUUGGCUUAGUUAGAUUCGAUCUAUAUACAUGCUUAGGAUCGUAUAGCGUUUAUCCAUCGGAUCCAUGGGUAAAUGAUAGAUAUUGUGUAGGCGUGGUGCUUAUACCGUAUUUAUCUGCGAUUGUACCCAAUAUGCCAGAUCGUGGGGUGGUUCGUGAUAGUGACAGCUUCAUUGAUUUAUAUAUAGUCCCCCUCUCGUGUAUUGGGCUGGCAGAGCAACAUUAUUACAGGGGAGUGAUUGCUAUGUUUCUCAUAUUCCUUGCUAAUAUCACUAUGCAUGGGCGUAGUCUUGUCUCUGUUGACGGUGGAUAUACCAUAGAAAUCCACAUACAAAACACCGUCAACAUGCCUCGGUUGCAAGGGGAAAUGACAUGACAUGAACAUAUUUUAUCCAUAACUAGUUCCACUUGUACUCUUAGCUUGUUUAUGCAGGAACAACAAAUUCAAGACAUUAUUUGACAAAGCCAACAUCAGAAUCAUCAAGAGGAGAUCGAGGGGACAAUAGGUGACACCCUGGGCCCACAGGGAGGGGGUCGCCCGACCCCUCUUUGGUGGGACCCAGGUGUGCCACCUAGUCCACCGACAUAAGGGACCCCUGUGGACACUGCUGGUGGGCCCAGAGGCCCAGAAGUGGGGUCGCUCGACCCCACAUCAAAGGCGGUUCCAGGGUCGGUGGCCUCCCACCGACCUUCCCCACAUGUCCCACAUGUUGAUUUGCCCCUGCCGUUGAUCAAAUGGCGGUUGUGAGGUCGGUUUGAUCCAAGGGUGGAGAGAAGAUGUCACGCGAUCGAUGACGUGGCGAUAGAGUAACCCCUACUCCAUCUCCCUCUAUAAAAGGCAGCCUCCACCCUUCAUUUCAAGUGUGCAAUUCCAAGGCCAAGUGCAUUACAAGUUCCAAGCAUACAAGUAGAGUAGUAGUUAGUCUAGAGUGGGAGUUAGAGUCGAGUCGAGCGAAGCUCGGGGUCUCCGGAGUCGUCUUCUGGAGAGUCUGGUAUAGCUCUUGUACCUUUCUACUUUUGUAAGACUUUCCUUUUAUUAAUAUAUUAUUCUUACUUUACUUUACUGAGUUCUUACUUAGUGCAAGUCUUUUAGUCUUGUUGUGCAUUUACUUUAGUAAUAUAGUUGUCUUAGUGAAGUUAGUGACCUGUAACCACUCCUGUGUGUGCAUCAUCGUCCUAUCUUGUAUAGGAGCUCUAGCUAGCUGCAACUAGUUAGAGUUGUAGGAUUAAGUGUGAGCGUGGUGCUCAUACUUAAGAUUACCUUUGAUUACCGCUGACUUGAACGGAAAGUAGGAGCGCACUCCCUAGUAGGUGACAGAUCGUGGGCGGCAUUAGGUUCUUCUCACGUACAGGCUAGUUCUUAAAAGGUAAGGCGUCCAUAAGCCCAAUAGUCGCUUUCGGUAAGGGGUUAGGUGAAAAACCUUCUAAGCGUCUUACCAGCUCGGCUAUCCCUCGCACACAGUUAGUAAGGCUCUAGCGUAGUUAAGGCAAUUAUCUAUUAAAGUAAGUCACAGAAGUCAAGUUAGAUACAUAGGAGUCCUUUACUCACUCGUUGUCCUCCCACCUAGCUAACUCUACCAUUUACCUUUAGCAUAGGACCUUGGAUUCACCACUACCCUUCCUAUUCGUUAUUUACCACCCUUAUUCACUAGUUGAUACUAGACAACUCAAGGAAUCUCAUUCCCCUUUUUGUUAAACACACUUAGCCGCUUUCCCUUGGGAAAAUAUAAAUUACGAUACCUUGGAAUACUCCUUGGUGAAGUGCUACAGCGGUACAUUCUGUGCGCUUGCGGAAUUAUCCAAUAGUAAAUAGAGUUACCCUACCAGGGCACUUCUGGCGCCGUCGCCGAUAUCCGGUGGUUGCGUUAAGAAGUGUCAACAGUCUCGCAAUGAUUGCUAAGUAUGCUUGCACUAAUUAUGAUAUGCUAGACUAUAUAGUUAAGAAUAACUUAGGGAAUAUUCUUGUAGUUCGUUCUAAUACCAUGCUAAUGACUUUCUAGAGUAUCUAAUUGAGGUGCUUAUCAUAUUUAUUAUGUCUAGAUUAGAUUAAUUAUCUUUGUUACUAUUAUUAUUUCAUAUAUCUUUUAUGUGACACUUAUCCCUGUAUGAAGAGUUAGAUAUAAUGUUCUCAAUUAUACAUGCAAUGGUAGAUGCUCAAUCUCAUAUUCUAUUCUGUAAUCAAUAUUGAUGAUUGCUAAUCCCUUCCCAGUGGUAAAAAUAUAAAUAACGAUACCUGGAAUACUUUCCGGUUAAAAUGCUGCAUCGGUAUUAAUCUGUGCGCUUGCAGAUCCCAUUCAUUAUUUAUUUAGAAGAGCAAUUGCAUAUUUCAAUACCGCGUCUCUUAUAUCAUGCUGGGGAUGACAACUUGGCUUAAGUGGUGUGAGGGAUAGGUUUGGCAUUUUUGGCACCGUUACUAGAUUUAGAGAACUUAGUCUACUUUUGGUAAUGAUGUUAAGAAUACCCAACAGGUGUCGAAGGUGAAAACGUCUGUGACGGCUUUCCAAACUAACUCCUUGCCACGAUCAGAGACAAAACUGAUCUCAGGAGCAUCUCGCUUCUCUCUCCAUUCACGAGCACUGAUCGGUAUUUGAUCUUUCACAAGAUAUCCACAGUGACUAACAUAUUUAUUUGCAUGCUCACCAAGUGGUCUGCCUGUAGCUAUCUCAAACUCAGAGAUUACAUAGCGGCCCUCCAACGGCUUCUUUAGCCCUCGUGGAGGUACGCUUCUCCCCGUAGAAGUCGAUCCAGAAGGCUACACGUAGAUAUAGAAACAAAAAUACUAAAUUAAUAACCAAGUAAGUCUAAAACCUAAUGUAAGAGAUGCAUUAAUUAUAUAUGUUUACAUUUACAUACAUCGCCAGUAUUUUUUUCUUGUUGCACGACAAGUUGUUGCUCAGGCGCAUUGCCCUCUUGUUGCUCAGGGGCAUUGCCCUCUUGUUGCUCAGUAGGAUUGCCUUGCAUGAUCUCAUGGUAAUCAAUAAGGUACUGACUAACGCCGUCGAUUAUAUUUUGAAUCGCAUCUUCCAUAUAUUCAGGAUCAUCAUGAGCGCGGUCAGCCAUUUCUAUGUCUGCAAUCAUACAUAUAUAUAUAUAUAUAUUCUAUAUAAGAUAAGAAAUACACUAGAAUAAUAUAAGUGCUAGAGUGCUCCAAACUAAAAAGUAAUACUAAAAAAAUAAUACGGACAAUAACACUAGAAUAAUAUACUAGCACAAUAUAUUUCAUAACAAUUCAAAACACUACAAUUCAUAAUAUACUAGAAUAAUAUACUAAAAAGUCUUUUAAGCCAAGUAAUAUACUAGAAUAAUAUACAAAAAAUAAUACUAGAAUAAUAGUAUAAACAAUAAUAGUAUAUGUUUUAAGCCAAGUAAUACACUUGCACCUAGAAUAAUGUACUAAAAAAAAUUAAUACUACAAAAUGAUACAAGAAUAAUAUAAGUGCUAUAGUGCUCCAAACUAAAAAAUAAUACUUAAAAAAAUAAUACGGACAAUAACACUAGAAUAAUAUACUAGCACACAAUAUAUUUCAUAACAAUUCAAAACACUACAAUUCAUAAUAUACUAGAAUAACAUACUAAAAAGUCAUUUAAGCCAAGUAAUAUACUAGAAUAAUAUACUAAAAAAUAAUACUAAAAAUUAAUACUAUAAUAAUAGUAUAAACUAAUAGUACAUGUUUUAAGCCAAGUAAUACACUUGCACCUAGAAUAAUGUACUAAAAAAUUAAUACUACUACAAAAUGAUACAAGAAUAAUAUAAGUGCAUAUAUAUACAUAAUAAUACAAAAUAAUAGUAUAUAAACUGUUGGUAUGAAAUAUAAGUGCAUAUAUAAUGAUACAAAAUAAUAGUAUAAAAUAAUGAUACAAGAACAAAAUGAUACAAAAUGAUACAAGAAUAAUAGUAUAUAUAUAUACAUACAUACACAUACAUAUAUAUAUAAGAUAUAUAUAUAUAUAUAUAACAUAUUAUUCAUCGAAACUGUUGUUAUUCAUAUAUAUAUAUACAAUUCAUAUAUACAAUUUUAGUCUAUACAUAUAAAUUGUUGACAUUCAUCCAUAUAUAUAUAUAUGUAUCGAUGAAGAAUAUACGUAGGAUCUGGUGGAGAUAGCCGCUGCAGCGGCGCUAGAGAUGAACGGCGGCGCUGGGGAGACGAACGGGCGGCGCUGCAGAUGGCGGCGGCGGCGCUGGAGACGAACGGCGGCGCUGGAGAUUGCGGCGGCGACCCUUUAACACCGGCGCGUGUUACCAGGCGGUGUUAAAGGUACCCUUUAGCACCGAUUCCAACCACGGACCGGUGCUAAAGGGUCCUGCGCGCUAGGGCGGGCUCCUGAAAUUUUCAGGACGGCCGGUGCUAAAGGCCCUGUUUUUUAGUUUAGGGUUUUUCAAUUGUGUAUAUAUAUAGUUUAUACUAUAAAUUGUAUAUUAAAUUAAAUAUUAUGCAUAAUAUUUUUUAAAUAGUGACAUAUAUUGUAAGUUUUUUUAAUGUACACAUGAAAAAUUUUAACCUUAAAUAUCCUACUGUUUUUUUAUAAUUUGCAAUGAUUUUGUAAGAAAUGUUUACUAUUUUGUUAAUGCAAAAAUAUAUUAUUCCAAUAAAUUUACAAAAACUAUAUCCAAUCAACUGGAAAUCUAUUUUCACAUCAUAUUGACGUAAAACUUUUUGUUUUUGUUAUCUAUUACUCGGAAUGCUAGUAGGGUAUUGUUUUCAUCAAAUAAAAAAUCUAUUUAUCAUAUAAAAAUAUAUAUCUUGAUGAACACACCCUUUGACCGAACCCUAAAUUGUCCCAAAUGGAAAAGUCAUGAAUACAAAGUUUGUUACACUCAUCAAGUUCUACAUUUUGUCUAAUGGUCAACUUUUCUUUUGGAAAAGUUUGAACCACUAAAUUUUGAAUUUUCAGAGAAUUCAUGGCCACGCAGUGGUUUUGGAACCCUAGAUGGUCUCGAAUGGAAAAGUCAUGAAUACCAAUAUUGUUCCACUCAUCAAAAUCUACAUUUAAUAUAUAGACCAAUUUUGCAUUUGACAAAGUUUUAGGAAGGUGUAGUUGAAAAUCCACAAUUGACACAUAUAGUUUCAUAUAGUUUGUGUGAGGUUCAAGAAUUGGUGGGUAUUGUUAACUUAAACUUUCUCAAAUGGAAAAGUUGUGUAUAUAAAAAGUUUAGAUCUUGAUGAUAUCUAACAACUUGGUAUUCAAAAUUUUUUCAUUUUAAGUAAUUUAGUUUGUCAUUUGACCAAGUUUGACCAAAAUCCGUCUUGGAUUUUAUAGAAAUGUGAUUAGGAUUGGCUAAAAAUUAUCCAAAUGGAAAAAUGGACAAUAUAUAAAAUGUAGAUCUUGAUGAUCUCUAACAACUUUGUAUUCAAAAUUUUUUCAUUUGAAGUCAUCAAAUGGGCCAUUUGAUCAAGUUUGACCAAAGUCAAAGCAUUGGUUUUUACAAAAACACCCUUUGACCGAACUCUAGAUUGUCCCAAAUGGAAAAUUCAUGAACACAAAGUUUGUUACACUCAUCAAAAUUCACAAUUCUCAAAUAUAGUUUCAUACAAAGUUUGUUACAACAUAUACUAUUAAACAUUACUUUAUGUUAAGCCGACACAACAGUGAACUUCUUCUUGACGUAUGACCCAUGGUUAUGAUCCUGCCGUAACCAUGGAGUAUCCUCAUUCGUUAACAGAAUGCUUGGGUCUUUGUUGACUACGAAGGGCGGAAUUCGAUCAUUCCUUUCGUAAUCGCCUGACAUGUCUGACUUGUCCUCAAUUCCGACAAUGUUUCUUUUCCCAGAAAGGACAAUGUGGCGCUUUGGCUCAUUGAUGAUUGAGUGGUCAUCAUUUUUUCCUCUCUUUGGUUUCGUAGACAUAUCUUUGACAUAGAACACCUGACUCACGUCUGCAGCAAGGACGAAUGGUUCGUCUUUGAACCCACUAUUGUUAAGGUCCACGGUUGUCAUCCCAUACUCCUUGUCGACUGUUACCCCACCUCCGGUCAUCUUCACCCAUUGACACCGGAACAAAGGAACUUUAAAAUUAGCUACAUAGACUAGUUCCCAUAUGUCUUCUAUGCGUCCAUAAUAUGUUUGUCUGUUCCCAUUUGGAUCCGUGGCAUCCACGCGUACACCACUAUUUUGGUUGGUGCUCCUUUUAUCUUGGCCAACUGUGUAAAAUGUGUUACCAUUUAUCUCGUACCCUUUGUACGUGAGGACAUGCCAUGAUGGUUGCCUGGCCAACAAAUAAAGCUGCUCAUCAAUGUUUUCAUCACCUUGACAUUUUUUGCGCAACCAAUCGCCAAAAGAUUCCAUGUGCUGACGCAUUAUCCAAGCUUCAUUCUUCCCGGGCCACUGGGACCGUAGGAAAUCUUUGUGUACCUCAACAUAUGGAUCCACCAAUGAGGAGUUCUGGAGAACUGUGUAGUGUGCUUUAUUGAAGUAAUCAUCUCCCGUACCAUUGUAUGUUUUCUUCCCAAGUGUUCCCUUUCCGCUGAGUCUGCCCUCGUGUCGAGAUUCAGGAAUGCCAAUUGGGUCAAGGUCUGGAAUAAAGUCAACACAGAACUCUAUGACCUCCUCUGUUCCGUAGCCCUUGGCAAUGCUUCCUUCUGUCCGGAAACGACUAUGGACAUAUUUCUUUAGGACACCCAUGAAUCUCUCGAAGGGGAACAUGUUGUGUAGGAACACACGACCAAGAAUACGAAUCUCUUUGACGAGAUGAACUAGGAGGUGUGUCAUGAUAUCGAAGAAGGAUGGAGGGAACACCAACUCAAAGCUGACGAGACAUUGAACGGCAUCAUUAUGUAGAGUAGCUAGUUGCUCUGGAUUGAUUUCCUUCUGAGAAAUUGCAUUGAGGAAUGCACAUAUCUUUACGGUGGCUAGACGUACGUGUGGAGGUAAAAUUCCUCUUAAAACGGCCGGCAGCAAUUGCGUCAUUAGAACGUGACAGUCAUGGGACUUCAAGUUCAGGAAUUUCUUCUCUGGCACAUUAAUUAUUCCCUUGAUAUUGGAGGAGAAUCCAGAUGGGACCUUGAUGCUGCUAAGACAUUCAAACAUGUUUUCCUUCUCUUCUUUGCUCAGAGUGUAGCUAGCAGGGCUUAAGUAAUGAAGUCCAUCAUCUGUCUUUUCUGGAUGCAGGUUGUCUCGUUCUUUCAUGCGCUGCAAGUCUUGUCGUGCUUCAAGUGAAUCCUUAGACAUCCCGUAGACACCCAUGAAUCCGAGCAAGUUCACACAAAGAUUCUUUGUCAGGUGCAUCACGUCGAUCGUGUUGCGGACCUCUAGGACAUUCCAGUAAGGUAGCUCCCAAAAUAUGGAUUUCUUCUUCCACAUGGGUACGUGUCCCUUAGCAUCCUUGGGAAUAGGUUCGCUGCCUCAUCCCUUUCCAAAUACCACUUUUAUAUCCUUGACCAUUUCGAGUACAUCAUCCCCGCUUCGAUUGAGAGGUUUGGUCCGGUGAUCUGCCUUGCCUUUAAAAUGCUUGCCUUUCUUUCGUACUGGGUGGUUCACAGGAAGAAACCGAUGGUGGCCAAGGUACACGACCUUUCGACAUUUUUUCAAAAAUACACAGUCAAGGUCUUCAUAACAAUGUGUGCAUGCAUUAUAUCCCUUGUUUGACUGGCCUAAAAGAUUACUCAGAGCUAGCCAAUCAUUGAUUGGUACAAACAGCAAUGCUCGCAGGUCAAAGUGCUCUUGUUUGUACUCAUCCCACACGCGAACUCCUGGUUUGCUCCAUAAAAGUUGAAGUUCCUCAACUAAUGGCCUUAGGUAGACAUCUAUGUCAUUGCCAGGUUGCUUCGGUCCUUGGAUAAGCACCGGCAUCAUAAUAAACUUCCGCUUCAUGCAUAGCCAUGGAGGAAGGUUGUAGAUACAUAGAGUAACUGGCCAAGUGUUGUGACUACUGCUCUGCUCACCGAAAGGAUUCAUACCAUCUGUACUUAAGGCAAACCGCAAGUUUCUAGCAUCAUCUGCAAAAUUUGGGAAUUCUCUGUCUAUCGCUCUCCACUGGGAUCCAUCGGCAGGGUGUCUCAGCAUAUUGUCUAUCUUACGGUCUUCUUUAUGCCACCGCAACAACUUUGCAUUGUCCUUAUUUCUGAACAGACGUUUUAAUCGUGGUAUCAUAGGAGCAUACCACAUAACCUUGGCAGGAAUUUUCUUCCUAUGACGUUCUUCACCCUCAACAUCGCUAGGAUCAUCUCGUCUAAUCUUAUACCGUGAUUCCUUACAUACUGGAAAUGCAUCCAAAUUCUCGUAUUCCUCCCCACGGUAGAGGAUGCAGUCAUUAGGACAUGCGUGUAUCUUCUGGAUUUCUAAUCCCAAAGGGCAGACAACCUGUUUUGCUUCAUACAUAGUGGUGGGCAAUUCGUUGCCUUUCGGAAGCAUCUUUUUUAUGAUCCUCAAUAACUGCCCAAAUGCCUUGUCAGAUGUACCAUUCUUUGUCUUCCAUUGCAGCAAAUCCAGUGUGGUACCCAGCUUUUUUUGCCCCUCUUCAGCGGUGGGAUAUAGCGAUUUCCUGUGGUCCUCUAGCAUGCGCUCGAACUUGGCUUUCUCUUUAUCACUUUCACAUUCUCUUUGUGCAUCACGGAUGGCAUCACCAAAAGCAUCAUCGCCCCGAUCAUCUUCUACCGCUACCUCUUCUUCAUUAUCUCCCCCCAUUGCAACAUCAUUGAAGCCACCGUACUGAGCAAUAAUAUUGGCAUGGUCCAAUUCUUCUUCUUUUUCUUCACCUUCAUCCAUUAUAAUCCCACUUUCUCCAUGUUUGGUCCAACAAAUAUAGUUUGGUACGAAACCAGAUUUCAAUAAGUGUGAAUGAAGAGUUCUUGAGUUAGAAUAUUCCGUCAAAUUCUUGCACACGACACAUGGACAGCACAUGAAACCGUCCCUCUUAUUUGUCUCGGCCACACUUAAGAAAUAGUGCACGCCAUUAAUGAACUCUUCGGAGCGCCGAUCGGCAUUAUACAUCCAAUUACGUGUUACCAUCUGCAUUAAAUAUAACAUAUAUAUUAUGAAAACCAUGCACACAUAUAGUUUCUCAUCUUAUUGCACAACAUGUCUAAGAUACAUAGUUGAUUAAUUUAGGAAAGCUUGGCUACAACAAAUACAAUCGCAACUAGCACUAAAAAAACCAAAACUAAAAUGCACUUAAGCAACAUAAUUAGUUCGCGUCCGAUCCCAACUAUAAUAGAUAGAUCAUUCGCUUGAUCAACAUCAUUGAACUCCUUUCGUCGGCUCAAUGCCUCACCACCUUCAGCCUCAACCACCUGUGCAAAAGAUUUCUUAAUGUGUUCAAUGUAUUCUUCCUCCCAAUACCAACCUGUACAUCCGCCGGUACCGUCCCACUGAAAUUAAAAGAGAGAAUCAAAAGUUUAAUUAAUAUCAUUUAAAAAAUAUGCACAUAUAUAAGCAAAUGUCUGGAAAUAACUCAUAGUACGAUCCGGACACUUGUAGAAUAUACGACCCUUGUUUACUUCCUCUUUCGACACUUUGUACUCCAUCAAAAUCUUCUGCCCACACUUGCCACAAGUAAUGAGAGGGAGUUCCGAACGGUAUCGCUUUUGAACCCGUUGAGAGACCGAAGACCCGGUCACGGUUGCCAUCUACUAUCCAUACUCAAUUUUUAAACAAUUAUAAAUUCCACAUUUACUAGUAAACAUGUAUGAUACAAUGGACAUUAUGUAGUAAUAAAAAUAAAUCAAGUGAUAUUAACAAACCAAUUAAUUUGAACUAUCCUACUUUCUAAGAUCAUAAAAAGAUAGUAUAAUUCAUUCUUGCAAACUACAUUAAUAGGUCAACCAUGAAAUAUGAUAUAUAUAUAUAUAUAUGGAUACUAAUUCAUGUGAAUGAUUCAAAAUAACAAAGUGGAUUUGAGCUAAAAAAUGAUGGGAACAUCACAAGCCAAAAACAACAUGAAAAAGACAAGAAAGGCUGAAGUUAGUCACCUCCAAGCACGAAGAGACGAUGACGGAGUCGAAGAAGAUCAACGAUGGGCGUUGGAGAUGAAGAACAAAUGAAGAACAAGCAAGAAGAAGCUCUAAGAAGAACAAUGGUGCUCUCGGUUUCAAAUGGACAGAGGGGAGGAGGGAGCCGGCCUAUAAACCGGACCUUUAGCACCGGUUCAGGGCAAAAACCGGUGCUAAAGGGUUACCCUUUAGCACCGGUUUGUAACACAAACCGGUGCUAAAGGGUUUGCCUCGGCCCGUCGUGCUGGCCGGUGCUAAAGGGGACCCUUUAGCACCGGUUCGUGUUGCCAACCGGUGCUAAAGGGUUCCUACCCUGACAGCACCUGUCAGUAGCCGUUGGGCAGGACCCUUUAGCACCGGUUCGUGUUACAAACCGGUGCUAAAGGGGUCUUUAACCCCGGGCCGCAAAAAGGCCGAGGUUUUUGGCCAUUUUGGGCAUCGACCAAUGCCUCAUUCUGUAGUAGUGGUAGCCAUAAUAUAGGCGAGCUUGAUAGAAUAUUCUUUCUGCUAAAUGGACAGGCAUGAUUAUACUCCGGUGAGUAUGACGAAUAUUUUACUUUCUCUAGAUGUGAAACAUAAUGGCGGUGGUGAUGGUGGAAGAUGGUGGUGGUGGCGGUGGCGGCGUGGUCAUGGUGGUGUGGUUGGUGGUGGUGGUAGUAGUGGUGUAGUCGUGGUGGUGCCGUGGUAGUACUAAGUACAUAUAGUGCUAUUACUUGUUGGUUAUCUAUUUAUGUUGUCUAACAUGUUCGCAUCUUCUUGUUUGUGCAACCACUAGUACAGGGGCAUAAUAUACAGGCGGUUGGUAACCUAUUUCUACAGGCGUUUUUCAACACCGCCUGCGCUGGAGGCCAGUAGAAAUUGUCUCAUUCCACAGGCGGUUCCUUGAGAGCCGCCUGUAGAAAACAUUUCCACAAGCGGCUCUCUUAGAGAACCGCCUGUGUAAAUGGCAAAUACACAGGCGGUUCCCUAAGAGAGCCGCCUCUGAAAACGUAUUUUAAAAAUGUAUUAUUAUUUAUUUAUUUAUAUUGUUAUUAUUUAAAUAUAUUGAUAUUGGUUGGUGUUCAAACAUAGCAACAUGCAAUUUAAAUAUUUUAUCUCAUACAUACAUUUGUAUACAUCAAAGUUUGGUGCUCAAAGACAUAAAGUUAAUUACAAGAGUAUAUUCAUCAUCACACGUUAUAUAUACAUCAAAGUUUGUUUCUGUCCUCUAAUAACCCUCUUUAGUAAGUUUGAGCUUCCUAAUCUCUGUUAGCAUCCAGAACUGUAUCCUGGAUAAUUGGCUUUCAUCAUCAUGAUAUUUGCCUUCAUGUGGAAUGACAUGCUUCAUGAGGAACGAGCAGAUGUCCUCAACUAUGUUGUCUAAAGCACGUUCGUCCAUGCGCUCCGCCGUCCCUUGCUUAUAUACCUGCAAAGAAAGUUUAUAAACAUUAUAUAUUUUAUGACUUCCAACUUUAAUGUCUGAUCUGUAUAAUGGACUAUUACUUAUAUUACCUUGGUAGGGUUCCUUUCAUAUCGUUCGUUCUCUCUCAUAUUCUUGCACACGUAGUAGCCACAGAGGACAGAUAAGGGCGGUUGCUUCAUGCACUUUAUAACAGGAGAGUGGUUAUUUAAUUAUAGUUGCAACCGUGGUCCUAUGUGUAUGAUUUGUAUUCCACUAGUACAAAAGUGCUCCAAGCCAGCGGUGGAACAUAAUUUUUACAGGCGGUUUUAAUUAAAAAACGCCUGUGGAAAAAAUGAGGCUUACCCGACUACAAAACCGCCUGUGAAAAUCAAAUUUUACAGGCGGUUUUUCUAACAAAACCGCCUGUGAAAAUCAAAUUUUACAGGUGGUUUUUCUAACAAAACCGCCUGUAGAAAUCAUGUAUUUCUACAGGCGGAUUUCUUAAGAAACCGCCAGUAGAAAUAUGAUUUCUACAGGCGGUUCCUUAAGAAAUCCGCCUGUAGAAAUAAUUUGAACUUGAAUUUUUUGAGCUUUUCAAAUGACCUCGUUUGAAAAAACCGUCAAAAUAAAAGUUGUAGAUCUUGAAAAGUUAUGAAACUUUGUAGUUAAUAAUUUUUUCAUUUGAAAUCAUCUUGUCAUCGAAAACUACGUUUGAAUUUCUCAAAUUUGAAAUUCAAAUUUUGUAAAUGACCUCGGAUGAAGGAACUACCAAUAUAAAAGUUGUAGGUCUUAAAAAGUUGUAAAACUUUGUAGUUGACGACUUUUCCAUUUGAAUCCGUUUAGGGCCUCAAAUAAUCAAUUUAUGCUUGGUUUAUGAUAGUAUGUGGCGAACUAAACUCUAUUAAAAACACAAGUGAGUGAUAGGUGGAGUGGUAGAGGAGGAUACGCGCGAGGGUGAGGUCUCAGGUUCGAAUCCCACCGACCGGGCGGAUAGCCAGUGAGCCUUCCCUAUAUUAAAAUCUUUUUUUCCUAUUUUUAAAAACCGAUUUCAUAUUUUUUACCAAAAGAUUUCUCAGGCGGUUGGCAUAACUGAACCGCCUGUAGAAAUGCAUUUCCACAGGCGGUUCUCAGUUACCCGCCUGUGGAAAAAUUUAUUUCCACAGGCCACCAAUCACAGGCGGUUCGCCAAACCGCCUGUAAAAAGGGGUUUAGAACCGCCUGUAUAGUACCUCUGUGUACUAGUGUUCAUAAGAGUAAAUUUUUACACGUAUCAGCCAGUUAUGUAUAACCUCCGAUGGCUGCCCUAGUCUGUUGGACUCGCACUUUCCAUGAUUUAUCUUAUAGAACCUGUAUGUCCUAUGAUCUCAAAUAGAAUCACCAUGUUAUCCUCAAACUCUCACAAUGCUUAUGUAUGCAUGCAUAGUGUUGGGUAUUUUAAACGCAAACAGAAAAAUCCGCAAGCGCACGGAUACCGAUGUAGCUUUCACCCGGGAGUAUUCCAGAGUAUCGAUUUUCCACAGAGAACGUGAGUGUACUAAUUAAGAUCCAAGAUCGCCCAAGGAUAACUAUAUAAUUAUUUUUGGUGGGAAGAGAGGAAGUUUUCUGAGUGUUCUCUAGUUGAUCUAAGAAUCAAGAAUUACUUCAAGAUUAUCUAUAUCGGGACAUCAGAGCACUAACCACAGAAAGAGAUGAGAAGGGGUCUAGGAAGCUCCGACUACGGUCCUACAAACACCGAUCCGAACGAGGUAGAAUACGUCGACCGUUAGGGCUGUCACUACCCUAGGGCUACCACAACAAUCCGCAGGAUUGGGUGCAAUUCCAGGUAAUUGCAAGACUAAACACCACGUCUAAUCUAUUAAUUACUACUCUAGCGUUAUAAAGACUAGAGCACUUGAUGCAAGCGGGAAUCCAAUAAAUAACUUGAAUGUAAAUAAAAGUAAUUAAAGAACUCAGGAAUUAUGAAUUGAAGAACCUGGAGAACGAUGAAGAACGAACCAGAUGCUGCAAAAGUAUAAUGUUGAGGAAGAUCCGUCAGAUCCGGCUCCUCCUCCGCUCUCCUCCUCUCUCCCUAUUUUCUAGAUUACAACUAGAACUAACUAGAACUAGAACUACAGGAACUAGAACUAGAACUAGAUGAACUAGAACUAGAUCUAGAUGAACUAGAGGUAGAACUAGAAGAACUAGAGGGAUCCUCUCUACUUGGAUGAAGAAUUGAAACCCUAACUUUGAUUCUGUAGAAGAGGUAUGAUCUCCAGGGGCCAGGGGGCCUUGCUUAUAUAGUCUGUUCAGAUGAAUCUGGGCCGUCGGAUCAAACCGACAUUAAUCGCAUGGUUUUCCUUGAUCCUUUAGGUCAGUGGAGCAUGAUCCCCGAGUUGUACCCUGAUUGGGCAGAAUAGGUGGGCGGGCACCCUCAGGACUUGGGCGGGCGCCCUGUCCCUGAGCCCUCUCGGCCUCCGCUUCAGUCCUGUGGCUUCUAGAGUCUUCUAGAUGAUAGAAAAUUGCGCGGCACGUUAAUAUCUCUAUGUAAACCUGACGUGUGGGCCUUUCUUCCGUAUUUCCUGAUAACCCCCUGCAGAAAUAGACAAACACCAAAACUCGUGGAAUUCUGUCAGAUAAAACCCUAAGUCUAGGUGUUAGUUGCAUUUGGAUCCUUUUCCAUGAUUAGUUGAUGGUUAAAUAUGAGCAUUAAGGACCGUCAACAAGCUCCCCCAAGCUUAAACUUUGCUCGUCCCUGAGCAAAGAUGAACUUAAGAGUUUCUACAGUAGUUUCAUGCCUUAAAGGUAUACAUGCGUUCAAACAAGAUCUCAUCUCUGGGUUAGGGUAAACUGUUAAGAUUUAAACUUACUCAUAUUACCUUUCACCAUGGGGCUUGUAACCGUCACUUGUGUCUUGAGCAGUUAAAAGAUAGAACGGUCUAGUCAAGCGCCAUGUCUCUUGUUCUUGAUCAACUAUAGCUCUGGAGUUUUUGUAGAUUUUCAAAUAAAACUCAGAGAUUCCUUGUAUGACUCUCAGAUCUCUCUUUUGUGGUAUUUCUGGAUCCUUACCAAGGCAGUAAAGGUGUAUGUCUUCUCUCAAAGUAUGUGGUAUUUUUGGUAUGAGGCAUAGUGACAUUGCCUUCUCUCUCACCCUACUCUAAUAAGGCUUUUGAUAUCUAGAGCUCAUAGGUGGGAGACAGCUAAUACAUACUUACAAGACAUUUAUUGCAUAGUCAAACCAUGGAUCCAGAGUAACAAGUCAAUAAGUCAAAUCAAGAUGUGCAUGUGUGGUGAAUGAAUGGUGCAUGGUAAUGAUGGUGAUAACAAUGGUGAAAGUCUAAUUCUACUUUUGCUCUUUUGAGGGGAUACAUACCUUUCUUGCUCUUUUGAAACUUUUUGAGGAGAAUGAGAUGCUCUAUAUUUUCUUUUUCUUUUCUCUCAGGUGGGUAUCUUGUACGCCUAAUUCUACUAUCGGACACUUGUCCAUUUUUACCUCUCGUCUCACUUUUUCUUUUCUUUCGAGGUUCCGGCACUUGCCCCUUUUUAUUUCCUCGUAUUUUUUUCUCUCUCUUUUUUAGAGCACUCAUCUCCAGAAAUAAUAUAGCAAGUGGUAGUAACCAAGAUAACUUGAGCAUUAAUUUCAUUGGGGAAAAUAGAAAUGUUUUUGGCUAUUCUCUCUCGGAUUAGGAGUAGAAUAUUUUUGGGUGAAUCUGGAUAUGGAAAUGAGUGGAUGUAUGUGGAUGCGUACUUCCAGAGUAGAAGCAGCAUGUGUGAGUGAACAUGCAAGUGAAUCUUGAUUUAACCACAUGACAAGCUCCUAAGGGUCUACACAGCUUGACCACACUCAAUGCUCAUAAGCAGUAAAAAGUAAAUGUAUGGUUCAUAGUCUAAUAAGCAUGUAUAUGUGGCUGUGGUAGGAUUUUAAACUCUCAUCAUAUAGAAACUCAUCAUGCAACAUUUUAAAGAUUUUAAAAGAUAAAAUUCUCCAGAAUUCUAGCAUCUCUAGGAACAGAUAAAUAGCAACUCAACCUUCCCAUAUCGUAUCCGUUAACGACUUAGACUUCAGAUCAAGUACUCUUCCCACAAGUUCAGGUUUAGAGAAAAUCUUAAUUAAUAAUAGUGAGGCCUAAACUUGAGAGAGAUUUCAAUUUUGAGAACUAGUCAUGGCAGAGCAACUAUUCAUCAUUUCCAUGUGAGAGGUUAUCAUGAGGGUUCAUAGCAAACUUUAUUUAUUUAUUUAUUUAGCAAACUAAGCAAAGAUAUAUAUAUAAGCACAAAAAUUUUUAUUUGGCUUUUCAUGAUUAUGCAUCUUUUUAUUAUUAGAGUAAAGUAUAAACGUGAGUGGAAUACUUAGCUGGAUAAAUAGGGGUGCUCUCCCCCAAGCUGGAUUUGACGCAAUUUCUUUUGAUGUAGCUAGCAGGUGGUGAAGGUGUAUUUGAAUGUCGGCGGCACCCUGACAGUGAUUAGGAUGUCCUCCGUCUACUAGUCUUCUUUGAUCCUUGAAUUAUGUGGAGCUCCAAUAGACAACAAAGCUUUGUGGAACUAGUUAAGUGUUAGCAUAAAUAUCUAGCCUUUAUCAUGUUGAGCCUCCUUAAUAAAUGUUACACUCUUUAGUAGGAUCACAAUCUUCUUUUUACAAUUUUAUUUUUAUAGGACAGGAAUAUAUUUAUUUUAUUUUUAUGCCACCACAGUGAAUGUACUUAUGGGUUUUAUGCCAUGAGCAUAAUCACAUGGGGCUUACUAUUUUUUAACAUUUUUAUUUUCUUUUCAAGAUGAUAUGAACCUGAUUAACUAAGCAAACUAUUUUAAAAUAAUUAAAAGGAAAAAGAUAACUACCAAGUUUACCUCUUGGCAAGGCGUUCGGUGUUUUUUUAAGUCCUCUGAACGGGACUCUCCGUUUUCUCAGUCGUCCUAGGAUUCGCUGGAUGGCGUAGUCGGUGGUUCCGGCGGCGCCUGCUCUUCGUGUAUAACUAUCUUCUCUCUACACACCUGACUCAGUGCUAUGGUCUCCUCAGGACAGUUCUGUUCAAGCUGUAUAUCUUCAGACCUCACUACUUCUCCUUCGUAGUCUGCCCAUCCAUCCUUGAUGAUUUGCCUCCUCUGGUUGCGGUUGCGUCGUCUUCUUCUUGUCCUGACCUGCUUAGAGUCUUUAACUAUAUAGUUAGAGUCAGUAAAAUAGCGGCGUACCUUCUCAGAGGGGAAAUGCAUGUGGACUUCUCUGGUUCCAAUGUAUAUGAUUGCUUUAACGGUGCUAAAGAACGGUCUUCCAAGGGUGAUGGGUGGAUUGUACUCGUCUUUUCCCAUGUCAAUAACCUUAAAAUCAUCUGGAGCUAAAUGUAUGUCGGUUUUAGUGGCAUGGUUCCGAACAGGAGUUGAUAGGUGACUGCGGCCAUUAUGUUGACGCCUGACCCGGUGUCGCAAAGCGUCUUCUAGAAGUUGUAUCCAUUAAUGGAGCACUAGAUGCUUGGCAUGCCUGGGUCAGGAAUGGUGACUUAAAUAGAUGAUCUUGACCUCCUUGAACAGCAGUGACCAUCUUAGCUGACUCGGUCCACACUUGCUUGGUCCUGUUCCUCGUGUUGGUCCUCUUCCUUGGUUCAUGUCGGGAUUGCUCUGAGAUUUGUGUAAUCUUGUUCUUGAAGGAAAACGUCUCCUUCCUCCCCUUGAUGUAGAAACCGUUCUUGGC
rnacentral:lncRNA from 1 species